rnacentral:lncRNA from 1 species
UUCCUCCGCUGCUCUUUAGCCACCUCAGGCUGGCCAUCGUCAUCAUCAUCGUCGUCGUCGUUAUUGUGAUCAUCACCAUUGUGAGGACCAUCCAAGUCCUCUUCGUCCUCCUCUUCUUCGUCCUCCUCUUCUUCGUCCUCCUCUUCGUCCUUCUGCUCUUCCUGCUCAUUAUCUUUCUCUGGCUCCUCAUCCCCCUCCUGCAUUUCUUCCAUAGGCUGCUCAGGCUGGAUGGCUUGUUCUUCCAGGACCAUCUUGGGAAAAUCAUUUGGCCGAGUCUCCAUCUCAAAAUACAAGACAUCCAUAGCCUGUUUUAGUGCGUGAGCUAGGACCGUAUCCUCACCCGACUGUCUUAACAUGGUUUCUGCACGUUCUUGCACCCUUCGAAGAUGACGAGAUGAGAAAAACGUGGCCCUGACUUGAAAAGCAUCCCUCAUCCAUUGUACCUCUCCAUUGAGAUUGGGGAAGGGGAGUCCGCCAUAGGAAUCUGAGUCAGGAGGUGGUGACUGCCUGCUUUCACUCAGCCCUUGAUCUGCAAUGAAUGGCAUGAGCACACAUGCCAUAACCGCGAGGCAUUACCUAUCAUCUUUUCGUUGCCCUUCUUCCUUUUUGAAUCAAACGCCUCUGAUCCCGACGACUGUCCAACGUGCUUUCACUUUUUAUGACCACUGUCAGUUUGAGCUUGGCUGGUGCUUGCCUGUUUUGCCUUUGAAGAAGUGUCUCCUGCAAGGAAUGGCAUGAGACCACACGCCAUUGCAAAUAUAAUUUGUACCUCCUUUUUUCCUAUUGCUUGUCUGUUUGUCCUUCUUCGAUGCGCCACCAGUGCGCUUUUUAGUCCUCGUGUCUGAAUAUUCACAACGAUCUAUAAUCAAAAUGGCGUGAGGCCUCAUGUGACCUUACCUUGUGCAGGUUGUGAGCUCGGCCCAACAUGGGUAUCUUCAACAGUAGUUGUUAAUGCCGUUUCAGCAUUUGGGGGUGGCCACGCUCCUGCAUACAGAGCUUGUGAGAUAGCAUUUAAACUUAAAGUGCGUACUCACCAGGUUCGCAGAGAAGAUACUGUUUUUCUUUGGCAACUGUAAUUAUAUGGUCCAUUGAAGUCACCUCUUCAAUGGAGUUUGUCACCGCAACACACGGGACACCCUUGAGUAGUGCGGCUCGAAAGAAUAGUCCGCCGCAGUUGUACUCGACAACGCAUUUGCCCUUGGAGUCGGAAGUAGGUGACCCACCCGCUAUUGCGUUGAAGACCCAGCUGAGCAUUUCCCAUGCUGCACCCGGAACUUUCUUUGGAUUCGAAAGCUCCAUAGCCGUCUUCAGUUCCUCAGGCACGGGUAAAUUGACCUCCCUCAGAUCAAUUCGAUCGGCCUUGUCGAACGAAGCUGGGAAGUCACUCCAGUCCCACUCUGCUGCAGGACCAAUAACAAGGGCGAGUGUGAAGAUGCGGACAUUCGUCGGUAUCUUCUUCUUAGCCAUUAUCCCAUGGAUCUCUCGCAUCUCCUUGCCUUUCAACCGAGCCUUCACCUCGUUCAAGGCCUUCCAGAACUUGUGAUAGGAUUCGGAGUCGUAGAUCAUAUAGUGAACUGAAGAUUCCACCUCCGCAAGUCCCACCAUUAAGUCAAUGAUGGAGCUGACUUCGUCUGCAUGAGUGAUCUCCUCGUUUGUGAAGUCCAUCACACAAAAGAUGUUCUUGACCUGCUCAUCUCCGCGGGAAACGAUGCUCCUCCACCUUUGAUCCUCAUCCGAAUUCAAGUAUACCCGGUAAGGUUCUCGAUAGGCCUCUGCUGCGGGGUCGAGCUGUUUCUAAAGCCGGCGGUCGACAUCACUCUUAAUGAAAUUUGGAUACUGAUCCAACUUCUUAGCUUUACUUUUCGUGGCAUCCCGCAGCAGAUCGAUGAACUUGGGGGCCCCCUUCACGUACUCGUCGAUGUCUUCAUUUGACAAGUCCAGCGCUUCCAUCAUGUCUUGCAUGGUGUCGAUGCUCACCCUCUCCACGGCCACUUGCUCGAAGAUCCAAUCCUUCAAUAGCGCAUGAGCUCUCAGAGUCAUGCACAAGUCCUCGUAUGUCACAAUAUGGCCGGGAGUCAUUUUGGUCUUGUUGAAGACUACCUCACCACGUAGAAGAGCAUUAGCCACUGUCAGAAGGUCAUCGUCGUCUAGAGACCGCAAGAAACGCAAGGCGUUGAGCUUCAAAUCAUUGGGCUUCCGGCCGUCCUCCACACCCAUUGAGUUUAGUAACUCCCCGUCAUGGUACCUCCUCAGCACAUCUACCCAUUUGUCAAAAACAACUUUUGUCGCGAGUAGAAUGUUAUGGAUGCUGAGUGUGUCAUUGACCCCCAGUGUUUUCAAGAGAAGACUCGAGAAUUCCUGCAAUGGAAAUGACGUGAGGCCACAUGCUAUGCCACAUGCAACGAGGCUUACCUGCCAGGCGCUAGUUGCUAGUGCACGUCCUUGUCCUGGUUUUUGUGGCUUCUUCAGUUGAACCUAGAGCUUCCGUGUUCGUGCCAAUGUCUCGUGCAGACCCGAUUUGUAGCACAUUUCUUGCUUGACAUUCUGCGCGUGGCAGAUGUAUAUGAUAGAUCGGAGGGGCGAGUGUAAGCCACAAAUUUUUCCUUUCCAAUUUGCCAGCUUACCUCGUCUAUCCGACCAACUCUGCCUUGGCUUGUGCUAAGUCCCCUCGCCAAGGUUCCCGCUUAUGGAACCAGCUCCUACUUGGUCCUACUUGGUUUCAGCUACUUACUGCACGAGCAACGGAGUGUUAGCCAUCCAUCUACGGAUUCCCAAAUCUCUCCCAAUCCCCCUCCCCGGGUUAGACUGGACUUAAGGUUCGGCUACACUCCCCGCAGGCACAAACAGCCAAGCACACCAAGCCUCUAGAUUCCUAACGCCCCUUGGUACCACAAGACUUGAUCAUGGGACCCUCUAAAUCCCAAGUCUUGGGUGCAGCACUUGCUUCGGGACGUCAGGGCGAAACACCGUGGCCUAACGGCCCGGUAUGGGUACCUCUACCCCCCCACUUCCUUCCCGAAGGGAAGGCCCAAGCCCCUAGGAAGGGCGAGGACCAAUGAGCCACAAGGUACUCAAGUGGGGCACCACUCCACCUGAGCCGGGAGCACUGUAGUCGGUUUCCCUUUCGGGAGUGGGAGCUGCUCUUGAGCACUUCGCUGGGUGGCCCCUCCGGCACCACUCAGGCCCAUGCUCACUCCCACCCAAGGCUUCUCGGCCCCAGUCUCAACCUCAAGUCAGUUUGGAAGCACCACAGGAGAGUUCCUUCAAGACUGGUUCCUGGACCUCACUAUCCCUACUAAGCUUUUUGGAACCCCCUGCAGCCCCCCCCCCCCCCCCCCCCCCCGGGAGACGCACGCUUUGGGCUUUCACCCCUUGACCUGUAUUAGUAUUUGGACUUAGUCUCUGGCUCGAUCUCGGACCCGAUUUCGGAUCCGACUUCGGAUUCGGUCUCGGACUCGAUCUCGGACUCGAUCUCGGACCCGACCUCAGACCCGACCUCGGACUCGACCUCGGACUCGGUCUCGGACUUGGACUCGAACUCGGACUCGAACUCGGUCCCCGAGUUGGUCUCGGACUCGAUUCCGGACUCUAUCUCGAACUCGGUCUUAGAGUCAGUCUUGGACUCGAUCCUCGACUUGGUCCCAUCUGAUGAACUCUUUGUCAUUUCGGUCAAGCUUUUGGGGAUCCUUUAGCCUAUGACAUCUCGGGGAGUCGGUUCCUUACAACUCCACCACCCAUAGAAGAAGUUCGAUGCCCACAUCGAACGUCUCGUUUUAUCCUACGACUUGUUGACCAUGUCUCCGGGGCAUCCCCCCACUUAGCGGUGUGCCUAAGUUAGCCUCCCCGGCCAAGAGCCCAUGACAACGGAAUAUAAGUGUCCCUAUACCCCUAACCUCACCACGCCCUAGUGUGGGGUCGGGACUUGAACCCAGCCUUGCUUUACUAGGGGGUUGGGACUCGAACCCAACCUCCGUAGAAUUUGACAUCCCCGCGGGGAGUCGGGCGUAGUGCCCUAUGCCUGGUCGACCUAUCCAACCCAUGCUAAUUAGCUUACCUUCGGCGCGCCUUCGGGUCCCAACAUAUGCCACUUGCUCAACUUUGCAAAUUGAUAUUUUUAAUUGAAUUUUGCAUAAGUACAUAGAGUUCUGCCUUGCAGAAAUUCCUCCACUAGAUCUCGCGCGUUCGCUAGGUUCUCCUCCGGUUCCCAUGUUGCUUCGCAGUGUGGAAAUCCUUUCCACUUCACACGGAACUCUCUCACCUCGCGUCCUGGUCGCUUGCUCUUGCGCGCAUUGAGGAUGGCCUCGACUUCGUAUUCCUCUUCCCCUUGGAUAACCUCAGGUAAAGGUCUCACUUGGUCCUUGCGAAGCGGAUCCUCAAAGUAUGGCUUGAGUAAGUUCACGUGGAACACUGGGUGCAUCCUCCCCAUCUCUCGAGGAAGUCGGAGUCGGUAAGCCACUUUACUGAUUCGUGCCUCAAUCUCGUAAGGCUCCGCGAACCUACUUAAGGAACUCAAGAUCAAUUCAUUUACAGGAAUACAUGCAUCUUUACCUUUGGGUCAACUUUCGGCUGAUCCCACUUGGUAGUCUGAGGUUCUUGGUGUUCAGCCACACCUUCUCCCCAGCUUGGAACUCUACAUCCCGACGCUUCUGGUUCGUGUAUUUGGUUUGCCUUUGUUGAGCCCGUUCCAAGGAAUCCCUCACUAGAUUCCAAAUGCUGAGUCUUUCCGUCGUGAAUGCCUCCACUGCGGGCAACUCUCCAUGAUACUCGGCCACGCCGAGUUCCACAGGACCUUCAAUAGCUCACCCAUUGAUGACUUCCCAUGGACUCACCCCGAUACUCAAAUGUGGUGAGUUGUUAUAACACAUUUCUGCAAGUCCCAAAUGACUUACCCAAUCGGUCUGGUCUCCCGAGACAUAGCAUUGCAAAUAAUCCUCCAGCUGCCUAUUCACCCUUUCCGUUUGUCCGUCUGUCAAGAAGUGUUAGUGCCAACAACUUGACUUAAUACCCCAUACCUGUCUAUGGGUGAUAGGCUGUGCUGAAUUUCAACUUGGUGCGAUACUGUUCUAGGAGAGUCCUCCAGAACCUACUGGUGAAGAUCUUAUCUCGAUCUGAGAUGAUCUCUUCCGGUCUUCCCCGCACUCGAACCACUUGUUCGAAGAACAGCUUCGCCACACCUUCCGCAUCCACCUCCGUUGUGGUGGGUAUGAAAUGUGCCAUUUUCGAAAAUCAGUCCACCACCACGAAUAUCGCAUCAAACCCCUCGCUUGGGGGGAGUCCCGUGAUGAAGUCCAUCGUAAGACAUUUCCACGGGCGAUCUGGAAUUGGGAUGCUUUGCAACAAGCCCCCACUAGCCUUAGUCACGGCUUUUACCUGCUGACAUGUUGGACAUGUCUUUACAUAGUCUUGGACGUCCUUAGCCAUAUCUGGCCAAUGGUACUUCCUUUUGAGUAAGCCCAUCGUCUUGGGCACUCCGCCGUGUCCCGCAAGAGGUCCGUCAUGACACUCUUCUAAGGCCACCUUCCUUAGUUCCCCUUCUGGAACAUACACCCUCGUUUGCUUGUAAUAGAUGAGUCCGUUGCGUUCUGCAUAGCCUGUUUUCUCUUCCGUUGGCAGCUCACCUCUCUGGUGAGCUUCCCGUGCCUCUAGAUUCCUCAGCAACACUUCUUGUGCUAGACCAUCGUUCUCAUAUGCUGUCCGCACAUCGUCCCAGAAGGUUGCUGUUGCGCUGGAUAUUGCCAACCUCAAGCUCACUUUUCGACUUAGCGCAUCCGCCACGAUGUUGCUCUUCCCAGGCUUGUACAGAAUCUCGCAAUCAAACUCAGCCAGGGCAUUGGCUCACCGACCUUGUUUCCCUCUUAGGUCGGGCUGUGACAAGAAGUGUUUUGUUGCCACAUUGUCCGUGUAAACCUUGAAGUGUCUCCCAAGGUAGUGUCGCCACUCCUUGAGCGCCUUGACCACCGCAAACAAUUCCUUCUCGUGGGCAGGCCACUUCCGUUGAGCCUUGUCCAGCUUCUUCAAGAAGAACGCUACCGGAUGGUUGUCUUGCUUCAAAAUUGCGCCCAACGCAAAGUCCGAAGCAUCCGUUUCUACCUCAAAGUCCUUACCAAAGUCUGGUAAUGCCAAUACGGGAGCCUUCCUCAACUUCCCUUUGAGGUGGACGAAUGCCGCCUCGCAUUCCGCUGUCCACACCAUCUUCCCUUUUCUUGUUUGGUCCGUUAAGGGUAGGGCUACUCUCGAAUAGUGUCUGAUAAACUUUCGAUAGUAGUUGCAUAGCCCCAAGAAUGCCCUCAACUCGUGUACAUUGGAUGGUCGCUCCCAUUCCUGGAUCGCUUGGACCUUCUCCGGGUCCACCUUGAGCCCAUCCUGGUGUAAGCGACUAAUUUUUCCAUUCUACUUUAGUCACUUAACCACACCUUCGACCACUUGGAGGAGUCUCAUUCACAACCUCCAUCAGUCCAAUUCAGGACUUGGGACUUGCUAGCCCCAAGAAUGGCAUCCAUGCCACUCAACACUUGCACCUGGUCUAGGUGCUCCACGUGUCCGGUGCCAAGACCGACACCCAAAGGUGCCACUGACAUCUCGGCCCGUUACGCUAAAGCCAUGCCCAUUCACCUUUUCUGCACUAGUGGUCCAAUACCACUUGCAUCACCAUCCCGUCUCUCCAAGACUAGGGCAUCUGUCCACAAGUGGUCAUCCUAGAUCCACACCUUAGCAUCCUUAGGAUGCCCACAGACCUGGGGAAUCGCCUUCCCCAAAGUCCCUUUGUCAGUUCCUACCAAGUCCCUUCCUGCCCCUGGCCGUGUUUGCUAACACUGCCACUGGAUCGAGGCCCACAGGCCCGACCACUAAGUCCCACGGUCCUCUGGGACUUCCUCACCACACGACUGUGUCCUUGGUCACUACCCCAGAGGACUGCUCCUCUUCCUUUCCACAGUCUGGGCCUUUGGGACAACAUUUCGGAACACCGUGGCCUUACGCAAGCCACCUGGGUACUCUCCCCGCCUUUCGCCUUUAGGUGCUCAAGCCAUGGGCUUAGAGCGAGGUUCCGUUGAGCCAUGCCUGGUAUCCAAGUAGGUAGUGCCACCCACACUUGGACUGGGAGCAUCGGCCAGUCGAUCUCCCGGGGAACUAGAACCGGCUCUUGAACACUUCACCAAGCUACCCCGCUUGUCGGUCCGUAUUCACUCUAGUCUUGGACUUCCCAGUGGUCAGUUCAUCACCCAACACUGGGUCUGGCCUUCCUAGGCCAAAUUGGCCUUUCCUGGCCAAACUGGCUCCACUGCAAUCCUCCCCCUACUAUACUUUUGGAGCUUACCAAACCCCCCAGGGUCUGGGAGACGAACGCUUUGGGCUUUCACCCUCUCAGACUCGAACUCGGACUCGGACUCGGACUCGGACUUGGACUCAGACUUGGGCUCGGGCUCGGUCUUAGCCUUGGCCUCGGUUUCGGUCUCGGUCCCGGUCCCGGUCUCGGUCUCGGUCCCGGUCUCGGUCUUGACCUCGGACUCCAUCUUGGGUCCUUCUCGGACUCCAUCUCGGGCUCUGUCUCGGUCCAUCUCGGACUCCAUCUCGGACUCCAUCUCGGGUCCAUCUCGGACUCCAUCUUGGACUCCAUCUUGGGUCCAUCUCAGACUCCACUUCGGACUCCAUCUCGGACUCCAUCUCAGUCCAUCUCGGACUCCAUCUCGGGUCCAUCUCGGACUCCGUCUCGGUCCACCUUGGAUUCCAUCUCGGACUCCAUCUCGGACUCCAUCUCGGGUCCAUCUCAGACUCCAUCUCGGACUCCAUCUCGGGUCCAUCUCGGGUCCAUCUCGGACUCUUCCACGUGUUAUGUGUUGGUCCUUUUUGGGUCCCUUUUUGGAGCCUCGCUUAUUGCUUGCUUCAUGCUUGUUCCUAGAGCACUUUGUUGGGAGUUCCACUCCCACUCUCAACCUUCCAAGUCGGAGCUUUUAGUCCAAACGUGUUACGCUCGUUUGGCUUUCGCUUCGGCCACUACCACAUGGCACCCUUCCGGCUCCACUUUGGGGCCUAGGGAUUUUGUGUCUCACACCUGGCCCACCACAUGCCCGAGAAACUUUACCUCUUGUUGAGCAAAGUCACAUUUGCUCUCUUUAGCAUACAGUUUGUGUUCCCUUAGUUUCUCAAACACCUUCGCCAAGUGUUCAGCAUGCUCCUCUAGCGUCUCGCUAUAGAUCAGGAUGUCGUCGAUAUAGACGACCACGAAGUGAUCUAGAUAAGGUACAAAAAUGUGGUUCAUUAGCGCCGAAAACGUUGCCGGCGCAUUACAUAGCCCGAAGGGCAUCACCAGAAACUCAAAGCUCCCAUACCUCGUUUGACAGGUUGUCUUCUCGACAUCUUCCUCGGCUACCCUGAUCUGGUAGUACCCUGACCUUAGGUCAAUCCUCGAGAAGUAUUUUGCGUUUCCCAACCUAUCGAACAGAUCCUCAAUCCUUGGCAAAGGGUACUUGUUCUUCUUUGUAUACUUGUUGAGCAACCGGUAGUCUAUGCACAUGCGCAUAGAUCCAUCUUUCUUUUUCACAAAUAACACCGGCGCCCCAUACGGCGACUUGCUCAACCUAACAUACCCUUUGUCCACCAACUCCUCUAGUUGGCACUUGAGCUCCUUGAGUUCUUUUUCGUUCAAACGAUAAAGGGGACGAACCACUGCCUCAGCACCCUCGACCAGCUCAAUCUUAUGUUUUAUCGAUCGUGCUGGGGGUAGCCCCGCCGGUAGCUCCUCCGGCAUGGUAUCCUGGAAUUGGUCCAACACCCGCUGGAUCACUAAAGGUACUUCUUCCAUUCCUGUCUUUUUGUCACUCUUCACCGAGAGUAAGCACAAAAAGGCCGCCUUAGUUCCUUUAGCGAGUUGUCCUCUCGUCGACACCAGGUUUAAGCAGGAAUCUUUGGCCUUGCUUUGCCCUACCUUUAGAUCUUGGGCCUCCACCCUAGAUCUUCUUCCUUGGGCAUUCGCCAGUACCACAAGGUUUCUACCUUGUCCAUGCAGGGCUACCACGAAUCGAUUGAAACAGUCCAUUCCGAAGAUCACGUCAAAUCCCGCCAUGUCUAACACGGUGAAAUCCAUGUCCACCUUCCAAGUCCCCACUUCGACUCUCGCUUGUCGAAGUACCUCAUCGGUGCUUUGGCUACCUUGAACAAACUCUAUAGUCCUUGGUUCGCCUAGCCGCUGCACCGUUAGUCCGGCUUGCCGGACUAUGUUUGCAGCUACAAAAUUAUCCGAAGCACCCGUGUCAAUAAAGAUUUUAACAAAGCUACCUCCGAGCUUCCCUCGAAGGGCUAGUAUAUGUCGCGAACGACUCUCUACCAAAGUUGCUCGUGUAAUGAGUAACUUUGAGUUAGGGACUGGAUCACAUACCUCCGUUUGGACUUCACCCGACUUGAUGGCCAUAUUGGCUCUGGCCUUCUUCGGGUAGGGACAUUCCCUCGAGAAGUGUCCCGCUUCACCGCAGUUGUAGCAUACGUUGUUUCCCACACUGCUAUACGACUUGACCUUCUUAUCCGUGGGUUUGUCUCUUUUCGCUUGACUCCCCCACGUACUCGCUCGCUGGCCACCGGAUCUGCCUUUCCAGAACCCCGAGGACUCAUUCUUAGAGAAACUCUUCUUGAAUUUCCCUUUGCUAAACGUUCCCUUUGGUUUGGCCCCUUUGCUAAACGUGGAUCCCGACCCCGUCGUGUUCCCCUUUUGCAGGUUAUCGUUGAAAUGCACCUUGAUGGCCGCAUCCAACGCUUCCUUGUAGUUGGUUGGGUUCCACCGCAUUACUUCGCCGCGAGCCCAGGUUUGCAAACCUGAUAUGAAGGCAUGGAACGCAUACAUAUCCCCCAUGUCCGUGACAAGUAUCCUCUUUGCCAUAAACCCAUUCACAUACUCCUGAAUGGUUCUGGUCUGCUUCAGCCUACUCAGCUCGUCCCUUAGAUGCAGAGUAGCAUUCGGAGGAACGUAAGUUGCGCGGAUCCUCACCUUCAUCAUUUCCCAAGUGGCCACCGGUCCUUCGUUGGCCUUUGUUGUUCUCCACCAAGACUUGGCAUUAUCUGCCAAGUAUGGUUUUGCACAUGGGACCUUCUCCGAGCUCGGUAAUCGUAACGCUCGGAAGUAGUCCUCCAAAUCGUAAAACCAAUCCUCCACCACCUUAUAGUCAUUCACUCCCUUGAAGACUGGUGGGGGCUUUGGUUUGUACUUGGGAACUACCUGAGGGACUGAUUCCACUUCGGUCUGUUCGACCUUGUCUGGUUUUGCCUCAGUCCCUGCCGAAGGGUCCGCACCUUCUACGCUGCCAGCAUCCGCAGUCUUUCGCUUUUUCUUCUGCUUCUCAUCACGCUUUAGCUUGCGUACGAGAGUCUCUAGCAGGGCAUUGGUCUGUGCCAAUUGUCCUUCUAGAACAUCCAAUCGAGCCUUGGACGACCGAACCUCACCACCAGACUCCUGUUUGGAAGUUGCCUCACUGGAGUCCUCCUCAUGCAAGGAUUCCUCAUCCAUAGCCUCCUGUUCGACCGGAGGCUCCAGCUCUGGAGGAGGUUCCGUCUCUGCCUGUGUUCGCUUUCGUCCUACCCUUGCCAUCUCCCAGCAAUCCGCCUCUAUCCUUCGCUAGAACUGAGGAAGAGGCUCCGAUACCAAAUUGUAAGCCACAAAUUUUUCCUUUCCAAUUUGCCAGCUUACCUCGUCUAUCCGACGAACUCUGCCUUGGCUUGUGCUAAGUUCCCUCGCCAAGGUUCCCGCCUAUGGUACCAGCUCCUACUUGGUCCUACUUAGUUUUAGCUACUUACUGCACGAGCAACGGAGUGUUAGCCAUCCAUCUACGGAUUCCCAAAUCUCUCCCAAUCCCCCUCCCCAGGUUAGACUGGACUUAAGGUUCGGCUACACUCCCCGCAGGCACAAACAGCCAAGCACACCAAGCCUCUAGAUUCCUAACGCCCCUUGGUACCACAAGACUUGAUCAUGGGACCCUCUAAAUCCCAAGUCUUGGGUGCAGCACUUGCUUCGGGACGUCAGGGCGAAACACCGUGGCCUAACGGCCCGGUAUGGGUACCUCUACCCCCCCACUUCCUUCCCGAAGGGAAGGCCCAAGCCCCUAGGAAGGGCGAGGACCAAUGAGCCACAAGGUACUCAAGUGGGGCACCACUCCACCUGAGCCGGGAGCACCGCAGUCGGUUUCCCUUUCGGGAGUGGGAGCUGCUCUUGAGCACUUCGCUGGGUGGCCCCUCCGGCACCACUCAGGCCCAUGCUCACUCCCACCCAAGGCUUCUCGGCCCCAGUCUCAACCUCAAGUCAGUUUGGAAGCACCACUGGAGAGUUCCUUCAAGACUGGUUCCUGGACCUCACUAUCCCUACUAUACUUUUGGAACCCCCUGCAGCCCCCCCCCCCCCCCCCCCCCCCCGGGAGACGCACGCUUUGGGCUUUCACCCCUUGACCUGUAUUAGUAUUUGGACUUAGUCUCUGGCUCGAUCUCGGACCCGAUUUCGGAUCCGACUUCGGAUUCGGUCUCGGACUCGAUCUCGGACUCGAUCUCGGACCCGAUCUCGGACCCGACCUUGGACUCGACCUCGGACUCGGUCUCGGACCCGAUUUCGGAUCUCGGACUCCGUCUCGAACUCGGUCUCGAACUCGGACUCGAACUCGGUCCCCGAGUCGGUCUCGGACUCGAUUCCGGACUCUAUCUCGAGCUCGGUCCUAGAGUCGGUCUUGGACUCGAUCCUCGACUUGGUCCCAUCCGAUGAACUCUUUGUCAUUUCGGUCAAGCUUUUGGGGAUCCUUUAGCCUACGACAUCUCGGGGAGUCGGUUCCUUACAGCGAGUUGCCUUUUAUCAGGCGGACAACUCUUGUCUUGAAGACUUUCUUCACCUCCUCGCCCACCAUAAUAUCCACAACUAUCUCUUGCAUCGCCAAGCUAGAAUGCUGCCCGGAGACGGCAUAGAACCGGAUGUUCUGAUCGUCCAACACCUUCCUAUUGAUCAAGUCUGGAAACCUCGUCUCACCCUUCAUUGUUUGGUAGUAGGGGAUCACGUCUGCGAUGUCGGGUGUUACUGGACUUGCCAGCAUCUUCUGCUUCAGUUUCUCCACCCACUCAUCAGAUACUAGCCUGUGGUUGUAUUUGCUUUGGAUGUCGAUACGGCUCACGUCGAUUGUAUAUACUUUGUUGGAAUAGUAACAAGUACUAUUAUCUGCGACGAUUUUUGCUGCCUCUUCUUGCUCUUUCUGCUCUUUGCGGCUCUUCUUUUUGGUGGGUGUAGUGUUUGAACCCGAGGUAAUGGCAUCACCGAGUAGCUUCUUUUUUGGAGCAGGAGAGUCGGACGUCGGCUUGAGCUUGACCACCCUUUUCUGCUUCGGGGUAGUUUCCAGAUCAACCCCCUUCCCCUUCGCUUCGCGAACUAGAGGCACUCUCAACGGCUCAAUGUUGGAAUAUAGUUUUUGAACAUCGCCGUAGGUGAGGUUCGUGGAUUCCAUGUGAUCUUCAUAGACCCACAGUGUCUUUGAAAUUGUGGGCCUCCUGGACAACCUCUCCCUAGCUCCCUCUAGGAAUUCCUCAUAGCCGCUGCCCCCCUUCGGGAAGCCGCUAGGAUGUGCAAGGUGGAUCUUGAAGGCGGACGCUGUCUCUACCACAAGUGCCAGUCCAUAUUCUUGCAUGGAACUGCAUGGAGUGUCUGUCACUUGGAUAAGGAUCCCCAUGCAUUCUUUUCUCCCACCAUCUGUGUUGUACAGCCUCAGAUCCUUGCCUUCCAUCCCGAAAGUCCAAUUGGUGAGCUCCUCCCCCUUCUCUGCAUCCACAUUGACAGUGGCUGGAAAAAGAACGCAAUUCCUCGCCUGUUCAGAAAUGCACAACAAUUAGAGCUGAUAGAUGAAAAGCUAGCAGCUGAAAAUAACGUGAGGCCACACGCCAUUCACCACUACAUCAGAUGUCUUGAGGCUGCAUCCUAAGAUGGCGUGAGGCUACACGCCAUCUGUAACCGGACUGCACUCGAGAGCCCAAUCGGUGCAUGUUAAUGUUGCUACUGAAUGGCAUGUGGCCUCAUGCCAUUUUCUACUUGGCCUAAAAGACUUACCAUUUGAAGCCGAAUGGAGGCGUGACAAUUGAGGCCGGACUCGCUGGCGAAUGUGCACUAUGUGUGCAGCGGAUCGUAGUAGCAAGGCUACUCUGCCACUUACAGUUGGAGAGUGCCGCUGAAAUCUCCCGGGACGCUAAGUGAGCUGCGUGUGGGUGGCGGAGUGGGCGGCGGAGUUGGCGGCGAAGUUACAAACUGGGUAUGUCUUGAAGUGGACGCCGAUGCACACGAGCGCGAUGCGAGCGCAAGUGUGAUGCAAGCGCGAGUGGACGCCGAUGCACACGAGAAACCUGUAGAGAAGGUAGAUGAGCGCGAAUGUGAGCGUGAUCGCGAGUGGGAGCGCGAUGCGAGCGCGAGUGUGCGAGCGCGAGUAUGAAGCAAAAUGCAAAACCUAACCUCACACGCGCGAAAUGUCACGACGGUUGGUAAUCCUGCCACAUCAUCAUUCCUCGGACUUGGGCGCCACCAUUAAUUUCUGGAUUGCCGCGCGCAUGCAUACACGUGAAAUCCAAAAGAAAUCCGCAACGUCAUCAUUCCUCGGACUGCAUGCACGCGAAAUCCAAAAGAAAGAUCAUGAUUGGGAUAUCAUUUAAUACCCUCGCUAUAUUUAUACCAUGCAUGAUUGGAUAUUCCAAAGCAUCUUGUAUUUCCAAAAAUGCCAGAUGUUCAGCUAAAUAAAUUGUCAGAGGAUUUGAUAUGACGUUCAAGCGUGUGGGCUCAUGCAAUUUUGAUCCCAAAAAAUGCACCAAAAAAUGCUUGGCGUCAUCUUGAAUGGCGUGGGGCCGCAUGCCAUUUUCAAGGGCACAUAGGAGUAUAUUCCUAGAAUAUUCUGACACGCGUGAGAUGUUUUUGAGUUUUUUGGAGAUCCAACCGUUAGAUCGCAACUAGAUUUUACAGAAUGGUAUACAAUGUCUUUCUUGACGACCCUGCAAAAAAGCAUCUCGAUCAGACACCACAUGAGACCACACGAGCCUUACAAUGUUUCAGGGGCAUUUGCCACAGAUCCAACCGUUAUUUUGCUCCAAGAUUUUACAGUUUGGUGUGCAUUGACCUUUCCAUCGGCACUGCAAAGGGACAUCACAAUCAGAUGCGGGAUCACAAGAAACUAACUUCACUAACUCUGGUUUCACCAAGAUCUACGUAAGGAGUUAUGAAAUGAAAGGACCCUCUCUAUUGAAAUGUGUUUAUGGUCCUAGGGGCAUUGUGACAUAUCAAAGGAUUUUGCAUCAAGUUCUGUAUUUGCAUGUUUAUCAAGCUACUGAAUUGCUAAACCCUAACCCUAAACCCUAAACAUGUGGCAAAUGCUGCGUGAAGAAAGAUACCCUUUCUGGGCAAAUGCUGUAAGAGGCAGAUGCCGAGCAGAUGUAUCUCAGGCUAGCGAAGGGGACAAACGAAAGCUAGCUAUAAACAUGACGGGAUGCAAAUUACUAGGCUGGUCCUGCGAAAAUCAAAAACCAUAAUUGAAAACAUUGAAAAUGCAAAAAGAAAGGUUUAUAAUAUUUUUGAAUUUUAAGCAACCAAAGGAAUGUAAGUAGGGCAUGUGUUUGUAAGUUUAAAAAUGCCUCAACCACUUAAAUUCCCAACUAAAUAAAGCUGUUUCUAUUUUUGGUACAGGUAAACUUUAUAGCGUGUGGGCUCAUGCAAUUUUGAACCCAAAAAUGCACCAAAAAAUGCUCGACUAGCAUUAUUCUUUGAAUGGGGUGUGGCCUUAUAUUGCCAUAAAUGGACGUACACACACAGCAUAAUUAUUCCUUUACACGGCAAAUAAUCUUGGCGCGGAUCACUGACACGGCAUGGCAAAGUUCGAAUCACUGACAUGGCAUAGCUGGAUCGAGGCAAGGACAUGAUGUGACAAAGUUCAACCUCCGACAGCAAAGUCUAGAAGCUACUCAGUUUGAAAUUUGUCAGAGGAAUCAUAAGAUUUGGUUUGUCAGAGGAUUUGAUGUGACGUUCAAGUGUGUGUUAUUUUUGAAUUCUCGAACUCAUUCCUAGGUCUAUCAUUUUUGUGCGCCGUGUUCUUGGUUCCGCUGAGCGCAGUGAGCGCUGCUUGUGUAAGUGGCGUUGUGAGUUGUGGUUUAUGCGUCUACAAGCGGUUGCGGCAUUGCGAGCGCCAUUGCGAGCGGCAGUUUAUGCGAGUGGUAGUUUGUGCGAGCGGCGCUACAAGCAAUUGCGGUGUUGCGAGUGGCGCUACGAGUAGUUGUGGUGUUGCGAGCGGCACUGUCUUUGGUGUGGCUACCACUUCCUCUUGAUAUUCGGCACUUGUGCUUCCUGGUAUGUUCACCAUGGAAUGGCUUAGGACCACAUUUAGAAAUGGCAUGAGGCCACAUGCCAUCUUGGGCCCUUGCAAUUUCAUGGCUAGCGUAUUGUCAUGUAUGUUUUUACUUGCCUGCAGCUGUGUGUAUAUCAAGAUGGCAUGAGGCCUCAUGCCAAUUUUGUGAAUGCGAAAUUUCACGUGGGUGUCAAUAGCAUGUUUGAAUAAUGGCAUGUGGCCUCAUGCUAUUGAGGUUGUUUGGUAUGUUAUGAUUUAGGCCAUUCUCCAAUCAUUUUUUGUAUGGUCUUAACUUCUUUUCUGCACUUUCAGAAUGGCCUUCAGGGUUGGGGAAAAGGUUUACAUUUUGAAUGGUGGGAAGAGAGUUGCAAAAGGGACCCUGGUGUCUAUGGAUCGGAACUUUGUUAUACACUGUCAAAGGCUUGGGGAAGGAAAUGUUGCUGUAUCAGUAGAGACUGUCUUUGAUGGGAAUGUGGUCGCUAUUGAACGAGGAGAGAUGGUCGUCGGGGUAAAUGUUGUUGUUGCCUUGAAAAAUCUUCAGAAGAAAGCAGAUGUUGGGGACAGCGCAAGUGCGAUGCAUGUUCCCUCCGUGGAUUUUAAGAACCGUGCUACAUGGAUUUAGGCAAAGGUGUUUCUAAACAACCCCGAGGGGGAGGUGGUAGCUGAGGGCUUAGCCACAGUUGUCGAUCCAAGAGAUGUGGUUGCUAAUCAAGAAUUGGGCUGGGAUGAUAUUGGAGUUGUGAUUUUAGAGGUUGUUGACAUAGAAGAAAACAGUCUGACUAUUGGAAGCAUUGUGCGGUGGAAAUUGAGGCACUUAGUGUUUGAGAAUGUGAAGGAUUCACAAUCAAACACCACUACAACUGAUGAUAGAACAUCUCUUCAUGGGAAAAGAAAGUACACCUUCCUAAAGCACAGCCAAAGGGAUCUGAGCAACGAACCGAAAAGGCAGAAAAUGGCGAUGGAGGUUCGAAUGGUCUCGAUAGUUGCUUGUUGCAAGAGGAGGUGCUAUCAACAUGCUGAUUGGGAUGCUAUUGAAGAGGAGAGAGCAAGAUACAAGACAUUGUCUUGGAAGGCAGCUCGCAAUUUUGUGUAUGAGGCAUUACGGUCAUCUGUUGAUGCUUCAGAACAUCAAGUGGGGGGCAUGGUCUUCCAGAGGGGUUUGGUCUGCAUGAAGGCAUGGAGAAUCAUUUAUGGAGUCCCUCGAACCACAUUUUACAGAAUCAAAACUGAGUUCGAGGAACAAAGGGUUCAACAGGCAGUCCAUGGGAACGACGGUACGCACAAAACCAGGGGUCAUGUUGUAUAUGGAGAGGCAAUCUUCAAGAGGUUUGUCGAGACAUGUAGCGAGUAGCAACCACAUAAAACCUGCCUCUUGGAAGAUGGAACACGAGACACCCAACGAGUUCUCCCUUCCAUGUAUACCAAGGGGGCCAUAUUGGAAGAUGUGAAUCUGGAACUCCAGAGUAAUGGAUAUAGGAAGUUGAGCCAAUCUAGAUUUAGUAGAUUGUGGAGCAACAGGUUCAGGGAUGUGAGUAUAGGAAAGUACUCCAGCUUUUCAAAGUGUGACGAGUGCACUGCUAUCAAAAUGGCUUUGUCGAAGAAUUCUUGCAGCGCUCAAGAGUGAGAGACGUUGGUUAGAAGGCGGCUCGACCACAACAUCGAGCAGAGAAGCUGCAGAUUGCAUAUUAUCAUAACAAGAUUCUCUCCAUGGAGAGACCUGACUCUUACCUCUGCAUCAUCCACGACAAAAUGGACCAGAAAUAAACAUGCUUACCUCGACUCAAUCCUACCCCCAAGGCAAUCUCUUCAUCCAUGCAGUUGCCUGUGUCUCUGUUUGGCAUAAUCGCUCAUGGGCAUGGUGCCCAGAACUAUGGGAACUUCUUUGUACCUCUAUGGGGUGGCGGGGGUGCAAACAUGAUGAUUGCGUCCCUAGCAAAACACUUAAGGUCUUUGCAAAGUGCGCAGACUGAGCUGAACGGCCAACCCUUGCAUAAGGCCCUUGUCGAUCGAACCCCAUACAGGGUUCAGCUGGAGGAGGAGCAAAGGCUUGCAGUAUCACAUGGGGCCCUAUGCCAUCCCAGUGAAUAUGUUGGCCGUCAGAUUGUAGGGUUAUCACGUGAGGCCUCAUGCCAUUCCGACGAGGCUGGUCGCCUGGUGAAUGCACAGCCUCAUCCAAACGAAGCAGAAUCUCAAGGAAGUUCUUGCGGCCGAUGUGGCCUUCCACCCCAUCUUCUGCUCCAAACAGACAAUGCUGGCAGUGAGAAAAAAAACAUGUACGUCUUUGCGUACUUGGCAAUGCUUGUUGCCAAAGGCAUAUUUGAAAUGGUUACACUUGGCUUUCUCAUGGUUGGGCACACUCAUGAAGACGUCGAUGCCAUGUUCAGUCACCUGGUAGAGUCCCUCCGGCAAUCCAAUGUCCUCACCCUCCCACAACUCUGCGAUGAAUUCCAAAAUUGCAUCAAAGGCACUGUUGAAGCUGCAUUUGUGACAGAGGUUCCAGACUUUAAGGGGUUUGUAAAAGGCUACAUCAGGGACGGAUCCGAAACGCUGAUUGGCCACUCCAAGCCUCUUCAGUUUCAUUUCAGCAUGCGUGACGGUGCUCCAGUGAUGAGGUACAAGAUGAGAGAAUGGGACACAGUGUGGCUGCCAGUGGACAGCAUUGAACUCUUCAAGAGAGAUCCCAUAACUGGGGAACCUAUGAUUCCUUAGGGUUCCCCACGGCCGAUGCACCCGGAUGGACUCAAAGACCAGGAAAGUAUAGUGGCCGGGAUUAGACAGCAUAUUGCCUUCUGGAAGAGGGGGUUGGUGUUUGGUGGAGAAUCCUAUUUUAAGAGGUGCAAGCCUUUGCUCGAAUACUGGGAGAAGAUUAUAUCUGCUAUCCAAAAUGGGCCGGUUGUAUAUGAAGAAUUGGAAGAGUCCUUUUGGCCAGAACCCAGAGCACCAGAUAGUAGCGGAACAAUGUCCUCUGGAAAUGCAGUGACAGAUAAUGAUGUUGAGGAUCACUAUUGUGGGCCGAGGAACAACAAGCCGGAUUCAGCAUUCAAUCUAGUAUAGGUCUGCAAAGGAAUGGUCGUGCUUGUCAGACCCAGUAAUAAAAAACAAAUGAUAUGGGUGGGGCGCUGCAUCACUGAUGCAGAGGAGGACGUGGAAACUAACUCCUUCAAUGUAACUGUGGAGUGGUUCAAGCCAAGUUCCGGAUAUACGAAGGAUUGCCUAGAAAAGAGAUGGGUGCUGAAUCCAAGGGAUCCCAGCAUGAGCAUAUCGGUGGAUAAUGUUGUGCAUGGUUGGAUGCGGAAGCAGAGUGCCACCAUCACCUUGCCAGACCAUGCAAGAGAUGCAGCAAGAGCAUUCAUAACCCGGGUUCAAGGUGAGAUUCAUUAAUAUUCCUUUACUAAGUUUCUAAUGUAUUUUAUUUCAAGGUGAACAAUUCAAAUCUGAAUCAGAGGAGGCGUGAUGGCAUGGCGUGAUGGCGUGAGGCGUGACACCAAAAAGGAGGUGUCCACUAGCGCUUAGGCUUAUAAUGGCGUGUGCCCUCAUGCCAUUUACUUGAUCACCAAAUACCUUUUUCCCUUUGCACUAGUAUAUCUUAAUACCGGUCUGUGAAAUAGAAUGGCAUGUGCCCUCAGGCCUUUUACUAAAUCACCUUUGAAAGAAAUGCAAGCCUCUAUGUCGUAAAAAAAAGGUACUAGAGAAAUUCCUUAAUAAUAUGAAUGUUAUUUAGUUUCAUGAAAAUACAGUAAGGGUCAAAUGAGUUAAAUGACUUCUCCAGACUAGCAAUGCCUCUUGCUACACCUUCACAAUUAGAUUCGUUAGAAAAAGAUAACAUUGAAUAAUAUCUAAAUGUUCUCACCAUUAAGUUAUAUGUCUGGCUAAUAGGAAUGAUGUUCAUCUUGGAAAGCUCACCACACGCUCAAUGAACAAACAAAUAGUGGACUCAGUCUGGACACAAAGUCACCGCACUAGUCACCAUGCCCCAGAUAUGUCUAGCCCCUGGACAAAAAACAUAUAAUUUCACGUCAUUUUCAAAUAUUUGAAAAUUUGUACCUAGUCCCAUUUUACUGAAUAAAUCCCACUUUAACGAAAUAGAGCUUAAACCCCCCAGGGUCUGGGAGACGAACGCUUUGGGCUUUCACCCUCUCAGACUCGAACUCGGACUUGGACUCGGACUUGGACUUGGACUCGGACUCGGGCUCGGUCUCAGGCUUGGUCCCGGUCCCGGUCCCGGUCCCAGUCUCGAUCUCGGUCUCAGUCUUGGUCUUGGUCUCGGUUCCGGUCUUGGUCUCGACCUCGGACUCCAUCUCGGGUCCUUCUCGGACUCCAUCUUGGACUCCGUCUCGGUCCAUCUCGGACUCUAUCUCGGACCCCAUCUCGGGUCCAUCUCGGACUCCAUCUCGGACUCCAUCUCGGUCCAUCUCGGACUCCAUCUCGGACUCCGUCUCGGUCCAUCUCGGACUCCAUCUUGGACUCCGUCUCAGUCCAUCUUGGACUCCAUCUCAGACUCCAACUCGGGUCCCUUUUUGGAGCCUUGCUUAUUGCUCGCUUCAUGCUCGUUCCUUGAGCAUUUUGUUGGGAGUUCCACUCCCACUCUCGACCUUUCAAGUCGGAGCCUUUUAGUCCAAACAUGUUACGUUCGUUUGGCUUUUGCUUCGGCCACUACCACGUGGCACCCUUUCGGCUCCACUUUGGGGCUUAGGGAUUUGUGUCUCACACACUACACCAUAGAGUUUACUUACAACUUUGUGUCAAAGUUGUUUUCUUCUGGGAACACCUUCCCCACAACUUUAGUAUAGCACAUUCCGCCAUCGAUGAGAUACUCACUAUUCUCAUACUUGGAUCCUAUGAUCCUCCCUAACCUUGGUGGGGCACAACACACCUCAGUCUAAAUGCUUACUUAUCUAUGCCCCAGACUACUUGUCCAUGUGAUGAGAAUACCAACUCAUCUUCUAAGUACACCCCUAACUUUUUGGGUUGUUCUAGCAUUUAUCAAGUGUAGCCUCGAUUACCAUUUCAAGGACUUGUGUCCUCUUCUGUAUUUGACCUUCCACAGUCAUUAAUUUUAGUCUCAAAUUCAUGAGCACCAACCUCAACUAUAUGAGGAUAAUCUUGUGACUUCUUUAUUAUUUUGGAGUUUUUAUUUUUUCUGUGAUCCCAAUUAUAAUUGUUUACCACAGCUAUAUUAACCAGUUUGUUGAGUCAAACGUUCAUCUAGAUCAUAUCCUCAACUCUUUGAGGAAAACCUUAUACUGUUCCCAAGAUCCCGAAGUCGUUCCAUUAUUGGUCCUUUUCUAUCCACCAUCUCACGUACUAGUUCACACGUAAACUGUAGUGGAGAGCUAUGUCUUCUCGACUUGCUACUCCUCACAAAUAGGCCCACUUCUAGGACCUUCCGAUGCCAACACUAGUGGUGAUAUACUUGAGCACUAAUAAAAGUUGGACUAAAGAACAGCUCUGAUACCAAAUUGUAAGUGACUAAUUUUUCCAUCUUACUUUAGUCACUUAACCACACCUUCGACCACUUGGAGGAGUCUCAUUCACAACCUCCUUUUAAUCUGAUUUAGGACUUGGGACUUGCUAGCCCUGGGAAUGGCAUCCAUGCCACUCAUCUUUUGCACUUGGUCCAAGUGCUCCACAUGUCUAGUCCCAAGACCGACACCCCAAGGUACCACCGACAUACCAGCCCAUUACGCUAAGGCCAUGCCCAUUCACCUUGGUACCCCCGGUGGUCCAGCACCACCUGCAUCGCAGUCCCGUCUCUCAACGAUUGGGCCAUCCAUCCAGGAGUGACCAUCCAAGAUCCAUUCCUUAGCAUCCUUAAGAUGCCCGCAGACAAGGGGAGCCACCUUCCCCAAAAUCCCUUUUAUAGUCCCCACCAAGUCCCUUUUUUGUCCAUGCACCAACAAUAAGUUAUAGGACUUGAUAAUUAUAAAGCAAGUAAGCAAAAUGUGCAAAAUAAUUGAUUGGAUCAGUAGAAGUUAAUUACCCAAGACUUCUUAUUAAGAUAAAGGGGAUAAAUUGUUUAUGUUGAGAUAUAGUAAGUCAAUAUUAUAAAGGAAAAUGCUUAUUGCCAAGGAAAGCCAUCAUUGGGACAUCAAAAUGCUCUAAAACAAUAGAGAGUGGUGUUUGGAAUUAUAAAAGCAUUAGAUAAGGCACAAGGGACUAAGUCCCUAGUAAAUAAUGGAUAGAAAGUGCUAUCUAACGUCCAAGAUUGCGAGACGGGAGAAGUCUAUCUAUCCAAAUUAAAUAGAGCCAAAAAGGGAUUUAGGCAUGGCUAGCAAUGGGCAUAAAGAGGCCCAUGCAUAGCGACAUUAAUCCUAGUGUGUAUAAUUAAAAGGUGAGCAUAUUCAAAUUGAAAAACCACUCCCUAAAUUAUUGAGUAGGUUCAUCUUUAAGAAUACUUACUAAUGCAUAGUAGAAAGUGCAAAACUACCCUCUCAGAUGGGAGGAGAAUAAUUAAAAAGAAGGUGUAAGGCCAAAAAGCAAAUAGUAAAAGGAUAAAACCAAACUACAGAAAUUGAAGGGCAUAACCAAAGAUAAUUAUGCAAGUUGGGAGUGGAGAAUCAAGUAGGUGUUCGAACGCAUUUUUAUUAUUAGCAACUGUGAUGCCAUUGAGAGUCUAAAGUAUGGAAUUGUUUAUGUUAGACCAUAUAGCAAUUAAAAAGCUUGCGAAAGGAGAGGCCUUAACAAACUAAUGGACAAAGUCCCUUCAAGAUUCCCAAAGACAAUUCUAGGUAGAUUAAUACCUAGAAAAACAAGUGUAAAACGUUUAUAGAAUAUGCAAAAUCAAAGUGGCACUUACCAUAAGGCAAGGCUAUCAAGGUUGGGAAAGUUGUCCUUGAGUGUUUAAAGAGAUAACUUUGAAUGAAAGUUGAUAGUUAAGGACUUUCAUGCUUAUGCAUGAAACCAUGUUAUGCUAAUCAAGUGACUUGCUAAGUGAGAUUGGCAAUUCGGAGGGAACAAAGACUCUAGUUAAAGGUGUUGACUUAAAAAACGAGUGGCUCAUAGGGUUAAACAUAGAGGAGUCCAUGCAUAAUCAUAGACUUGUUAAGUGAAAGGACUUAGCAGUGUAGAAGAACUAAGUUCCUAAACUAUGAUCCAUAACGUGCUUUAAGUAUAAAUUGGUGCACUGACGUGGGGAGUCAUGUCAGGCAUUUUGGGUGAUGCUGCUCAUAGAUGCAUAUAUAGAAGUUAGGUUCGAGUCCCAACCCUCUAGUGUUUAGGUUUAAGUCUCAACUCACUAGGGCAUGAUGAUGGUUUGGAAUAUAAGGACACUCAUUUUUCGGUGGUCAUGGACUCUCAAUAAGGAGACUAACUUGAGUGAGGGAUGCCCCAAGGUUGCGAUGCACAGUUAGAUUGUUUAGUGUGAAAGCUCAGCAUAUCUAACUUAAACACUUAGGUGCAAGUAGCAUCAAAGACGUGGUGAAUAAGAUGGGGAUACUCAAUUUCAGUUGCUAUGGACCUUUGGUCAGAGGGUUAAUUUGGGCACACUACCAAGUGUGGGGGAUGCCCCUAGGGUCAUGGUCAACAAUUUAAAAGUUUAGAAGACUUAAUACCUAAGGAAUAAAGUUCUUAAUUCAAAGUGUUGAUUUAAACUAUUGAUAAUAGUGUGGCUUGGUCAAGGUGACCAAAUGGGAAGAACACUUAAGGGAAAUGAACUACAACAAUACAAUGGUAUUGUGAGUUCAAAAAAAUAGUCUCUAAGAAAGGACCUAUAAGUGAGUUGCAAGAUUGAGUUAUGGAUAGAGCCUAGAGUAGAAAACAUUGGGGAGACUUACUAGGGCUGUACACCCCCUAGACUUGGCAAAGCAAAGCUUUUGCUAUGGAACCAAAAUAAUACCUUGAGCAUGGUGGUAAUGAUCUUGUGUUGCUUUGUGCAACAAUCAAAGGAUAGGAGCAAAAGACUGGUGGCCAAGUUUGGGCUAUAGGAAUCAUUGGAAGAAAUCCAAACAACAAAGUUGAGCAAGGAACACUUAUAUAUUGAAUGCUCAUGGAUUGUGGGAAAGAAAAUAUGUUUUCAAAGAUGGAUUCCCAAAUGCUCUAAUUUGGCAAAAGUGAAAGCUUCAAGGGAGGGAAUGGUAAGGUAGCCAAAUGAUAAAGCCGUGAACAGCACAAUGGAAAAUAGAACUUAAUGCUUAAAGUGGUAAAAAAUAAGAGAGAGGAUGAUGGUGCCCUCAAGUAAAAAACGUCCUAAGAUAGGGAAAUAGAGUUUGCAUAACAUGUGCAAUACAAGAUGUUGGAGACACCUAGGAAAUUGACUUUGAGAAGUCAAAAUUAAAAGUUCCAAAGUGCGAUAGUUAUGUUGGUAGAGGUUGAAUGAGUAGUUAAAUUGAAAUAGAGAGGGUGUCUCUAACAAGUUUAACAUGAACUAAAUGAGUAAAAGGGGAAGGACCACUAUUAGUGGUCUAAUGAGUCUCUAAGUUGGAGGGACUAUACUCCUUAGAGGAUGGACAAGGCAUGGUAAACCUUAAGUGCCAAACCAUUGAUGAAUAUGUGAGAUACAAAUCCCUAAGCCCCAAAGUGGAGCCGAAAGGGUGCCACGUGGUAGUGGCCGAAGUGAAUGCCAAACGAGCGUAACACGUUUAGACUAAAAGCUCCAACUUGAAAAGUCAAAAGCGAGAGUGAAAAUCCCAAUGAAAUGCUCAAGGAAUAAGCACAAAGCGAGCAAUAAGUGAGUCUUUAGAAAAGGGACAUAAGAGGACUAACACAUGACACGAGAUGAAGUCCAAGAUGGACCCAAGAUGGAGUCCGAAAUGGAGUCCAAGAUGGACCCAAGAUGGAGUCCGAGAUGGACCCGAGAUGGAGUCCAAGAUGAAGUCUAAGAUGGACCCAAGAUGGAGUCCGAGAUGGACCCGAGAUGGAGUUCAAGAUGGAGUCCGAGAUGGACCCGAGAUGGACCCGAAAUGGAGUCUGAAAUGGAGUCCGAGAUAGAGUCCAAGAUGGACCCGAGAUGGAGUCCGAGAUGGACCCAAGAUGGAGUCUGAGAUGGACCCAAGAUGGACUUGAGAUGGAGUCCGAGAUGGACUCAAGAUGGAGUCCGAGAUGGAGUUUGAGAUGGACCCGAGAUGGAGUCCGAGAUGGACCCGAGAUAGAGUCCGAGAUGGACCCGAGAUGGAGUCCAAGAAGGACCCAAGAUGGAAUCUGAGAUGGAGUCUGAGAAGGACCCGAAGUUGAGACCGAGACCGAGACCGAGACUGGGAUUGGGACCGAGACCGAGACCGGGACCGAGACCGAGAUCAAGACCGAGACCGAGACCGAGACCGAGCCCAAGCCCGAGUCCAAGUCUGAGUCUGAGUCCGAGUCCGAGUCUGAGAAGGUGAAAGCCCAAAGCAUUCAUCUCCCAGACCCUGGGGGGUUUAGUGAGCUUCAAAAGUAUAAUAAGCGGGAGGACUCCAAUGGAGCCAGUUUGGCCAGGAAAGGCCAGUUUGGCCCAGGAAAGCUGUACCCAAGUGUUGGGUGAUAGGAUAACCACUAGGAGGUCCAAGGCUAAAGUGAAUAUGGACUAUCAAGCAGGAUAGCUUGGUGAAGUGUUCAAGAGUCGGCUCUAGUUCCUCCAGGAGAUCGAGUGGUCGAUGCUCCCAAUUCAGGUGUGGGUGGCACUACCUACUUGGAUACCUGGCAUGGCUUAAUGAAACCUUGCUCUAAGCCCAUGGCUAGAGCACCCAAAGGCAGAAAGAGGGGAGAGUACCCACGAGGCUCGCAUAAGGCAACGGUGUUCCGAAAUGUUGUCCCAAUGUCCCAGACUGUAGAAUGGAAGAGGAGUAGUCCUCUAGUGUGGUGACCAAGGAUACGGUUAUGUUAUGAGAAAGUCCCAGAGGACAGUGAGACUUAGUGGUCAGGUCUAUGGGCCGUGUCCCAGUGGAAGAGUAGGCAAACUUGGCCUUCUACAUCUCCAUCAUUAUUUGGGUCACCACAUUCUAACCACAUGCCUUCCAAUUUAAACUAUGCCAUUCUCAUUUCCAUUGGGAUUAUUUUGGUAAAAGGUUCUUAUGAACCCGCCAACUUGACCUCAAAGCAUUACACUUUGGCACAUUUGGUGUUUUCACACCAUUGGCAUCACAAACCUACUUUUAUGACACUUCCCACUUGUGUUUAGGUCUUUGCCAAAACCAUCAGAAUUGUUUCUCAUACCAACUAUCCAUUAGCACUACACUAUAGUGUUUACACACAACUUUGAGCCAAAAUUAUUUUCUUUUGAGAACACCUUUUCUACAACUUUAGUAUGGUAUCUUUUGCUAUUAAUGAGAUACACAUUGUUCCCAUACUUGGAUUUUAUGAUCUUCCCCAUCCCUCGUAAGGUACAACACACCUUAGUCCAAAUGCUUUCACCAAUUCUUUAUGACCAUUCCUUGACUCCACUUGAGUUAUCCAACUUUUUAGACUUUGCUGAUUUUAAUAACCCUUGAGGUCUUACUUUUGAGGUGCCAGCUUGCUAGAAUAUAACUUAUUAUAUUCAUAUCUUAUUCAUAACGACUAUCUUUGCAAGUGUUACUCUAAUACUUGAUUAUUUUCCAUUCUCUAUAGGUUACCUUUGCCCCUUAGGACUAUCUAUCCAUAUGAUGAGAAUACCAACUCAUCCUCUAAGUACCCUUCCAACUCUUUGGGUUUGUUCCAAUAUUUAUAAAAGGUAGCCCCAGCUACCAUUUCAAGGAUUUGUGUCCUCAUCUGUAUUUGACUUCCCACGAUCAUUAAUUUAGGUCUCAAAUUCAUGAGCACCAACCUCAACUAUAUAAGUAUAAUCUUGUAACUCCUUUAUUGUUUUAGAGUCUCUAUCUUUCCCAUGAUCCCAACUGUAAUUGUUUACCAUAACUAUAUUAGCUAGUUCGCUAAGUCAAAUGCUCAUCUAGAUCAUAUAUCCUCAACUCUCUAAGGGAAACCUUAUAUUAUUCUAAAGAUCCCAAAGUCAUUCCCUUAUUGGCCAUUUUCUAUCCACCAUAUUGCCUACAAGUUCACAUCUAAACUAUAGUAGAGAGCCAUGUCCUCCCAACCUGCUACUCAAGGAUAUGCCCACUCCUAGGACCUUCCGAUGCCAACACAAGUGGUGGUAUACUUUACCUCCAAUAAAAGUUAGAAUAAGGAAUAACUCCAAUACCAAAUUGUAAGCGACUAAAUUUUCCAUUCUACUUUAGUCACUUAACCACACCUCCAACCACUUAGAGGAGUCUCACUCACAACCUCCAUAAGUUCUAUUCUGGACUUGGGGCUUGCUAGCCCUGAAAAUGGCAUCUAUGCCACUUAACCUUUGCACUUGGUUCAAAUGCUCUUUGUGUCUGAUCCCAUAAUUUACACCCAAAGGUACCACCGACAUAUUACCCCAUUACACUAAGACCAUACCCAUUCACCUUUAUCACACUAGUGUUCCAACACCACCUACAUCACAGUCUUGUCUCUCAAAGACUAAGCCAUCUAUCCAUGAGUAAUCAUCCCAGAUCCACUUUUUAGCAUCCUUAGAAUGUCUACAGACAUGAGGAAUAGCCUUCCUCAAUAUCCCUUUUUGGUCCCCAUCAAGACCCUUUCUGUCCAUGGCCAUGUUCGCUAAUAUUGCCAUUGAAUCAAGUCCCACAAGCCUAACCAUUAAAUCCCACUGUCCUCUGGUACUUCCUCACCAUGUGAUUGCAUCCUUGGUCACUACAUUAGAGGAUUGCUCCUCUUCCUUUCCACAGUCUAAGACUUUAGGACAACAUUUCAGAACACUGAGGCCCUAUGUGAGCCUCAUGGGUACUCUCCCCACCUUCUGCCUUUAGGUGCUCUAGCCAUGGGGCUAAAGCGAGGUUCCAUUGAACUACACUAGGUAUCCAAGUAGGUAGUGCCACCCACGUUUGGAUUGGGAGCAUCAACCAUUUAAUCUCUUGGGGGAGUUAGAGUUGACUCUUGAACACUUCACCAAAUUACCCCACUUAUCUAUCUAUAUUCACUUUAGCUUUGGACUCCUCAGUGGAUAUAUCAUCACCCAACACAUGGGCAUAGCUUUUCUGGGUCACACUAGCCGUUUCUGGCCAAACUGACUCCACUGGGGUCCAACCCCCACACUCUCCCUAUUAUACUUCUGUAGCCCCCCCCCCUAUGACCUCGGUCUCGGAUUUGGACUCGAUCUCAGUCUUAGAUUCGGUUUUGGUCUCGGUCUCAGUCUCGUUUCCAUCUCAGACUCCAUUUCAGAUCCAUCUCGAACUCCAUCUUGGGUCCAUCUCAAACUCCAUCUCAGACUCCAUCUUGGGUCCAUCUCAAAUCCAUCUCAGACUCUAUCUCGGACUCCAUCUCGAGUCCAUCUCGGGUCCAUCUUGGCACUUCUACGCGUCAUGUGUUGAUCUUCUUAUGUCCCUUUUCUAGAGACUCACUUAUUGCUUGCAUUGAGCUCAUUCCUUGAGCCCUUAGUUGGGAGUUCCACUCCUACUCUCGAUUUUUCAAGUUGGAGCUUUUAAUCCAAACGUGUUUAUCAGGAAUGUGACUUCGGGUAUCAAAAGAUACUUGUCGGUCAGUCCUUACGAACACUCUUUCCUUACUACCAUAACAGUAGGAGGUUGAUACUGUUGGUUCCCUUCAGUAGCCCUUCUUGUCCAAGUGUUAGAUUACUGGGCUUAGCAUCUGUAUUUAGUCAGAUGAACAUAAGGUAGAAUCUCUUAUGCAUUUCUAACUAAGCAUUCUCAAACUGGCUCUUAGUUCUCUUUUGCUCUGUUUUGCACUGGUUUGGCAAGAACCUUCACAUAUUGAGACUAGUCCCUCAAUAAUGCUGGAUGAUAUCUUUAUCUUUCGAUAAAGAUAGUAUUGAUAGUUUGGUUGUAGCUUUAUGUUAUUGGUAUUUAUACAGUUGCUAAUUAGUAAUUGUAUUAAUGUUCAAAUGAACUAAGUGGCAAGUUAAGUUAGUUGUGUUCUAGAUAAGAUUGCUUAGUAGGGGUUGAGUUUUAACUUUUCUUUGAAAGAUGAUUCAGUCGUGGACUAUGCUAGCUUUACCAGGGGAAGAGUUAGUGAUCAAUAUUGGAAUGUUUGAAUCCUUAUUGGAUUUGAGUUGGGAUAUAUUGAUCAUUAAUAAUUCUUCUUGUGCUUGUUAUGAAGUGAGUUACGUUUUGCUAUAAAUGAAUUCAUGGAGGAUUGAUUAAAUGAUCACUUAUUGAGCAUAACUUCGUUGUGCUUUGCUUUUGGAUUGAUACAAAUAUACUCUUCAUUAACUUUAGCAUUAUAAAGUUUAACUUAUGGAUGUGUUGAAGAGGAUAUUAAUAGUUAUACUAUAAUUUCUUCUUUAACAUUGAAGUUAGUUCAUGUGAAAUUUAUGAUCAUUAUUAGGCAAGACUUGGCUAUAGACUUCUUCAAGCUUUUGAUUCCUUGAAUUUUCAUGUUCAUUGCUCCAUUUGUUAGAAGUUGUUAUGGAAGGCAUUUUAACUCCAUAACUUCGAUGUUAAAGUUAGUAUUUGCAUCUAGCAAUCAUUGGUGAUGAUUGACUAUCAUCUAGGAUAAUUGAUUAUUCUUGCCAAAAAGUUUUGCUUGAUUAUUAUUGAUAUAGAAUGAUUUGUUAUUCUUCGGAAUGGUGGAUUCUUUCUUCGAUGAUGAUUAUGCAUUUAUUCAUUGAUGGGAUAAUUGAUGAUCUUUCAUGAUAAUUAGUUAUUCUCUUUGAUUGUUUUUGGCUUUUUGCAUUACUACAUAUUCUUUAUGGUUUACUCUAGAUGAGAUAUCAGUAGGAUGUUGCUAAUACUUACUUUGAUUCCUUCGUAUUAUUGACUAGGAUCUAUUUAGAUUGGAUAGUGCAAUAGUUAACAUGAAUGAGUGUUUGUUGAUCUUACCGCAUUCAUUCUAUUCUAUUAAUUGUUGCUUGAGUUAGUUCUGAUAGAUUGGAUAUUAUUUCUUUCGGGUCAUACAUUUGCGAACAUUUUGCUUGCUAGUCAAUGAUAUUUUGUAUUCUUUGAGUUGUCUUUCCUAAAUUGUUUAGCAUGCUAUCUAUAAUCUUUGGUAGUUAAGUUUUAUCAUUGAGUUUUCUUGAUGAUACACUGGCUAUUAAAUUUUGUUGAAUAGUAAUACCUUGUUUUCCAACUAUAGUGAUUUUGGUGGUUCCUGUACUCUAAUACUCAUUUAUCGGAUGAUAACUUACUUGGAAUACUUUCGUGUUCUAAACUAAGCUUUAUUCACUGAUAAUUAAGUCUCUAAAAUAUCAUUGUUUAUAACUUUAAUAUUGUCCAUCUAUUGAUCUUUGAGUUUAGGCCAAUAUAGGAAGACUAGCUUUGGCACUUUGUAUGCAUAGUGAAAUCUUUAGUUAUAGGGUAGUUACUAUCGACUGGUCACAUCAUCUGCCUCUCUGUCGAUGUUUUUUAUUCUGUUAAAAGGGCGUGAUUGUGUAAACAACUUUAACUACCUAUUUAUAAUAGUUUAUUUAAACCUUACCAACAGGUUUAAUUUCUUUGUUCAUGAGGGUUGGGGCCUCUGGCUUCUCUCUCUAUAUCCUUGUGGGUAGAGGCGUAAGGGGGGGGGAGGGGGGGGGGGGGGGGGUGNNNNNNNNNNNNNNNNNNNNNNNNNNNNNNNNNNNNNNNNNNNNNNNNNNNNNNNNNNNNNNNNNNNNNNNNNNNNNNNNNNNNNNNNNNNNNNNNNNNNNNNNNNNNNNNNNNNNNNNNNNNNNNNNNNNNNNNNNNNNNNNNNNNNNNNNNNNNNNNNNNNNNNNNNNNNNNNNNNNNNNNNNNNNNNNNNNNNNNNNNNNNNNNNNNNNNNNNNNNNNNNNNNNNNNNNNNNNNNNNNNNNNNNNNNNNNNNNNNNNNNNNNNNNNNNNNNNNNNNNNNNNNNNNNNNNNNNNNNNNNNNNNNNNNNNNNNGCGCUAAAGGCUUAGCUCGAUUUUUAUGAAUGGCAAGUAGGAAUAGUGGGUAAGUCAAGUAUGGCUGACCAACCUAAAGCAUAGUUUAACUCCCGUUUGCGUGCUUAUCUUUGUUCUGCGUCCGAUUUGGGUCUAAGCCCACAUUGUACACCAUGUUAGCUGGUGGAGUACCAUAUCCUCAUGUUAGGCUACCAGUAUGCUGAAAUAAUACCAGACUCUAUUUGGCUUCGUUUUGCAUGCUAGUCUUGGCAUUGGGAUAUUGAAUGCUCUAGGACUGUUCUAAGUUGCUCUGCGCUCCUAUCCUUUCACUCCUUGGGUUGUACAUUUGGGAGUCAUUCCAUGAUCCAGUGCCAUUUGUCGCGAAUGUGACUUCGGGUAUCAAAAGUUACCUGUCGACCAGUCCUUACGGACACUCUUACCUUACUGCCACGAUGGCAGGAGGUCGGUAUUGCUGGUUCCCUUUAUUAGCCCCUCUUGUCCAAGUGUUAGCUUACUGGGCUUAGCAUCUGUACUUAGCCAGAUGAACAUAAGGUAGGAACUCCUAUGUGUUUCUAGCUGAGCAUUCUCGGCCUGGCUCUUAGUUCUCUUUUGCUCUGUCUUGCACUGGCUUGGCAAGAACUCUCGCGUAUUGAGAUUAAUCCCUCAAUAUCGCUGGAUGAUAGCUUACCGUGUCUGCCAAACACCCUCGCUAUCAUGCCCUUUGUGUUAGUCUCAUUUCGGUCCCAAAUGCUAUUUAUGGAAAGUGUCCAGAUUUGCUCAUUUGGCAUAUCUACGGAAUGUAAAGAUCGGCCUGAACACAAUGGUGUUCGUCCCGUGUCCAAAUUCACAAUCUAAGGACAUUCCAUAUUUAGUAAGUUUUGAGCUUGUCCCAGAGACUAACUCCAGAUACUAAGGGAGGCUUGGGGUGAAAGCCCAAAGCGUGUGUUCCUCAAGGGGGGGGGCUAUGGGGGGUUCCAAAUGUAUAGUAGGGAUAGUGGGUAGGUCAGGCAUGGCCGACCAACCUGAGGCAUAGUCUAGCUCCCGCUUGCGUGCCUGUCCUUGUUCUGCGUCCGGCUUGGGUCUAAGCCCAAGUUCCAUUCCAUGCUAGCUGGUGGAGUACCCAUAUCCUCACGUUAGGCCACCGGUAUGCCGAAAUAGCGCUAGACUCCGUUUGGCUCCGUUUUGCGUGCUGGUCCUGGCAUUGGGAUGUUGGUUGCUUCAGGAUUGUUCCAAGUCGCUCCGGGCCCCUAUCCCUUUGCUCCUUGGGCUUUAUGCUCGGGAGUUACUCCGUGGUUCGAUUCCAUCACUCCUUGGCUCCAUGCUUGGGAGUUUGGCACCGUUCGUUCGUUCAAUGGCUCAAGGCCCUGAACCUCGGGUUCCUAUGGACACGUGGCAUGUGACACGUGGCAUCUGUCACGUGGCACAAAGAGGGUUUAGGUUCCGCUUCGUGGUGUUAUCCUAUGAUAAAUCACCAUAGGAUAAAGGGUGAAAACCACGUGCGCUACACAUUGCUCCUUGGCUCCAUACUUGGGAGUUUGGCACCAUUCCUUUGUUCAGUGGCCCAAAGCUCUAAAACUCAGGUUCCAUACCACUAUCUUUUGGACACGUGGCAUAUGGUAUGUGGCAUGUGACACAUGGCACAUGAAGGGUUUAGAUUUUGCUUCAUGGUUAUUCUAUAAUAAAUCACCAUAGGAUAAAGGGUGGCACAUGAAGGGUUUAGAUUUCGCUUCAUGGUUAUUCUAUAAUAAAUCACCAUAGGAUAAAGGGUAAAAAUCACGUGUGCUAUAAUGUUAUACUCAUUUGGCUUCCACUUCGACCACUUCCAUAUAGCACUCUUUCGGGUCUACUUUUGGGGCUUUGGGAUAAUGGGUAUGUGUCUAUAACUCAUUCUUAAAUCUAUUAUACAUCCAUACAUAAGAAAAAUUAAAUACCAAAUAUAAUACCAUUAUGUGUUUGCAAGUAGUCCUGCCAUAUCAAAAGCAAGAUCUUGCAGAAAUAUAUGGCACUACUCUUGAAGCACUAGAGCUUCUCUAGUAACAUGAUCUAAAAUUUCAUAUAUAUAAGGAGCUCUAGUUCAACUUCACUAGAGCCCCCAAUAGAGAGAGGAUUAUUAUGUGAAGAUGAAGGUGGACUGUUGGUAAAAUUUAAGGAUGGAGGUGGAGAUUGAUAUGAAAUGAGGGGAAUAAGUACAAGUAACAAUGACUUUCUUUCAAACCAUUUCUAUACAAACUUUCAAGGAGCUCAAGGAGAACAAGAAAACUAUAGUGACUAUAACUUUUCUUGAUAGUUUAUAUACUAAGUUUUAGUCUUGGGAAUGAGGUUUAUUUAUUAUAAUACUGAUAAUACUCAAAUUCAUAAAAUGUUAAUUUUGGAAAUCAUAAUCAUAUUUUACUUAUAAACAUAAGAGCUUUUAAAAUUCUAGAUUAUUGUGUAUAUACAUGCUCUAUUAUUCUGAUGAAAACUUACUCCACUACACAUACUACACUUAUACCAAUUUUCUAAAGUGGAUACACUGCCUCUAGCAACGUGAGGAACCAGUCCCAAAGGUUGAUAGGCAAACUCACAUUUACCACAUCAGUAUCUUUUUAAAAAUUUGAUAGGGAUAUAAUUGUUUCUAGUAAGAAGUUUGGGCUGCCUAAGCUUUUCCUUCUCCUUUGUCAGCUACCUCAAGGCAUUCACAAUCACCUUUCUUCCAUUCUUUACUUGUCUAUUAUAUUUGUUUUUCUUAAAUAGGAGUAAAGAUAUGCCAGACACAAUGUAAGGAGCAUAAGCCAAUAGGAUGUAAGGAUUCUAAUGAAAUGUUUUCACCUUUGCCCUUAAAAUGGAUUUGAUAUUAUUUUUUCUUUUAAUUUAAAUGAGAGUUUAAAUGGCUAGAGAGGUCAUCAUUUGCUACUUCUUGAAUAUACUUUGUAGGUAUUUCUCCUACACCUUAUGUCUGGAGUAUCUUUGCUCCUAUUUAAGAAAAAUGUUUUUAGAUAAAUUUUGCAAGUUGUUCAUGCAAUUGCUUCUGAACUUCCCAUUGCAUCUAGUGCUUGCCUGCCACACACAUGAGGAAAAACAAAUAUAAUAAACAAGCAAAGAAUGGAAGAAAGGUGAUUGUGAAUGCCUUGAGGUAGUUGACAAAGGAGAAAGAAAAGCUUAGCGAGCCCAAACUUCUUAAAAGAAACAAUUAUAUCCCUAUCAAAUUUUUAAAAAAUACUGAUGUAGUAAAUAUGAGUCUGCCCAUUGACCUUUGGGAGUGGUUCAUGGCUUUCAUGAAGUGGUUAUGGAGCUCAUGAUGCUACUCUACCAUGGGGGCAUCCUUCAAGUUCAUUCACAUUCUUUCCUUCACAAUCAUAAAUCAAUGGCUAUGGUUUCCAAUGGCAUUUUGUGCUUAAAUCUGACCCUUUUCUACUUCAUUUCUUUGCAUGCCGUUUUUACUAUAACAUUCUACUAUCUUAAAUUUUUUUAACAAUGAAUUUUGAAAUAAUUUUGAAUAUCAAAAUCAUAUAAAAUGACAGUCUUGUAGCAAAUUUAAUUGUGAAAGUUCAGUACGUCUUAUUUCUACUGAUAAAAAUAAAGAUCGAUCUACUAGUGUAACAAAACCCCCACUACGACGUGUAAUACAAUGUUCUUUUAUAAAUUUUAUAGCUUCUAAAAUAUCAUUUCUAGUUUCUAUAAGAUUACGAGUUCUUCUUCUUGUUACUAAUAAAGCAAAUUUAAGAUUUAUAGAGCUUUCUCUAUACCUCAUUUGAAAUGGAUUUCUAUACCAUUGAUUUAAUAUAUUUGUUGAAGCUUGACAAUAUUCAUUAUCACUAAUUCUUAAAUGUCUUCCUCUCAUAUAACAAGAUUCAAUUGCAGAGCUUGAAUAACAAAGAGAUUUUAUAAAACUAUUUACUAGAAAUAAUAAUAAUAUAUUAAAAUACAUAUUUAUAUAUUAUGAUAAUAUUUAAUAAAAGUAAAAAAAUUAUUUUUAAAAAAAGUAUGGAUAUGAGAGCUCAGAAUACCAAAAUGUGCAUAUUUGUAUUAGCCUGAAACACUAACUUAUAUAUAAAAGAGCAAGUGCUCCGGAUUGAAUUCAAUCUAACACUUAUCAAAAUCCCACUAAAGUAAUAUUAGUAAAGAACACCAUAACCAAACACUUGGACCUUAUAUAGAUAAUUACAUAGAUGAGAACUAUUGCUAACACCUACAUUGAGUUUUUAUCUAUUAACUAUUCCUUAUAUACAUAGUUAUAUAUGUGGGUGUGUCUAUAUAUAUAUAUAUAUAUAUAUAUAUAUAUAUAUAUAUAUAUAUAUAUAUAUAUAUAUAUAUAUAUAACUUAAACUCUAACUCUAUGUGUAUGUUGGAAUAUGGGAAGAACUAUAUUAAUUAUGGUCCAAGACUAAGUUCAAACUUAAUUAGAUGGUCCAUAGUUUACACUAAUUAAUUUCAUAGAAAUAUAUAGAAUUUCAAAAGGAUGUCUGUUCUAUGAGAAUCUUUGUGUGACAUGAGGUUGGACGAGGUACGCCUAGUUAGCAGACGUCCAGAUAUAAGUGUCCUGGCGUACCACCCGGUUCAACAUGCACCCGAUUGGACCAUUCGAUACGUCCGGCCCGAAUCAACCUCGUCUCCACUUGCACACUUGCACGCACGGUCAUCUAGCUUCGCAAUUAAAUGCCUCUGCAAAAUAUACUGUUGAUGAAAAUUUAACAGAAAGAGAGAAUUCAUAUUAUCAUUUUCUUUUCCAAACUAUGGUGGACGAGAACGAACACGUCCUUGUGAGAGGAGUCUUGUGCGAUGUUGAAAACUUUGCCCCCCCUCGGCAACUUAAACGCGGGGAGCUGCAACUGGACUGACCUCUAGGAAAACAAUUCUGGCCAAUCCAACCAACGCAGCAGCUAAAACCUCCUAGUCUACGAACUCGAAAAAAGAGAGAAAAAAAAAAUACAGACCCUUGUCGAAAGAGUUUGAUGAUGCAAAGUUGGUGUGUUCUUCCGCUUUUCAAUCCAUGACGCAAUUCGCUGGAGCAAAGCCGAUCCUGGAGCGCUCGAGGUCGUGCUCGAUCAAGUAAUCCUGCUGCUGGUAGUUUCCAAUCACGUUAACUCCGCCCUGCGCGACCGCCCCGGCAUUCACGAACGCCAGGCAGAUGGUCACCACUUGCGGCGUCCUGGCCAAAGGUACCCACACACUCGCUUCUCGGAGCUCCAUGUCUACGUUGUUCUUGAAGUGGAGCGUGACGAGCGGAGCCGUUGGUAGCCUCGCGUCACCGGCAGCUACGUCGUAGCACAGCUCCUUUGUAAAAUCACUUCCGCUCGUUCGAUUGAGGUGUAAGACCCGGCGUCCAAACGCUUCCACCAGUGCUGUGUGAGCCGGCUCCACCAGGAAAGACACCGUCGUUCCAGAGUCGAAAUAAGUUCCACCGUUCCCGAGCCUGUCGAUCUUGAAUGCCGAGCGUGGGAUGUGGAGCAGCUCCCCCCCGACACUUAUUCCUUGCAAGCCGACGUAGUAGAAGUCGACGAUACUCGCAAUUGGAGGCUCCUGCUCCAGAGAUAGAUACUGGAAGUGGUGCGCUGGAAUUCCCGAGUCCCCGAAAAUUAUAACUCCGGACGAGUUGAGAUGCUCUGCUCGGUUCGGGAAGCAGUAGGAGAACCUGUCCGAUAGCCCGCUCUUACUCCGGCUCCCAAUCUGAGCGGGAAACGAGAAACUCCCCCGGUUGAGUCCCAGAGUUCCCGACGAAAAGUCUACCGGACGCUGGAGGUCUUUGCUUGCGCAGCCGAAUAUCACGUCCCCCAGGGUCGACGCCGCUCCAUCCCAGCUCUGCAGGCUGAAAAUCUCCCGGGCGAUGACACCGUACGCCUCGCUUCCGUCCAAGUAUGCCACUUGGAAGCUGCACGAGCCUGUGGACCGGUUGCAAGCGCUCUGGAAUCCCAACUUGCUGCGGCCGAGGCACACCGAGGAGGUGCAAGGCUCGGAGAUGAAAGACGACGACAGCCCCGGAUUGAAAGGCGGAACUUUGGUGGGAGAACAGUUGGUGCACGACGUCCCCUGGACCCAAGUUAGCUCGCUUGCGGUGUCAACCAACAGAAGGACUUCCCUGGGAGGCGUACCAAUCUUCGUUUGCAUGUAGUAAGCGGUGGUGAGCUGAGCGAGUGACGAAACCGGAUCUUCACGCGACUUUGACACUUCAUGUUGCCUCUCAACCUGUGCCUGGGCCGUUCUUCUCGACCGCGACAAUUCUCUUCCCGUUAUGCUGAAGCAUCUGGCUCGAGGAGCAGCAGCAUCAUUUGGCGAGCUGAGAAGAAGCGAUCGCAAAUGGAGACGAUCGGGUCGGCCGGUGGUAUUCCAGCAGCUUACCUGCAUUAGCAGCAGGAGCAGGAGCAAGUAAAUCAGGAGGAUGAUUGCUGAUGCAUGCAUUCUAACAGCCACACAAUCAAGCAGCAUCUUCACCAAGCUCAUGAAUGCCUUAUCAACGAGGAGAAAACCAACUUAAACAAAUUGCAAGAGAGAAACUUACGAGGAUCUAUAUUGCGUGACGACGAUUCCUUGCUCGGCUCGGCUCGACCGCUCGUGUAGAAAAACCCCGCUGCAAGCGAUUGACCAAGCGAAUUCUCUGGACGACUUCUACCAUGUUUCCAAGGGAUUUAAGACCUGGUUGCGUUGUUUCCAAAGGAUCUGCAGCUGAAUUUUGUGAGAAUGAUUAUGAACUGCGGUUGCCAACGAAAAUAUAUAUCAGGCAAAUGAUUGUACGGUUGCCGCGAGUUAAAGCCAAGCCUGCGCAAGCGGUCAUGUCCAUCACUGAGAGAAACAGCGGAUUAUUUCCAGUAAAUUCAGAAAUAAACAAAACAGUAGCUUACAGAUUAGACAAGAGCAUGACGUUUUGACCAUGUGUGAAGUUUAAUCAGCAUGACGUUUGUGUCGAACGCCGACGAAUCUCUUAGUUCUGCCAGAACUACAAGCAAAAAGGUGUUACAUACAGAUAUGAAAAUGCUGUACACAAACGGAAGACUCCCUCGCAGAUUCGAAGGACAAGGCGAGCACUCAAGCCUGGGUCAGCCUACAACGAUUUCUCUAUGCCUGUCCACAUUUGCGAAGACAUCUAAAACCCUCUUCUUCGUACUCUUGUCUUGUAAUCCAGAAAUCAGAUGUAUCCUGCGCGGUUGAGCUGUUGAAUUAGCAAGUAAAAUGUUUUCAAGUACCUUCAUGAUGCCAGCUAAAACUGCACCACCCAAGUAAACCAUGUGCUUCCGCCGGGGAGGGUCUUCAAUUCGAAGCUUGAACUUCUGCAACCAUUUGUAGUUUAGAAACGAAACGACAAUAAGACUACCCUCACCUUCAAACCCUCUUUAUUUCCUUUCAAAACUGUCUUGAGGUAAAAAUCUCGAAUCUCCCUCUCUAACCUGGCCAAAGGAGACGAAACCGUACAUUUGACAUCAAGAGCUCUAAAUAGAAACACUUACCGGCUAGGUAGACCAGGAUACAUUGUGCUUCCUCCACUUAGGACAAUGUGUUGAUAAAGCUGCAGUCCUACCACAAGUAAAAAUCUCAAGGACACAGCAAAAAAGGAUUUACCGUCAUCCGAUUGUCAAUGUCCAUUUCUUGAAUGCAUCUGAAUACAAGCUCGGCAAGUCCUCCUCCUUCCAUAUCCAGCAGUUCCUGGACAAAACUCUCUAAAGUUACAACGUGAAUACCAGCAAAGGUAACAGUGCUAACCGGAUUGAACAACGCUUCUGGUGCUUGGAAGCGUUCCGCGCCUACCUUUAUGACUCGUCCAUCUGGCAACUGAAAACAAACAGAUUUUAUAAGUUCACCCCAGGUUACAAAUUACAAACCGUAUAUUGCUUCACCACAAUAGUUGUCUCCAGUGCCAAUUGAGUUUCUCGCUUGUAGUCAAAACUUUAAGACAACAAUUUUAGUUAGAAAUCAGCUCGUGAUCUAGCACGCUGACAAACCUGACAUAACAUAGCCUCUCUUUCAUUUCCCUUACUGUUUCAAAGUCCGCGCUCCUGUUAAAAGCGUACCUACAAGGAGAAAAAGAAACACCAAGCUAAAAUGAACUAGUAUAAAAGCAGUCAGCUUUACCCUCUACGGAGCAGAAGAUCGAUAAGGUAGGAGGUAACAUGACGCCCUGCAAUAUUCAUGCGUUUUGUGAGGUGAGGGAACGAGUACCCAUCUACAACAGGUACCUAGCACCACGGUUACAGUUACAAUCGAGAUGACAAACGAGAAAGAUAAAGUAGAAGUUGAUACUUACAAUGUGUGUAACUCCGUCUCCAGAGUCAACUACGAGCCCCGUUAAUAAUCCUGCUCAUUCAAGAAAACACAACAGUACAUUAACGUAAGGUCUUUGCUCAAAGAACCUUGGGCAUAGAGUGUUAAAACGGCCUGAAUUUGGAUAUAAACAGCUGCAAAAUUGUACUUCUCAAACAUAGUCUCAACCUGAUUAAAACCUUUGGUUAUGGCUAGAAACCAGGUUCAAAAGAACGUACCAUUCUUUCGCGAUUCUUAGUAGGAUUAAGUGGAGGAUCAGUAAGCAAUAUUUUGCACUCCGAAGGGUUAAUCUGUAAUAUUUCACCAUCAUAGACGUGCCACAAAAACAUUUGAACCGUGGAACUUACUCUUAGAACGUUCUGAAAUGCAUGAUCCCAGACGUGCCCCAUAUCUUCCCAACUUUGUACAAUGCCAUUGCUCACCGGAUACGAUACCUCAAGCUGAUGUCUUAGUUCUGUACACGCAUCCCCCACAACUAUGUCCUGCCUCUUACAUGAUUAAAAGAACGAAAAGAAAAAUUUGACGAAGCAAACUAUACCUUUAAUUCCUGCUCCGUGAGCGACUCUUCGUACCGGAGCAUUGGCCUUCCAACCAUGCAGGGAAAAACCGCAGUGGGAAAAUUCUCACCCGCAAACCCGCAUUUGAUGAACUGCACGAAGAAUAAUAGUCACUUUCUAAUGAGAUAUCAAGAUCACAAAAACUCCGGACAGCAAGGAGGAAGAAUAAAUCUCUCUGGAGUCUGUAGGUGGUAUUUAUCUCUCUCUCCAGCAGACGCUCUGGAACGAAAAGAGCUCGUGUAUGAGACACAAUAAAUUUGUCUUUCUUUCCCAACCAGGAAAAGAUAUCUAGAAAGGAGUUUCCUUUCAGGAGAGCCCAAACAAGCCAACAGAACAAAUAUAAAUCGAAAAUGCGGCUGGAAGAUCGUCCUGAGAGAAAUCACGGAUUCUCACAGAGAGCAAGCAAGAGCACGGAUUAUCCCGACUAGCAGUGCCUCAAAUGCAGCAGGGAAACCAAGGCGAGAAGGCGAGAGAGAGGAGAAAGAGAGACCAAGUACGGAUUUCCUCCCUAGAAUGCACAGCUGCGAGCGCUGGAGCCAAAUCUCGAGAUCUUACCCCUGUUCCAUUGUCACAGACGAUGACAUCGUGUGCCAUCGCCAGAGGAUCGGCGCCCCCAGCGCCUCGCGAGAGAGGAAGGGACCACAAACCCUAACCCCGUUAUUUUGCUGUAGACAGAGCAUUAGGGUUUUUCGGGGUAGAGUAGUGCUAUGCAGCAUUUGCGGCAUCGAGGAGGAGGAGGAGGAGGAGGAGCUACGCCACUGCUCGGCGGCGCGGACGCAUCGAUCGCCGCCGAGAAUGCCGAAUUCAAGGCGGCGUCCGGGCGGACGCCCAUGGGAAUGCGCAAGAAAGGAAUGGGGGUGAGAAUGUGGCUCGUGAUCAACAGCUCCGGCGUCCAGCGCCUCGAGGCCGGUAAACACGCGAUAAUGCGAAGAACAUCGCUGCCGGCUAGGGACUUGAGGAUUCUGGACCCGCUGCUGUCGUAUCCAUCCACGAUUUUGGGGCGGGAGCGCGCCAUCGUCGUGAAUCUAGAGCACAUCAAGGCGAUUAUCUCGGCUCACGAGGUCCUGCUUCUCAAUUCCAAGGACCCUCUCGUUGCUCCGUUCGUGAACGAGCUUAGAGGUCGGCUUCCAGUUCACUACAACGCUCUGGGACAACAGGUAAGAAAAGGAAGUUUUAUUCUCUCGUACUUUCUCUUAUACGUAAGAAACUUUCCAGGUUCCAGGGGAUGGUGGUGGUGGGAUGAGCGACACCGAAAUCCCAUCGAGACCAUCUCAGGAUGAUGAAACUAACGGAUCCAUCGACGCCUCCAUCUCAUUAGAAGCUCCUGAAGGUUCCAGUUUCAAGUUUAGCAAUGAUCUCCAGAACAAAGGCGGGCCUAGCGUAUUGCCUUUCGAAUUUCGAGCUCUGGAAGCUUGUCUCGAGGCUGCUUGUAGUUGCCUUGAUGCGGAGGUGAUUCAAGCUCUUUCCGGGUUCGCUAUUUGAAUUAAUUGUUUUCUUACAGACAAAUGCACUGGAACAACAAGCAUAUCCUGCCUUGGACGAGCUCACGUCGAAGAUCAGCACACUCAAUCUCGAGCGUGUAAGAUUGAUAAAGUCUCGGCUCGUUGCCAUAUCAGGGCGUGUCCAGAAGGUAAGAGCUAUCAUUUAGAUGCUUCUUACGCUUUGGGGUGAUUUUUUCUUUUCUUUUUCGUGAUUUUGAAUCUCAAAGGUCAGAGAUGAGAUAGAGCAAUUGUUAGACGAUGAUGGAGACAUGGCUGAAAUGUACUUGACAGAUAAGCUAUCUCGCCAGCAGCUGGAUGGAGUGCCAUCGCCUCCUGCCUAUGACAUGGACGAGGAAGAAAAAGACAAUGCUGAAGAGAACGAACAAAGGUAGGUCUUAAAUCAGAACUAAGUUCUGAUUUAAUCCUUGCUCUCAACAGGCUCGAUGACAGACAGGCUGCCGAGAAGAACCAAUUCGUGUAAGAAAGUUUCCUUUCACUGCGGUGUUCGCUGAAUUUUGGACGUUUCCAGGCCCGACGUGAAAGCGGAAGCUCAAACCGCGUUUGAAGCCAUGCGAGAAACCUUGAGUGGACUUCACAAGGGCGAUGGACUCAGCAGCAGCUCCCGGAGCAGCAACAAGAGCAGCAGUAACCACAGCAACCACCCAAAGCAAAACCUCGACGUGGAGGAGCUGGAGAUGCUGCUCGAGGCCUACUUCGUCCAGAUCGAUGGCACACUCAACAAGCUCUCAACUGUAAGUUUCUCUUUAGUCUCCAAAGAGAUAGAUUCCAAUCUUUGCAAACUUGUGAGCAGCUCAGGGACUACGUCGAAGACACGGAAGACUACAUCAACAUAAUGCUGGACGACAAGCAAAACCAUCUCUUGCAAAUGGGGGUGAUGCUCACGACCGCGACGCUGGUGGUGAGUGGAUUCAUCGUCGUCACUGGGAUCUUUGGGAUGAACAUAAGGAUCUCUCUUUUCAACGAGGGGACGCUCACGCAGUUCCUUUGGGUCGUCGGCGGCGCGGGCGUUGGAGCGCUCCUGGUGUAUAUUCUUGUCAUUGGAUGGUGUAGAUAUAAGCGCCUCCUUGAAUAAAUCUGGGCCGUUAGAUAUGACUCAAAUUGAAGUUCUCUUCUGCUCUGACCUAACCCUAGGGCGGCUAUGGCGGUCUUUACAUUCGUGUGCAAGCACACUGGCGGCUCUUGGAACGCCAAGCAACGGGGAGGCGAUCUAGAAGGCAGCGCUGCGAAUCCGCUGGAGCUCCAGAAGCAGAUGCGCGAUCUGGCGCUGCAAUCCGCGGGCGCCGGUGCCGUCUCUGUGGAUUUCGCGCUCAUCACACCCUCGGCUGGGGUUCUCCAGGUAAGCGAUCGCUCGCUCUGCCUGGUUUCGUUUCUAGGGUCCUGGUAAAAGCAGAGGUUUUUGAUCUUGUGAAUGAGAUAAUCUCUCGUCGAUCCCAGGUAGAUUUCUCUUGCAUCAUUUUAGGUGGUGAGCUACUGCUGUGUCCUCCAGGCAGAUGGUUCAAUCCAUGGUGCUAGAUUUCUCUUCUAGAUCGAGUUUGCUGAGUGAUGUAAAUCGAAAGACCGAUGAGCUAUGCCAGUUUUUGGCUAUCGCUCUGUCCAUGAGGUUUCUUUUAUGUCAUAGUUACACUGACAGCAAGCUCUUAACUGAUCUCUUCGUUUAGUUUGCUCGUUUUGAGUCGCUCACUUCUUCGUGUUGGUGAUCUAGGUGAUUGUUGGAGGCGGCGCUGGCGGAGCAGCGUUCGCUAGCGGUGGUGGAGCUCCAGCGGCUGGUGGCGCCGCCGCCGCCGCCCCAGCCCCAGCGGAGGAAGAAAAGAAGGAAGAGAAGGAAGCCAGCGAAGACGAAGACAUGGGAUUCUCCCUCUUCGACUAGGUGCGCUUCCCAUUGCGCUUCUUCCCUUGUUUCCUUGCUCAAGCUAGAGAAACUUACGAGUUUUGGAUCACUCUUGUCCCCUCGUUCGUGGGCUUCUAAAGAUCUGGGGCCUUUACAGCAAUCUCCCGGCCACGCCAGCUCCAACUUUGAUCAUCCACAAGAAAGCCAGCCACAUUGGAACGUUGUGCUUUCGUCGCCCCCAUACGUAAAACUUGAGAAGCGUGUGAAGACCGGGGAGAGGAUGGAAUAUACCCUGUCCGCUAGGCCAUGAGGUAAUAGAUGUGGUGCGCGAUGAAGAGGCGAUCCGACGGCGACGUAGUGGAGGAGAUCGACGGCGAAGAGGGCCGCGCUCCACUCCAUGAUCUUGUUCUGGAGGGCGUCGAGGAUCCAGUGCGUGGUGAUGGCUAGGGUUGAUGCGACGAGGCUGUGCGCGAAGGCGAUGACGCUGCUGCAGGCGCGGAUCCGCCAGCGCCGGAAGCAAAUCGACCAGGCGAUGGUGUACUGAGCCAGGAUUGCGCCGGCGCCGCUGCCGCCGCGAGAUUCUGGGCCUGGGAUUGAGCUGCAUUGUCAAAAUCAAAUGUCAUCUUGCGCGGGAAAACUUCACACGAAAGGGAGUCGGAGCAGAACCCUAAUCUGGCAAACGCUUUGAGCACAACUUCCAUCCCGAUUGUAGGUAGAGCUCAAGACAUGUCCAGUUAGUAAGUCGUUAAACGGGUACACAAGCAGGUUUGAUGGCGGUUCAUCACCCGGACCUCCAACCACACCAGAAUGUUUCCUGGCCGACUCAAAUACCGGGCAAGUGUAAACCAUUGCCAAGAGGAAGGUCAUCAAAAUAAAGAGCCUCGUCAUUGAAAAUCCAAUAGAAUGUAAGGGUUUGGUAUCAUUGUUAUGAGACAAAGUGAUUUCCUCUUUUUUGUUUUGCUGAAAAUAUACUUUAGAGUUUUGCUGGAAUUACUUCCAGUAAAACAAAUGCCAAGAAUUUCUUGUUAAGUUGGAAGGGGAUGGGGACAAGAACAGAACUUUUGAAACCAAUGGGGGCGUGGAACUCUUUCAACAAUGCCCUGCACAUUGAAAGGUAGAAUCCUUGUUAUGGUUAGUACUGUCAUCGAAUCAAUAUAAGCAAGUUUGUUUCCUUUUCCAUAGAUUAUGUUCUUACAUGUCUAUUUGAAAAAUGCUUUGGAGAUGUGACACCGUGAUACUCAGCCUCCAAAACUUGAGCCAUGUAGUGGAGGAGCCUGACAGCGAAUAAGGCAGUAAGUGGGGGAAUUAAAUCCAGAGUGUGAGAUGGAGACCUUGUGGAUGUGAGGGAGAACAUUUGCAUAGCAUUAUAUGUUUUUUUCUUGUUAAAUGGUAUUUAUGAAAAAAAAAAAGAAAUUGGGUGAUAUGGAAUUGCAGAACUAGAUGCUGUAAAGUCCACAGUGUGAACAACUGAGCUCAAACAUUGGUCCCAAUGCAAACUAGACCUCCAAGCAAAAGCCACCACCUCCGAGGCCAUAAUCGAGCCUCUAUUGUCUUUAAAGUGCUAGAAGCCCAUGCGUACCAAAUUUGCCACUGGCUUGGGGUCACCGAAAACUGUACACCACACCUGCUAUGCAAUCCUCCACUGUGUCUAAGAAGGUCCGUGUGGUCGGCAGCCAAUCACGGUUGCAGUAGUAGAUUCAAGUGUAUGAAGGGUACAAAGGUAGUGUACUCUCUCUCCUCUCCUUUAUAUCAUCAUACACGUCCAUCCAUACAUUUACACUGUACCAAGAGCCAAAAUGCAUUAUAUGUGGGGUUCUUACUUUUCCUCAUGGACAAGGCUAUGUUACAACCAUAUGGAGAAGCCUACAGGAGAUUAAUUCCCAUGGACUUAAUGGUGCGUAAAACUUUCUUCCGGCUCAGAUUGCUCCUAUAUGACCAAGUUCUUGUGAUCUCAUUCAAACAGCACUUGAGAACUCUGAAGUUGAAAGUUAUCUACGGUUGUGAGAUUGGGGAUGUGUUGGUUUGGGAGAUAGAAAUUUGGACGCUGGGAUUGUUAUUCAGAUCACAGCAAUGGUAAUAUUUUGAAUUUUAUUUGACCGGCUGAGUUUCUAACUGUCAAUUGCCAAGGUUUCUUCGUUCAUGGAGAGGGAGGCACCUCCUGGCAUUUUAGAAAGCACCCUGGAAGCUCACUAUUGCAAAAUAAAGACAGACAUGAAUUAUAGACUUGGGAUUCUAUUUCAUUCAUUUUCCCAGGCAACAUUUGUGGGGUGGUUGAUAUUCCAAGUGUUCAAGUGCAAUGCACAAGUGUCAAAAGGAUGCACCACUGCUCCCCUUCCCAAAGCAGCGAUAAAGCGUUUGUCUUUACAAGAUGGACAUGAAGUGACUUGCUUCAACGAGUGCCAAAUGAGCCGACCGAGGAGGCAUGUAAGAAGGCCAUCAAGUCCAUAGCAAAGGGAAAAUACCAUCAAAAAUCAGCAUGCAAAGUUGGAACUCUUACCUUCACUCUCAACCAAUAUGUUGUGGCCUCCAGAAUUGGUGCCGCCAUGUUGACACUUCGUGAUUCCUCAAGAAUUUGUCCAAUGCCACUGUCGCAAAAGAGUCUGUCGUAGUUGGCCUUGGCCACCCUACAUUGUCAGGAUUUUGUCCUACUGCUCCCAGUAAGGUAUUGCCUGUUUCUUUAGCAUGUGCCGCACAAAGGUUGCACCAUUGGCCCAAUCGAAUUCCUUAUGGCCAGCAAUGCUCUUGAGCAUUUCAUCUUCCACGCAGUUUGCAACACCACAAUGCUCAAGCAGCUUGUGUUUAAGCCACCGCACCAGUGACAAGAGGCCUUGGUUGUCAGCUAGAUUCGUGAUGAGUUCAACUGCAGAGGUGGUGUCGUUAAUUGCAGCAGCCUCCUUGUUGUGCAACGGUCCGCAUCUUGGACUGCAAGAGCUGCCCCUCAUCCAUCCACUUUCUCUGCUUAGUUUCAAACCCGCAUGAACCUCUUGCUAGCAAUAGAAGAAAUUAGUAUUUUUGAAGUGCUGCUUAUGUGGCCAUAUGUGCAUUGUCUAAAAUAUCUGAAACAGGCACUGGAGCCUCGCAUUGCAGUCUUAAUCGGGAAAGGAUGGCAGUGGACUGCUUCUGUCCUCUGCCAGUGUAAGCACCUGACCAUACCUGCAGCUGUAUCUCCAUCGACACGGAAUCUUCAUCGUCAGCCGCUACUUCACCUAACUGUUGCCUCCUCCUGUGGCCUCCACGUCCUUGUCAUCUUCAGCUUCUCAAUGGUGCAGGUGUUGGUGCCUACCUUGCUCAGAUGCUGAUGCAAGAACACUUGCCACAAAUCAAGGGUGGUAAAGUAUUAAAAGUAUUGUGGAGUUUUAGCACUAUCACUUUUCUUCCGAGCACAAGCCCGAGCAGAGCUUUGGUAGAGAUUCCAAUACUUGCCUGUCAUGUGGUUCAUCAUGUUGUACAGAAAAACUACAGUAGCCUAGCUUACAUUACUCUUGUUGCAAACCACCUCACGCUUUCCAACAUGGUGGCUUGAUUGGAACCUCUCUAACUUGGCCAACUCUACCUCCCCUUGUGAGAUUCAUAUACAAAUGCCCCAAUCUGAGUGAUCCUUGCAGCUGGGAUGUUGCGGGGUGGGUCUUGAAGGAUAUGUUGAAUGGCAUGUUGGACCAUACAACCCCUACACGUAAUGGCAUGGUUUCUGUGCUUUUGAUGGAGCGAUGUACCAGCAAGUUAUACAUCUUAUUAAACUUGCUGCCACCCAACAACCCCUUGAAUGUUCUUAAGUAAAAACUACCUUGAUUUUCUCGCAUUGAGACCACCACUACCACCACCACCACCACCAUUCCCAUCCUAAGUCAUCUUCAACAAUCAAUCCAAUCAUUCAACUAUAUUGUCUUUAUAACAAGAGAGGAAAAAUUGUCCAGCCAGUCAAUUCAAAUAUGUCUAAUUGUUCAUUUAGAACACUUUUCAAUAAUCAUUUCAUUUGAAGCAUAAAACUUAGGGUUUAAGGUAAGGACUCACAUUUCAUCAAUAACAUUAAACUUCAUUUGGCUAUAUUUUAUGUGCCAUGCUAGUUUUAAUGUUUAGAUUCUAGAUGCUUUAGAACUAUUAUAAUAUUUUUCUACACUCCUUAGCCAUAUACCUGGGACUUCAAUCCCUUUAUUUAAUGGUUCAAGACCUUUAAAACUUUGUUACAUUUAGCAUAUAUGUGGAAGUGUUAGGUCUUGCUUCAUGGUUAGCUUAUAAUAAUUCACUAUAGUAUAAAGUCAAAACCUCAUGCAUUACAAAUAUGAUAGCUUACUCCUUGUUAACUUGAAUAAUAAAAAUCAAGUGAAUCAUAUUUAAUGGAAGCAUUGGUAAGAGAGUAUAAGAGUUUAAAUUACUAUAUUGCCUUGAUCCAAACAUGAAGAUAGUUACUCCCUUAGUGUAAUGCAUAAGUACUCACAAAUGUUAGUUUUUAUGUAAGUGACUAUAAGUCAGUAAUAGGAGGCUUAUAUCCAACAGAAAGUAAGAACACAUAUGAGUGGAAGAAAAGAUUUUAAGUGGAUCUUUGACUAUAUCUAUGGCUUAUUUAUGGCUCUAGUAAUAGGCUCUCUUAGCUAGUUUCUUGCAAGUGCUAUAAUAAUUAUACUUUUGAACAAGACAUAAGUGUACAUUUUGCCAAUAUUCCAUAUGGACUAAAUAUAUAUUACUCAAGUCUCUUGAGCACAAAAGUUGCAGCACUACUUAUAGAAGAAAAAACUAUCAUAAAGUGUUUUUCCACUUGGUUACCAAAAUAUUAAGCUAUUUUCUAUUGAUUAACUUCUUGAAAGUCAUAUCAUAAUAACUUCCUUACCUUAAGUCAUUCAACAUUAAUCACUAAAAUAUGCAUCUUACUUUUUGGGAUACUCUAAACUACUUCAAUAUAUGAAAGAAGGGUUUUAUAUAAACCCAAUGAGGCUUUAUGUUAAACCAACUAUAACACAUGUGCUAAUGGGAUGCAACUCUAACCCCUUCAUUAUUUUGUAAUAGAUUUUGAAAAUGAAAUAGUUUUUGGGCAAAAUAAUCAACAAAUCAACCAUUAGAAAACUUCAUGAAAAUUUGUGGAAUAUUUUUCGUCUUAAACAAAAAAUCACUUUUAGUCUAGGAUUGCAAAUUCUCAAUACUCAACCAACUUCUUCUUAUCUACAACUUCACAUAGAUUCCCUUCCAUAUAAAUUAUAUAAUGCUUAAGGUUGUUCGACACCUAACAACAACAUCUACAAAUGUUAACGAAAAAUCCAAAUUUUGAUUAAAUGCCACUUCCACUAAUACAGAUGCUAACAAUAUCAAUGCUUCAAUUACAUACCUUCUCAAUCUACUCCAAAUGUUAAUGGAUUUAACAAUAAUCUGUAGUAAGUGAAUGCUACAACUUUUCCAAAAUCUCAAUGAAUAACGUCUCAAGGAACAAGAUACUAAUAUAAGUUUAGUAUAAAGGAUCAUUUCUAAGAAUUGAGUCAAAGCUAUUAUUUAUAAAUAGAUUAUCUUUACUAUCAACCACUUUGGGAUUAAUCAUUGUAAGCCACUUAGGCUUUAAGCCUUUGAAUGAAGGGACAGAGCUAAAACCUUAAGCAUAUAACCAGAGCAUAGAGUAACUCUUAAAUAUAAAGCUAAAAGUGAAUAAGCAGAAGUAUGGACUGACAUUAGAAUAGUUAUAGAGCAUCUAACAUCCUAACGCCAAGACUAACAUGCAAAAUAGAGUCAAAUAGAAUUUAAUGCUAUUUCAGUAUAUCAAUAGUUUAACUCAAGGAUAUGGGUAUUCUACUAGAUAACAUAACAUGGAGCUUGGGCUUAAACCCAAGCUAGAUAUAAAACAAGGACAAACACAAUCAAUAGAAAGUUAGAUAAUGUUUUAAGUUGGUCGACAACAUAACCAUUAUCUCACUAGCAAAUUUAAGCAAUAACCAUUGGGACCAAAUGAGACCAACACAUGGGGAAUGAUAGCGAUGAUGUCUUAGUAAACAUAAUAAAUUAUCAUUUAGCAAUGAAAGACUAAGCUUAAUAUCAUGGGGCUUCCUAACAUUAGCAAGUACAAAUAAACAUGUGAGUUUCUCAUUUCGAGUUGAGUAUGCUCAACAAAAAAUGCAUAAAAGUUUCUACCUUAUGUUUAUUUAGUAUAUAUAUUAUCACCAUAAAUCCUUAGAACUUUAGGGGAUAUAGAAAAAUAAAAUAGCCCCUAAAAGCUUUCUUAUCAAGCAAUUGCCCUUUUUCCAAUUAGUUUAAGGAGAGAGAAAUAGAAUGUACUAUAUGUGGUAUUGGAGGGUUCAAUUCCCAUUUAUUAGUGGCUAACUAAAAUAUAAUAUACCCAUUAAGCAAAAUAUAUUUUUAUAUUUUUAAGAUAUCCACUAUGGAUUGCAGUACAAGUUAAUUCCCAUUGAUUAAUGGCUACUUAAAAUAUAAUAUACCCUUGAGCAAGGUAUAUUCUUAUAUUUCUAAGGUAUCUAUUCACCCUAUUGAUUAAUGGCUACUUAAAAUAUAAUAUACCCUUGAGCAAUAUAUAUUCCUAUAUUUCUAAGGUAUCUAUUAUGGGACUGUAGACUAUAUGGAAUAGCUAGUUUAUAUAAUGGAAAGAUUAGUAAAUUUAGUAUGAAAAUUAUACAUAAUGGAAAGAUUGGUAGAUUCAGCAAAACAAUUGGUAAAUUCAAUAUAGAAAUUCUAUACAAUAACUCAUAAUGGAAAUAUGUGAGGAAUAGCUAGUCUAUAUAAUAGAAAUAUUGAUAAAUUCAACGUGGGAAAUUCUACAUAAUGAAAGAUUAGUAGAUUUAGUGUAGAAAGAUUAGUAAAUUCAAUGUGGAAGUUCUACACAAUAACUCAUAAUGGAAAUAUUGGUAAAUUCAGUGUAGAAAUUUUAUACAAUGGAAAAAUUGGUAAAUUCAAUGUGGAAGUUCUACACGAUAACUAGUUUCUUCACAUGGAAUAGUUUAUCUACAUAAUAGAAAGAUUGAUAAAUUUAGUAUGGAAAUUUUACACAAUGGAAAGAUUAGUAGAUUUAAUGUGGAAAUAAAGAUGUUGAUUCUUCUUGAUUCAAUUGUUAAUGAAGAUAUUGACAUUUCUAAAGGAGUUUCCUCACAUAGGGAUUACAGACUAGUUUCCUCAUAUAAUGGUUUAUAUAAUGGAAAGAUUGGUAAAUUUAGUGUGGCAAUUUUACACAAUGACUAGUUUCUUCAUAUGAAAUAACUAGUCUAUAUAAUGGAAAGAUUAGUAGAUUGAGUGUAGAAAUUCUACAUAAUGGAAAAAUUGGUAGAUUCAAUAUGGAAAUAAAAGUGCUAAUUCUUCUUAGUUUAAUAAUUAAUAAGAACAUUGGCAUCUCUAGAGGGGGAGGGGGUUGAGUGCGCUAACUAGUUUCUUCAUAUAGGGGGGUGAAUGUGUUAAUUAGUUUCCUCACAUGAAAUAGUUAGUUUAUAUAAUAAAAAGAUUGGUAAAUUUAAUGUAGAAAUGAAAAUGUUAAAAUUGGUAGAUUCAGUGUGGAAAUAAAUGUGUUAGUUCCUCUUAGCUCAAUUGUCAAUGAGGACAUUCAUGUAAUGCAUGUGAUUUUUACCAUUUAUCAUAUGGUGGUUUACCAUAGGAUAACCAUAUAAUGGAACUUUAACCCUCCACAUACCAUAUACAAUAUACUACAUGUCCAAAGAUAGUUGAAAGGACAUAUAAGUUCUACAUUCAGGAGUCAUUCUAUGUUUUAUUUCCUUUGUUUCUAGAUUCUAUGCUUAGAAGUUUGGUUCUAUCCCUUUAUUCAGUGGAGCUGCAGCUCUCUUGAGAGCCUUACUCUCUUGACACCCUACCCCUCGGGUUGAGCCUAGCAGGAGUACCAGAUGUCAAUUAACAUGUGGUGUGAUUCCCUUAGCCAACCAACAGAGUCGAACUUAAGACGUCUUUGAUACCAAAUGUAAGCUCCGGAGUUUAGACUUCCUGGGAGGUCAUUUAGCCCAGUACUAUUCAAACCCAAGGACACUUAACCCCAAAUAUCUGUAGCGCACGUGGUUUUGACCCUUUAUCCUAUGGUGAUUUACCAUAGGAUAACACCACGAAGCGGAACCUAAACCCUCUUUGUGCCACGUGACAGAUGCCACGUGUCCAUGCCACGUGUCCUUAGGAACCCGAGGUUCAGAGCCUUGGGCCACUGAACGAAGGAACGGUGCCAAACUCCCAAGCGUGACGCCAAGGAGUGGUGCGGAGCAACUCCCGAGCAUAUAGCCCAAGGAGCGAAGGGACAGAGGCCCGGAGCGACUUGGAACAGUCCUAGAGCAACCAGCAUCCCAAUGCCAGGACCAGCACGCAAAACGGAGCCAAACGGAGUUUGGCGCUAUUUCAGCAUACCGGUGGCCUAACGUGAGGAUAUGGGUACUCCACCAGCUAGCAUGGAAUGGAACUUGGGCUUAGACCCAAGCCGGACGCAGAACAAGGACAGGCACGCAAGCGGGAGCUAGACUAUGCCUCAGGUUGGUCGGCCAUGCCCGACCUACCCACUAUCCCUACUAUACAUUUGGAACCCCCCACAACCCCCCCCCCCCUUGAGGAACACACGCUUUGGGCUUUCACCCCAAGCCUCCCUUAGUAUCAGGAGUUAGUCUCUGGGACAAGCUUGAAACUUACUAAAUAUGGAAUGUCCUUAGAAUGCGAAUUUGGACACGGGACAAACACCAUUGUGUUCAGGCCGAUCUCUACAUUCCGUAGAUAUGCCAAAUGAGCAAAUCUAAACACUUUCCAUAAAUAGCAUUUGGGACCGAAAUGAGACUAACACAAAGGGCAUGAUAGCGAGGGUGUUUGGCAGACACGGUAAGCUAUCAUCUAGCGAUGUUGAGGGACCAAUCUUAAUAUCGCGGGGGUUCCCAACACUAGCAAGUGCAAGCCAACAUCAUGAGUUUCUCAUCACCGUGUCAAGUCUGCUUGACUUAAUGACAACUUAGGAUUUCCUUCCUUAGUGCCCUUCCGGUCUAAGUGCACAUGUGUUGACCAGUUUCUCAACUAGCUUAGGCGGAGACUAAUAACGGGUCCAGCAAUAUCGACCUCCUGCCAUCGUGGCAGUAAGAAAGAAUAUCCGAAAGGACUAGCCGACAGGUAACUUUCGAUACCUAAAGUCACAUUCGUGACACUCUCCCCCCCUUGGGAAGAUCGACGUCCUCGUCGAUGCAUACUCGAGUCUAGAAGACCGUCAAGGAAACAACUCCAGAAAAAGUUCACGGAAUUCACACUAUAUGAGAAAUGCACCAACUUAAAUGAGUUAGGGAGCAACCUCUUUGUCUAAUGCGGAUGCGCUACCAGCUCAGACACCUUCCGGCCGUCGCCGACAAGGAAAUGACCAACGGAAUCAGCCACCCUUGCUGCAUUGGGUGUCACCCAGCUACAAAAGUGUGAUAUGCCCUGCCCGCAGAGACAUAGAGAGAGAAGCUAGAGGCCCCAACCCUCCUGAGCAAAGAAACCAAACCCGUCGGUAAGGUUUAGAUAGACUACUGUCAACAGGCAGUUUAGAGUUGUUUACACGGUCACGCCCUUUCACGGAACAAGGAACAUCGACAGAGAGGCGGGUUAUGUGACCAGUCGACAGUAGCUACCCCAUGACUAGAGAUUUCACCAUGCACACGAAGUGCCGAAGCCAGUCUGCCUAUACUGGCCCAAACUCAAAGAUCAAUAUAUAUGGACUAUAUAAAAGUCAUAAACAAUGAUAUCUUAGAGAUUUAAUGAUCAUCCGAUAAACUAGUAUUAUAGUAUAAGAACCACCAAGAUCACUAUCAUUGGAAAACAUAGGAUUCACCAUCUAACAAAAUUCAAUAGCAAGUAUAUCAUCAAGUAAACUCAAUGAUAAAACUUAACUACCGAAAAUGGCUAAUAGCAUGCCAAAUAACUCAUAAAACACAACUCAAAGAACACAAAGUAUCAUUGACUAACAAGCACAAUGCUCGUGAAUGUAUCACCCGAAGGAAUAACAUCCUAAUCUAUCAAAACUAACUCGAGCAACAAUCAACAGAAGAAAAUGAAUGUGGUAAGACCAACAAACACUCAUUCCUGCCAACUAUCACAAAAGCCAAUCUGAAUAGAUCCCAGCCAACAAUACCAAGGAACUCAAGUUGCCUAAGCAAGUGUCAGCAACAUCCUACUGACGUCUCAAACCCAAGAGACCAAUCCAGAGCAAACCACAAAGAACAUGUGGUAUUGCCAAAAGCCAAAAGCUAUCAAAGAGAACAACUAACUAUCAUGAAAGAUCGUCAAUCAGCCCAUCAAUGUAGUGAUGUAUAAUCAUCGUUGAAGAAAGAAUCUACCAUCCCGAAGAAUAGCAAAUAAUUCCAAACCAACAAUAAUCAAGCAAAACUUGUGAUAAGGACAAUCAACUACCCUAGAUGAUAGUCAAUCAUCACCAAUGAUUGCCAGAUGCAAAAACAAACUUCAACAUCGAAGCUAAUGAGCCAAAAUGCCUUCCCCAACAACUUCUAACAAAUGGAACAAUGAGCACAAAACUCAAGAACCAAAAGCUCGAAGAAGCCUAUAACUAAGUCUUGCCUAAUAAUGAUCACGAGUCUCAUAGAAGUUAACUUCAAUGCUAAAGAAUAAAUCAUGGUGCAACUCACAAUAUCUUCUUCAACACAUUCAUAAGCCAAACUUCAUAAUGCCAAAGCUAAUGAAGAACAUUUCUGCAUCAAUCCAAAAGCUAAGCAUAACGAAGCUAUGCUUAACAAGUGAUCAUCAAACGAUCCUCCAUGAAUCCAUCUAUAGCAAGACGUAACUCACUUCAUAACAAGCUCAAAAAGAAUCAUUAAUGAUUGCUAUAUUCCGAACUCAAAUCCAGCAAGGACUCAACAUUCUAAUAUCGAUCACUAACUCUUCUUCUCGUAGAGUUAGCAUAGUCCACGACUAAAUCACUUUUCAAGGAAAAGCUAAAGCUCAACCCUCAUCUAGACCCAAACACUAAACUCACGUCAUCGAGUCAUACACUUGUCCAACAUGAACGUGAUACCUUCGGUAUGAGAUAAAAGUUCAUUGACAAGCACAAACUAAAUGACCACUCGAAUCCAACUCAACUGCAAUAAGCUCACCAAUGCAUUUAGCCAAUAGCUCUGAGCAUGCUUUGAAGAGGCUAGCUAUGCAUGAUCAACACUUAGCUGAAACUAAAGUGAAGACCAUGAGAUGGAUCUAUAUUGGUACACAACCUCCUCAUAGACAAAGCUAUAGUAUGGGUACCAACAUCUCAAACUCAAACAACUAAGUUGGACAUCACCAUCCUCAGCCAAGGCGCAAGGCCACCAAGACCAAGUCAAGAUCAGUGAGAGCUCACUACUCUCAUAGAGUCUAAUGAAAUGCAAGGUGCAACCUACCACCAAGCAGAACACUAUAGAAGACAGGCACAAGGGUCACCUUUCUUAGAAAAGCGCAACGGCCACUUUUCUACACCAACUCCAGACUCUAUCCAACUCAAUUGCCUUAGCCCCAAAAGUCAGCAUCCCUUUCGGGUUGCAUCAUACAAACUACCUACCAAGGUCUAAGUUAACCGAAGUCAACUCCAACCCCUUCACUAGUUUGUACUGGCUUUCGAAAACAGAAUGGUUUUCGGACAAAAUGAUCAAUAGACCAGCCAUUGGAAAAGUCUAAGAAAAUUUGUGGAAAAUUUCCCAUCCUACAUGUAGCGCACGUGGUUUUGACCCUUUAUCCUAUGGUGAUUUACCAUAGGAUAACACCACGAAGCGGAACCUAAACCCUCUUUGUGCCACGUGACAGAUGCCACGUGUCACAUGCCACGUGUCCAUAGGAACCCGAGGUUCAGGGCCUUGGGCCACUGAACGAAGGAACGGUGCCAAACUCCCAAGCGUGGAGCAAAGGAGUGAUGGAACCGGACCACAAAGCAACUCCCGAGCAUAUAGCCCAAGGAGCGAAGGGACGGGAGCCCGGAGCGACUUGAAACAGUCCUGGAGCGACCAACAUCCCAAUGCCAGGACCAGCACGCAAAACGGAGCCAAAUAGAGUCUAGCACUAUUUCGGCAUACCGGUGGCCUAACGCAAGGAUAUGGGUACUCCACCAGCUAGCAUGGAAUGGAACUUAGGCUUAGACCCAAGCCGGACGCAGAACAAGGACAGGCACGCAAGCGGGAGCUAGACUAUGCCUCAGGUUGGUCGGCCAUGCCCGACCUACCCACUAUCCCUACUAUACAUUUGGAACCCCCUAUAGCCCCCCCCCCUUGAGGAACACACGCUUUGGGCUUUCACCCCAAGCCUCCCUUAGUAUCAGGAGUUAGUCUCUGGGACAAGCUCAAAACUUACUAAAUAUGGAAUGUCCCUAGAUUGCGAAUUUGGACAUGGGACGAACACCAUUAUGUUCAGGACGAUCUCUACAUUCCGUAGAUAUGCCAAAUGAGCAAAUCUGGACACUUUCCAUAAAUAGCAUUAGGACCAAAAUGAGAUUAACACAAAGGGCAUGAUAGCGAGGGUGUUUGGCAGACACGGUAAGCUAUCAUCUAGCGAUGUUGAGGGACCAAUCUCAAUAUCACGGGGGUUCUUGAUACUAGCAAGUGCAAGCCAAUGACUCAAGUUUCUCAAACUAGGCCGAGUAUGCUCAGCAAGAAACACAUAGGGUUCCUACCUUAUGUUUAUCCAAUCUAAGUGCAUGGUCAUUGACCAGUUUCUCAACUAGCUCAAGUGGGAAACUGAUAACGGGUCCAGCAAUACCGACCUCCUGCCAUCGUGGCAGUAAGGUAAGAGUGUCCGUAAGGACUAGCCGACAAGUAACUUUCGAUACCCGAAGUCACAUUCGCGACACUCUCCCCCCCUUGGGAAGAUCGACGUCCUCGUCGAUGCAUACUCUAGUCUAGAAUACCGCCAAGGAAACAACUCCAUAAAAAGUUCACGGUACUCACACUAUGUGAGAAAUGCACCAACUUAAAUGAGUUAGGAGGCAACCUCUUUGUCUAACGCGGAUGCGCUACCAGCUCAGACACCUUCCGGCCGUCGCCGACAAGGAAAUGACCAACGGAGUCAGCCACCCUUGCUGCUCUGGGAGUCACCCAGCUUACAAAAGUGUGAUAUGCCCCUGCCCGCAGGAACAUAGAGAGAGAAGCCAGAGGCUCCAACCCUCCUAAGCAAAGAAACCAAACCCGUCGGUAAGGUUUAGAUAGACUACUGUCAACAGGCAGUUUAGAGUUGUUUACACGGUCACGCCCUUUCAACGGAAUAAGGAACAUCGACAAAGAGGCGGGUUAUGUGACCAGUCGAUAGUAGCUACCCCAUGAUUAGAGAUUUCAACAUGCACACGAAGUGCCGAAGCCAGUCUGCCUAUACUGGCCCAAACUCAAAGAUUAAUACAUGGACAAUAUCAAAGUCAUAAACAAUGAUAUUUUAGAGAUUUAAUUAUCAGUGAAUAAAGCUUAGAUUAGAACACAAAAGUAUUCCAAGUAAGUUAUCAUCUGAUAAACCAGUAUUAUAGUACAGGAACCACCAAGAUCAUCAAAAUUGGUAAAUACAAGAUUCACCAUCCAAGAAAAUUCAAUAGCAAGUAUAUCAUCAAGUAAACUCAAUGACGAAAUUUAACUAUCGAAGAUAGCAGACAGUAAGCUAACAACUUACUAGAGAUAACUCAAAGAACACAAAGUAUCAUUGACUAACAAGCACAAUGCUCGCGAAUGUAUCACCCGAAGGAAAUAACAUCCAAAUCUAUCAAAACUAACUCGAGCAAUAAUCAACAGAAGAGAAUGAAUGUGGUAAAACCAACAAACACUCAUGCCUGCCAACUAUCACAAAAGCCAAUUUGAAUAGAUCCCAGCCAACAAUACCAAGGAACUCAAGUUGCCUAAGCAAGUGUCAGCAACAUCCUACUGACGUCUUAAACCCAAGAAACCAGUCCAGAGAAAACCACAAAGAACAUGUGGUAUUGCGAAAAGCCAAAAGCCAUCAAAGAGAACAACCAACUAUCAUAAAAGAUCGUUAAUUAGCCCAUCAAUAUAGGGAUGUAUAAUUAUUGUUGAAGAAAGAAUCUACCAUCCCGAAGAAUAGCAAAUAAUUCCAUACUAACAAUAAUCAAGCAAAACUUUUUGACAUGGAUAAUUAAUUAUUCUAGAUGAUAGUCAAUCAUCACCAAUGAUUGCUAGAUGCAAAUACUAACUUCAACAUCGAAGCUAAUGAGCCAAAAUGCCUUCCCCAACAACUUCUAACAAAUGGAACAAUGAGUAUAAAACUCAAAGAACCAAAGCUCGAAGAAGCCUAUAGCCAAGUCUUGCUUAAUAAUGAUCACGAGUCUCAUAGAAGCUAACUUCAAUGCUAAAGAAGAAAUCAUGGUGCAACCCACAAUGUCUUCUUCAACACAUCUAUAAGCCAAACUUCAUAAUGCCAAAGCUAAUGAAGAGCAUUUCUGCAUCAAUCCAAAAGCUAAGCACAAUGGAGCUAUGCUCAACAAGUGAUCACUAAAUGAUCCUCCAUGAAUCCAUCUAUAGCAAAACGUAACUCACUUCAUAGCAAGCACAAGAAGAAUCAUCAAUGAUUGAUAUAUUUCAAUUGAAAUCCCAUAAGGAUUCAAAAUAUUCCAACAUCGAUCACUAACUCUCCCACUUGUAGAGUUAGUAUAGUCCAUGACUAAAUCACUUUUCAAGGAAAAGCUCAAACCUCAACCCCUACUAAAUAAUCUCGUCUAGAACACAACUAACUCAACUUGCCACUCAGUUCAUUUGAACGUCAACACAGUUGCUAACUAGCAAAUGCAUGAAUGCCAACAACACAAAGCUAAAGCCAAAUUAUCAACACUAUUUUCAUCAAGAUUAAUGAAACUCAAUAUCAAUCCUUGGAAGGAUAUCUCAUUUCACUCAAAUCUCAAUAUCAACAAUGUCAACGACAAGGCAUCACUUCAAUGCCAUCAACACCAAAACAAAGCUAGAAGAAAGCAAGANNNNNNNNNNNNNNNNNNNNNNNNNNNNNNNNNNNNNNNNNNNNNNNNNNNNNNNNNNNNNNNNNNNNNNNNNNNNNNNNNNNNNNNNNNNNNNNNNNNNNNNNNNNNNNNNNNNNNNNNNNNNNNNNNNNNNNNNGACUCAAUGAAAUCCAACACCACAGACUAAAUGUAACCAAAUGAUAUCGACAGAGGUAGAUUUGACAUGUCAACAUGGAAAACCCAUGUAUGUCUAACGACACGAUCCUCCGCAACACCAUCCGAUAAAGCAAGCCCAUCACUGCUAAAUUAUCAUCGAGCAAAGCAAGUGUCAACAGUCCUUGAUGAAGUCUACAAGUAAUCACUAGUCGCAAAGCAACUAACAAUCACUCCUCAACUUGCCUUCACAAGACCCAAACACCAAUGCUUGUCACCAAGUUAUAUACUCGUCCAACAAGAACGUGAUACCCCAGGUACGAGAUAAAAGUUCAUAGACAAGCAUAAACUAAAUGACCACUCGAAUCCAACUCAACCGCAAUAAGCUCACUCAAACAUUAAGCCACUAGCUCUGAGAAUGCCUUGAAGAGGCUAGCUAUGCAUGAUCAACACUCAGCCGAAACGAAAGUGAAGACCAUGAGAUGAACUCAUAUCGGUACACAACCUCCUCAUAGACAAAGCUAUAGUAUGGGUACCAACAUCUCAACCUCAAACAACUAAAUUGGACAUCACCAUCCUCAGCCAAGGCGCAGGGCCACCAAGACCAAGUCAAGAUCAGUGAGAGCUCACUACUCUCAUAGAGUCUAACAUAAUGCAAGGGGCAACCUGCCACCAAGCAUAACGCUACAAAAGAAAGGUACAAGGGUCACCUUUCUGAGAAAAGUGCAACGGCCACUUUUCGAUAUCAACUCUAGACUCUAUCCAACUCAAUUGUUUUAGCCUCAAAAGUCAGCAUCCCUUUCGGGCCGCAUUAUACAAACUACCUAUCAAGGUCUAAGUUAACUGAAGUCAACUCAACCCCUUCACUAGUUUGUACUGGCUUACGAAAACGGAAUGGUUUUCGAGCAAAGUGACCGAUAGAUCAGCCAUUGAAAAAGCCUAAGAAAAUUUGUGGAAAACUUUCCAUCCUAGAGAAAGAAUGACUCUCAGUCCAGGAAUGCAAACUUUCACGGCUCAAACAACUUCUUCCUACAAACAACUUCACAUAGAUUCACCUCAACACAAAUUCUCAUGACCCAUAAUAUGCUUAAGCAUUGAACAUCUUUGCCCAUUUUUCCAAUAUCCAACACUAACAUCCGCAAAGUGCAAAAUGAGCAUCCAAGGCUUGAUCACAAAGACCACAUCAUCGGAUAUCCACAUUGCACUAACACUCUUCUUCAACCACCUUCAAGAUCCAAUGUGAAGCCAAAACACUAACAAGAAAAAUGACAUGGAAAAUCAAGCUCUAAGGAAAAUUCCUCAUCACUUGAAUCAACAAUGCCACUUCCACUAACACAAGUGCUAGCGAUGUCAAUGCAUCAACCUCACACCUUCUCCAUCCAAUAAUCUACUCCAAGUGCUAACGGAUCAACAGAUGAGCUAUAGCAAAUGAAUGCUACAACCCAUUCCCAACACCUUAUGGGCAAACCCUCAAGGAAACAAGGUACCAACAUAAGCUUAGCAUAAUGGACCACCAGUGAGAAUCCAGUCAAAGCUACUAUAAUGCUACUUCGUGCAAGUAGACUAGCUUCUCCAUCAACCACUUUGGGGUUGAUCAUCAUUUACCCAAGCAACUUCGUAAACACAUUGCUCAUUAUCACAUGGAUAUGAUAUAAAUCACAAUGACUUGAUCAUCAAUUGAGUAACGCAAUGAGCAAGGCUUAUGUCAUUAUUUCAAACGUUCAUGUGAAUAUCAAAUGCCAACUCGAUUCGACAAAAUGCAACAUAAAUGCCACACUCCACCAAUAGAGGUUUACGACACCCAACACCACUAACUUUUGUUCACAACACGGACAAGCUCAUGCCACUCUCUUUCCGACCAAACUCAACACUAAUCCAACACCAAGCUACUUCAAGGAGCAAUAGCAAGGUUCCCCGGAAAAGAAUUGAGCAUUGCAACCCAAGUCUUCCAAUAGUGAGUCUAGACAAAAAUGGUUUAGUGUUUCACCACUACCCAUCCCAUAACUCACCACUUGUAAGACCAUCACUUCCAACAUGCAUCAAGGUAGGGACUCUUGAUUGCAUAAUGUGAACACAAGCAAUGAGUUAACACCUCUUUGCAAAUCAUCUCUCCAAGAAGAGAAAAUGAUUUACGUAUUUGAUCCUUCAUCCCCAAUGAGUCUCUUUCCGGUCUCAUCUUUGACCAAACCUCAAACUUGCUUUCGCACUGCCUUCAGUUCAAUCGAAGAAAAGUUUAUAAGAGAUCACGGCAAUAAUUACAUGAACCAAUAAACUAUUCCCUACAGUCUUGAUUGAUCCACUUAUAAUCAUGCCUAGGAAGGAUCUACUAGUGCCAUGCUAAACAGCUACGGACCAGCCUAUUUGCCACUCAUAGCAAACCCAGGGAAAAUUUACUUUCACCCAUGGUACAUGGAACAACUCAUGGAACCACUGAUAGGCUAACAUUAAUCCUGCCAACUCUAAGUGUAACCUUGAGUUGCUAAUGUGCCUCACUCACGAGCCCAAGCGCAAACUCGUGCUACUGGAACAACUCAAAUCCAUCUUAUGAGCCCAAGAGCAAGCUCACAUAAUUACAGUACAAGAAGGUAACCGAAUCCAUACCCAAGGAACGAUUGCGAAGUCUUUGCACCCAAACGUGUACCCACUCGGAUCAUCGUUUUCAUCUCUGCGUAUGCAACGAGACUAGUUGCCCAAUCUCAUUGAAUAGUACUCGCUGAGACUCAUCCUCUGAUACCAAAUGUAGCGCACGUGGUUUUGACCCUUUAUCCUAUGGUGAUUUACCAUAGGAUAACACCACGAAGCGGAACCUAAACCCUCUUUGUGCCACGUGACAGAUGCCACGUGUCACAUGCCACGUGUCCAUGCCACGUGUCCAUAGGAACCCGAGGUUCAGGGCCUUGGGCCACUGAACGAAGGAACGGUGCCAAACUCCCAAGCGUGGAGCCAAGGAGUGAUGGAACCGGACCACAGAGCAACUCCCGAGCAUAUAGCCCAAGGAGCGAAGGGACGGGAGCCCGGAGCGACUUGAAACAGUCCUGGAGCGACCAACAUCCCAAUGCCAGGACCAACACGCAAAACGGAGCCAAAUAGAGUCUAGCGCUAUUUCGGCAUACCGGUGGCCUAACGCGAGGAUAUGGGUACUCCACCAGCUAGCAUGGAAUGGAACUUAGGCUUAGACCCAAGCCGGACGCAAAACAAGGACAGGCACGCAAGCGGGAGCUAGACUAUGCCUCAGGUUGGUCGGCCAUGCCCGACCUACCCACUAUCCCUACUAUACAUUUGGAACCCCCCAUAGCCCCCCCCCCCCCUUGAGGAACACAUGCUUUGGGCUUUCACCCCAAGCCUCCCUUAGUAUCAGGAGUUAGUCUCUGGGACAAGCUCAAAACUUACUAAAUAUGGAAUGUCCCUAGAUUGCGAAUUUGGACAUGGGACGAACACCAUUAUGUUCAGGACGAUCUCUACAUUCCGUAGAUAUGCCAAAUGAGCAAAUCUGGACACUUUCCAUAAAUAGCAUUGGGACCAAAAUGAGACUAACACAAAGGGCAUGAUAGCGAGGGUGUUUGGUAGACACGGUAAACUAUCAUCUAGCGAUGUUGAGGGACCAAUCUCAAUAUCGCGGGGGUUCUUGAUACUAGCAAGUGCAAGCCAAUGACUCAAGUUUCUCAAACCAGGCCGAGUAUGCUCAGCAAGAAACACAUAGGGUUCCUACCUUAUGUUUAUCCAAUCUAAGUGCAUGGUCAUUGACCAGUUUCUCAACUAGCUCAAGUGGGAAACUGAUAACGGGUCCAGCAAUACCGACCUCCUGCCAUCGUGGCAGUAAGGUAAGAGUGUCCGUAAGGACUAGCCGACAAGUAACUUUCGAUACCCGAAGUCACAUUCGCGACACUAGAGAAAGAAUGACUCUCAGUCCAGGAUUGCAAACUUUCAAGACUCAACCAACUUCCUCCUACCAACAGCUUCACAUAGGCUCACCUCAACACAAAUUCUCAUGAUCGAACAACAUGCUUAAGCAUUGAACAUCUUUGCCCAUAUAACCGACAUCCAACACCGACAUCCGAAAGUGCAAAAUGAGCAUCCAAGGCUUGAUCACAAAGACCACAUCAUCGGAUAUCCACAUUGCACUAACACUCUUCUUCAACCACCUUCAAGAUCCAAUGUGAAGCCAAAACACUAACAAGAAAAAUGACAUGGAAAAUCAAGCUCUAAGGAAAAUUCCUCAUCACUUGAAAUAACAAUGCCACCUCCACUAACACAAGUGCUAGUGAUGUCAAUGCCCCAACUACACAUCUUCUCCAUCCAACAAUUUACUCCAAGUGCUAACGGAUCAACCGACAAGCUAUAGCAAAUGAAUGCUACAACCCUUUUCCAACACCUUAGUGGGCAAACUUAAGGAAACAAGGUACCAACUUAAGCUGAGCAUAAUGGACCACCAUUGAGAAUCCAGUCAAAGCUACUACAAUGCUACUUCGUGCAAGUAGACUAGCUUCUCCAUCAACCACUUUGGGGUUGAUCAUCAUUUACUCAAGCAACUUCGUAAACGCAUUACUCUUUAUCACAUGGAUAUGAUAUAAGCAUCACAAUGACUUGAUCAUCAAUUGAGUAACGCAAUGAGCAAUGCCUAUGUCAUUACUUCAAAUGUUUAUGUGAGUAUCAAAUACCAACUCGAUUCGACAAAAUGCAACAUAAAUGCCACACUCCACCAAUAAAGGUUUACGACACCCAACACCACUAAUUUUUGUUCACAACACAGACAAGCUUAUGCCACUCUCUUUCCGACCAAUCUCAAAACUAUUCCAACACCAAGCUACUCAAGAAGCAAUAGCAAGGUUCCCCGGAAAAGAAUUGAGCAUUGCAACCCAAGUCUUCCAAUAGCGAGCCUAGACAAAAUGGUUUAGUGUUUCACCACUAUCCAUCCCAUAACUCACUAUUGUAAAACCACCAUCUCCAACAUGCAUCAAGAUAGGGACUCUUGAUUGCAUGAUGUGAACACAAGCAAUGAGUUAACACCUCUUUGCAAAUCAUCUCUCCAAGAAGAGAAAAUGAUUUACGUAUUUGAUCCUCCGUCCCCGAUGACUCUCUUUUCGGUCUCAUCUUUGACUAAACCUCAAACUUGCUUUCGCACUGCCUUCAGUUCAAUCCAAGAAAAGUUUAUGAGAGAGCACGGCCAUGACUACUUGAACCAAUAGACUAAUCCCUAUAGUCUUGAUUGAUCCACUUAUAAUCAUGCCUAGGAAGGAUCCACUAGUGCCGUGCUAAACAGCUACGGACCAGCCUAUUUGCCACUCUUAGCAAACCCAGGGAGGUUUGCGUUCACCCAUGGUACAUGGAACAACUCAUGGAUCCACCGAUAGGCUAACAUUAAUCCUGCCAACUCAAAGUGUAACCUCGAGUUGCUAAUGCGCCUCACUCACAAGCCCAAGCGCAAACUCGUGUAAUGAAACAACUCAGUCCACCCUAUGAGCCCAAGAGCAAGCUCAUAUAAUAUGGAACAAAAAGGUAACCAAAACCUAUCCCAAGGAACCAAUGUGAAGUCUUUGCACCAAAACGUGUACCCACUCGGAUCAUCGUUUUCAUCUCUGCGUAUGCAACGAGACUAGUUGCCCAAUCUCAUUGGAUAGUUCUCGCCGAGACUCAUCCUCUGAUACCAAAUGUAGCGCACAUGGUUUUGACCCUUUAUCCUAUGGUGAUUUACCAUAGGAUAACACCACGAAGCGGAACCUAAACCCUCUUUGUGCCACGUGACAGAUGCCACGUGUCCAUGCCACGUGUCCAUAGGAACCCGAGGUUCAGGGCCUUGGGCCACUGAACGAAGGAACGGUGCCAAACUCCCAAGCGUGACGCCAAGGAGUGGUGGAACCGGACCACGGAGCAACUCCCGAGCAUAUAGCCCAAGGAGCGAAGGGACAGAGGCUCGGAGCGACUUGGAACAGUCCUAGAGCAACCAGCAUCCCAAUGCCAGGACCAGCACGCAAAACGGAGCCAAACGGAGUUUGGCGCUAUUUCAGCAUACCGGUGGCCUAACGUGAGGAUAUGGGUACUCCACCAGCUAGCAUGGAAUGGAACUUGGGCUUAGACCCAAGCCGGACGCAGAACAAGGACAGGCACGCAAGCGGGAGCUAGACUAUGCCUCAGGUUGGUCGGCCAUGCCCGACCUACCCACUAUCCCUACUAUACAUUUGGAACCCCCCACAACCCCCCCCCCCCUUGAGGAACACACGCUUUGGGCUUUCACCCCAAGCCUCCCUUAGUAUUAGGAGUUAGUCUCUGGGACAAGCUUGAAACUUACUAAAUAUGGAAUGUCCUUAGAAUGCGAAUUUGGACACGGGACGAACACCAUUGUGUUCAGGCCGAUCUCUACAUUCCGUAGAUAUGCCAAAUGAGCAAAUCUAAACACUUUCCAUAAAUAGCAUUUGGGACCGAAAUGAGACUAACACAAAGGGCAUGAUAGCGAGGGUGUUUGGCAGACACGGUAAGCUAUCAUCUAGCGAUGUUGAGGGACCAAUCUCAAUAUCGCUGGGGUUCCCAACACUAGCAAGUGCAAGCCAACAUCAUGAGUUUCUCAUCACCGUGUCAAGUCUGCUUGACUUAAUGACAACUUAGGAUUUCCUUCCUUAGUGCCCUUCCGGUCUAAGUGCACAUGUGUUGACCAGUUUCUCAACUAGCUUAGGCGGAGACUAAUAACGGGUCCAGCAAUAUCGACCUCCUGCCAUCGUGGCAGUAAGAAAGAAUAUCCGAAAGGACUAGCCGACAGGUAACUUUCAAUACCUGAAGUCACAUUCGCGACAAUAUCCCAAGACCCUUAACCAAUUAGGAAAGAAGGUGCACUCUUGUUCAUGGGCCUUUUCCCUUUAUAUUUGAAUCCCAUAGAUCGUCUUUUAAGUUAUUCUCUUUGGUUGCUUACACAAACUUAAUAUCACAAAGGUUCCCAACACUAGUAAGUGCAGCUAAUAUAUGAAUUUCUAAUAUUAAGCUGAGUAUGUUCAAUAAGAAACACAUAGGAGUUCUUACCUUAUAUUUAUUCAGCAUAAGUACAUACAUGAUAAUCAAUUUCUCAACUAGUUUGGAUGGAGAUUGAUAUCCAAAAGUACUUAUUAACAUAUAAUUUUUAAUACCCACAAUCACAUUAACAAACUCUCCAACCGCCCUCGCCCCCCCCCCCCCCCCAGGGAAAAUCGACGUCCAUGUCAAUGCAUACUUUAGUCUAGACUAUUGCCAAGGAAAUAACUCUAGAAAAAGUUCACAAUGUCUGUACUUUGUGAAAACUGCACCGACUUAAAUGAGUUAGGAGGAAACCUCUCUAUUUAAUGUAAAUGUGCUACAAUUCAUACAUCUUUUGGCCGUCACUGACAAGGAAAUGACUAAUGGAGUCAAUCACCCUUGCUACUCUAGGUAUCACCUAGCCUGCAAAAGAUGAUAUACCCUUGUUUACAAGUGAUAUAGAGAGAGAAAUUAAAGGUCCUAACCCUCUUGAGUAAACAAACUAAAUUCAUCAGUAAGGUUUAGAUAGAUUAUUAUAAACAAAUAGUGAGAGUUGUUUACAUGAUCACACCCUUUUGACGGAAUAAGGAACAUCAAAAAAAGGGUGGGUGAUAUGACUAAUUGACAAUAGUUAUCCAUAACUAAAUAUUUCAUUAUGCAUACGAAAUGCCAAAGUCAGUUAGUUUAUAAUGGCCUAAACCCAAAGAUAAAAUAUUGGAGAAUAUUAAAGUAAAAAAAAUGAUAUCUUAGAGAUUAAAUUAUCAAUGAAUAAAUCAUAUAUUAGAAUAUUAAGAUAUUCUAAUGCAGUUAUCAUCCAAUAAACUAGUAUUAUAGGAACCAUCAAUAUCAUUAAAUGGUGACCAACAAAAAAACUUUUUUUAGCAAGUAAAUCAUUAAGAAAACUCAAUAAUAAAACUUAAUUAUCAAAGAUUGUAAAUAGUAUGCUAAACAAUUUAUAAAAGACAACUCAAAAACACAAAGUACUAUCGACUAGCAAGCAAAAUGCUUACAUAUAUAUCACUUAAAGGAAAUAACAUCCAAUCUAUCAAAAUCAACUGUAACAACAAUUAACAUAAUAGAAUGAAUGCUGCAAGAGCUAACAAACACUAGUUCACUUUAAUUAUCACAUUAAUGAAUGUGAAUAGAUUCCAGUUAAUAAGUUGUUCAAACAAGGGUAAGCAACAUCUCAAACCCAAGAAAUCAAUCCAAAGCAAACUAUAAAAAAUAUGUGGUAAUACAGAAAGAUAAAAUUCAUCAAAAUAAUAACUAACCAUCAUGAAAAUUCAUCAAUCAUCCCAUCAAUAGAGAAAUGCAUAAUCAUUAUCGAAGAAAUAAUUUACUAUUCUGAAGAAUAGUAAAUCAUUUAACACCAACAAUAAUUUAGUAAAACCUUUAACAAAGAUAAUCAAUUAUUCUAAAGAAUAGUUAAUCACCACCAAUUAUUGCUAGAUGCAAAUACUAAUUUCAACAUCAAAGUUAAUAAGUAACUCCUAACAAAUGGAACAAUAAGCAUAAAACUUAAAGAACUAAAAGCUUGAAGAGAUAUAUAGCCAAGUCUUGCCUAAUAAUGAUCAUGAGUUUCAUAUGAACUAAUUCAAGGUAUAACCCACAAUAUCCUUUUAAACAUAUUUAAAAGCCAAACUUCAUAAUGCUAAAGUUAAUGAAAAACAUGUUUGUAUCAAUUCAAAAGCUAAACAUAACAUAACUAUACUCAACAAAUGAUCACCAAAUGAUCUUUUAAGAAUUCAUCUUUUAUAGCAAAAUAUAACUAACUUCAUAACAAGCACAAGAAGAAUCAUUAAUUAUCAAUAUAUCCUCAACUCAAUCAAACAAAAAUUUAAUAGUUUCAAUAUCAAUCACUAACUCUUCUUUUAAAACUAGCAUAGUCCAUAAUUAUAUUAUGUUUUAAGGAAAAGCCAAAACUCAACCCUACAAAACAAUUUCGUCUAAAACAUAACUAAUUUAAGUUGCCACUCAACUCAUUUGAAUGUUAAUAUAGUUGCUAAUUAACAAAUGCACAAAUGCCAAUGGCAUAAACCUAGAACUAAAAUCAUCAACACUAAUGCCAAUGAUACAAAUCUAGAGCCAAAAUCAUCAACACUAUUGUAAGCUUUUGAAUUUAGACUUUCCAAAAGGUCACCUAACCUAGUAUUAUUCAAACCUAGGGACACUUAACCCCAACUAUCUCAAGACCCUUAAUCAAUUAUGGAUUGUCUUUCAUGUCAUUCUCUUUGGUUACUUACAACUAUUUAUAUCAUGACUAAUGAAAUUGAAUAUUAAACUUAUGAAAAAACAUCUCAUCUCACUCCAAUCUCAACUUUAAUAAUGUUAAUAGCAGUGCAUUACUUCAAUGUCAUCAACACUAGAAUAAAACUAAAAGAAAAUAAAAGUCAAUCACCACUUAAAACUUUUUAGCAACCAAACUAGCCAAGGCCAAACAUACUUUAUUCAAUAUCCAAGACCAAACCUUCAAUAAUACUCAACUAUAAAUAACACUUUAUCAAGGAGUGAAUUACUACAUCUAAGACUCAAUGAAAUCCAAUACUACGAAUUAAAUAUAAUAAAAAAAUAUCAAUGAAGAUAAAAUCAAAAUGCUAACAUGGAAAAACCAUGUAAAGCUAAUGAUACAAUCCUCUAUAAUACCAUCCGGUAAUCAAACCCAUCACUGCUAAAUCAUUAUCAAGUUAAACAAAUGUUAGUAGUCCUCAACAAAGUAUAUAAGUAAUCAUUAAUUGCAAAGCAACUAACAAUCACUAUUUAACUCACCUUUAUAAGACCCAUAUACAAAACUCAUAUCAUUGAGUUAUAUAUUAGUCCAACAAGAAAGUAACACACCAUGUAUAACAUAUAAAAACUUGGACAAGUAUAAAUAAAAUGAUUGCUUGAAUCCAAUUUAAUUGUGAUAAGUUCACUAAUAUAUCUAACCAACAACUUUGAGCCUGCAGGCACCAGAAACACCAUGGUGGAAGUUAUCUUCUAUACAAUACUGGAAUCUUUCUAAAUGACACUUUUGAGGUCUUGGCAAUCACCAUCAUGUUGUGGAUCCUUAGGACCUUCUUCAGGAUAUAGAGCUGGCACAGGAAGGAUGAUUGUUAAGCACUUGAUCGUGCACUGUUGGGCUUAACUUGUCACAAUCCACACUUAUUGCAUGGUUCUUAGACUCUCCUCCCAGCCUUAGGCUGCUCUGAUCACUAGUGUAUAAUGCUCUGAGCUUGCCCACAGCGAGCACACCAAUUCCAAGUUGUGUCAUGGAUUAGUCAUUGAUAGGCAUCAGAAAUUUAUCCAAUAAACUUUUGCCACGUGGACCUGAAAAUUUAUGCAUGCAAAGUUAUGUUUUUACAAAUUGCACAGCAUCAUUUGCAAAAAAGAGAUUAAGGAAGGGCAAUAUAUAUAUGUGUGCAAGAAUGGAUGUUUAGUGGCUUUGCUAAACUCAUGAAAUUUAUUGUUUGAAAGGUAUCUGAAAAGAUUCCCGCGAAACAGAAUGCAUGAAUAUUAGGAAUAUAUUAGGUAUGUCCAGGCUGUCAAAACGCGGCUAGAUCGCGGCUGUAGCAAGCACAUGCAAACAUUUCAUAUUUUUCUUGUUACUAUAAAAAGUUGAUGUAGCAAACCAAAAGAGAAAUCAAAAGUCUGUUUCAACAAAAAUAAAAGAGAAAUCAAUACCAAAUGUGUGUGUAUAUAUAUAUAAAAUACUAUUGAUAAAUUCUAUGGUUUCAAUUUUCUUGGAUUGUCAAUGACAAAGCUCUUUAGUUUCGCGAUCUUUCUCUUGGCAAUGGCUCUCACUUGUAGUGCACCUCCACCAGCUCAGCGGGGUUUGUUUAGGUUUUUGCUCGACUACAACUUGCUCAGUGUAGCGCAGGUGAGAGAACUCAUGGUCGAAGUGCUCAAUCGUGUCCGGAACCACCGCAACAACCUGGCGAUAGUGGGCGAGCCAAUCACGUGGGUUGCUACGCUUGCGGAAGACGUGCGGGUGUGGGUGCAAGUCCGAGUGAUGGACGAAUUUUGGCAUGAAGAUCGGGAUGGAAUAUGCUCCACCCCAUCAAACCGGCUCGCGUACCCGUUUAGAGACUUACUGAACAGUGUUUUAGAAAUGACUGAGUCAGUCAGGGAGCAGCUCAUUGAUCGGGAGUUCUGGUACGGCUAUGUGGAAGUUGUGUUCCAGGCGUUCGGGAUAGUAUAUCGCAUCGAAAGGGACAGGAGCAGGGACAGGGAUCCUAGAACUUCAAAUACUGAGCUGUUUAGGCAAUGCCCUAUACAUUGACUUUGUACUGUUAAAUAGAAUAGGUUAUAAGUGUCCUAUAAUGUCUAUUAUCCAGCUAUGAAAAAUGCUUUAUAACAUCCAAAACAUUCCCCCGAGACAAAAUAUCUAGUGGGAUUCGAACCCAUGCCCUUGUGGACCCUUGACUCCAUUGACCCUGUUGAAGCUAGGCCCAUGAUUGAAGAUGUGAUCCCCUCCCCUUUCACUGCCAAGCAAUUGUCGCAGAUCCACCAGAUGGAACUUGUGGCUAGAGCGUCAGGUGUUAGCCAAGCUCCAUCCAUUGCUUUUCUUUCCUCUGUCAAGGCAAGGUCCUGUGUCUUUUUCACCAUUACAAAACCUUUUUUUUCCUUCUUUUUCUCUGUUCUUCUUUUUUCCAAACAUUCUUGUUAGCUUAUAGAUUUUUCUACAAGUCAAGUAGAAACGAUGCAUGGUUAUGUAGAAGAAAACCUUCUUUUCUUUGGAAGUUCUAAAACUCUGGUUUUGCAGCCCCAAGAUGCCUAUGGGUGAGCUAAACCAAGGGAAUCCAGUGCUGCACUAGACGUUUCCACAACAUCUAUCGAGCUUUGUUCUUAGAUCCCUUUUUCUUUGGGUGUUCACAAGCCAUUGACGCUUAAAACAAGUGGAUGGGAGAAGGCUCACAUUUUGCAGUAACAUCUAGUGACAACUUUGAGAUGUGGGGUGCAAAUGCUUGACGAGUGCAUGGAAGGCGUGUUGCGACUCACGAAAUCUAACUUCCGGAAGCCGCUCAACAUGAGAUGGUGAGAGAUGGCGGAGAAGAUCCUGGGCUUUGAGACGAAGAAACUUCCAAUCCACUACAUCCCCGGGGCCGGAGGGGUUCACGGAAGAAACACAGACAACGCUUUGAUCAUGGAGAAGCUCGGCUGGGCUCCGUCGCGAUUAAGAGAUGGGCUGCACAUGUGGAUCAAGGAGCAGCUCGAGGAGAUUACGGAGGGAUAACAUGACUCGGCAGCCAUUCUUACUGAAUUAGCGUUCCAAAAGUUGACUAACAUUUGACCGCUGACUAAAAGUUUAGUCCAUGGCUGUGUAUAUUAAAACUCCGUAAGAGCCACACAGUGCUCGCUAGGGCGGGACGUGCUCUGCGUGGAUAAUCGAGCAUGCCGCAUCUUGGGGUGCUAUCGUGCGACCGUUUACGCGCAGCUGCUGAGAGUGAUCGAUCCUCACGGUUUUAAACGAGUAAACCUUUGCAGGAACAAGAGUUAUAAUCUUGAAAAGAAGAAAGGAAAAAGUAUCACCUUGUUCCCCCGUUGAGCACGUACGCUGUGAAGCAAUGGUUCCAGCAAACUCAAAGAGUUGCCCUCUUUCAUCUGUGCACCUGAGCAUGAGUGUAACUGAGGAUUGAAUAGCUUUGCGUACCAUGCCCUCCCGAAUCGCGUACACCGAAACCACGAAACACGUUCCCUCUGAAUCGGCAGCCAGGUAAAAGCUGCAGCAGAGAAAGAGAGAUCAGCAGCGCUGAAACUACGACGCCGGUAACUUACAGAGGCACAGACUUAUCGUGCGAGAUGACUGACAAAACUUUGCAGUAGACGACGCUCCCUUUGUUAAAUCCUUCUUGCAGUAACGUUAUAGGCACUCGUUUGAACGAGAACUGCCCUGUGUAAAAACAGAGUCCACAUCAGUAAAACAAAUUGUUUCUUGCAUACGAACCACUUUCAGUGGCCAAGGAAGAAAUCAGUGAUGAAAGCUUCUUCGGUUUGAUCCAACCCUGAAAAACAUCUCCACAACUUCAGGAAACCACAGCUGAUAACUCAGCAAGGGAAUACCUUAUUUGCAACAGCAUCUUCCAGCUUAGACAAAAGCUUGACAAUUUUAUCAAUUUCGUCCUUCGCAGGGAGCCCAGGGUCCCGAGUACUAGCUGCGUCGUAUGCUCUCAGCGCUCUCUCAUAAUCUUCUAGGUACUGAUGCACCUGUAAACCAAAACGAACAAAAUAAGACUUUGCAAAAAAUCAUUGCAACUUACUAUUGCGCUGUUGAAAUACAGAUCAGGAUUACCAUUAGCCAGCACGUCUUUCUCCUGUAGAUAAUGGAAACCAUCAGAAGAAAACUGGCACCACACAAAAGCGAGUAAACGCAACCGCAUUUUGAUAGGCCUUGAGAGAUUGGUGGAGCUUUUGUCGGUCCCAUGCUCCGGUCACAAAAAAGCUCGUCAAAAAGGCGUUCCCUAGCGUGUCUGUCGCAAACAUGCUUCAAAACACUUCCACAUAAAAAGAACGAUAAAGAAACCUUCUUACACCAGGAGUGUCCAUCUUUGACAUCCAAACACACUGCUUCCUUGGCGUGCUUGAUGCUUUCUUCAACCAUCUCGGAUUCGUUUGCGGUUCCUAUUAAGCAAGAAAGUCACAAGCCGGUAAGCAAAACAAAACGGGCUUAACCUUUUCCAAGUCGCCGCUCCAGCAUAGACAGUUGCUGUAAGAUCUUCUUAUUUGGUCCCUGCAAACUUAUGUCAGAGAAAACGAAGACAAAAAACCAAAGAAGAAGAAAAAGAAGAAACCUUUUGAAGUCCCAGGCUGAAACAGUUUUUUGCUGAAGAAAAGUCUCCCUUCUUCCAGAAGCAAUUCCCCAGGCAGGACCAAGCAUCCACAAUAGAAGGAUCCAGCUUCACCUGCCUCAGGUUCAACAAGAGUGGUACUUAAGAACAUCCUUUGCUGCAAAGGAAUAAGGUAAGAUCAGGGAAUGCAGCAUUAUAUCGCGGUCUUUUACGUGCUCUCUCGUCAAUCCAGCCAUGAAAAAUGCGAGGGUCUAGGCGAGCAUACCGCUUUGGAGAGGUGAUCUUCGGCCUCUUUGCAAUACUCCGGCAUAACAUCCAAAACUUUCCCCUUGAAAUACUCCCAGAGCGCGCGGCGAGGGGGCAGCUUCUUGCAUUCUAAGCGAAAAACGUGAGAGAAAGCCACAUUUUCGAGAUUCUCACCUAGAGAGAUGUCAUCGAGGGCCGCGAUCAGCUCCUUUGCGGAUCGCUCCAGGCGAUCCCUCUUCUCGGCGGCGUCGAGAGGAAAGAAUGUGUCCCGCACUUUGUAGAGGCUCUCGAUCGCCGGCUGCAGCGCCUCGAGUGACGACGCCAUCGCCGCGCUGGACUGCCCUAGAAUCCCACUUCGUAAUAAGUAAUUCCCAGGAUAUGCGUUUCAAGCUUUGUCCACGUGGGCGGCUGGGAUGCGCGCCACUUGGCAGACAUCCAUUGAGAGCAUUGUAAGUGUGAUUCAAGGAAUUUUCCUGACAAAGAACUAUUAUUUAAAUAUUUUUGUGCCUUGCAUCAUAUGUAUUAAUCCACAAAUAAAAACAAGUUAAAAAAAAGAAGAAGUAUGUAAAAAUAUAUAAAAGAGAAUUAAAGAGAAACUCCCAAAAGAGAAGCUUCAAUUCAACAGUCAAGUCAGUCGCAACAGAUCCUUCGAUCCCUACACACAAUUCCUUCUGCUUCGAAAAUGCCGUGAAGAACUUGCCAUUGAACAAGAACACGCACACAAAUUAAACGCGUCAGUCAGUCAGAAAGGUGGCGGUGGAACUUUUCCUUUUCAGGUGUUGAGACAUCCAAGUCAAUAAGGAUCUCAUUACCAUCACAAACAAUAAUCACCAUCUAAACUUCAUAGCUUCAACCACAUACUCUUUAGUUGAGCAUAGAAAGAUUUAAACAUCAGCGCAGCCCACUGUUGCAAAGCCGGCACUUAAAAUAAUGCCCAAAACUCAUACAAGAACUCUCCUCAGCCGGCCGAGCAGCCUCUAUGUCGGCCUCAAUUCACGACACCAAUGUGGCUUUCCACGUAGCUCUCCUUUCCUUUCACCUUUCCAAGAGCCAAAAGAUCUCGAAGAUCACAGAGGGAGAAAAGGAAACAUGUUUAGCGCGCGGGCAAAGUGAUUUGCCGCAUCUGGACUGUUGUUGGCUAUAGAAGAUCAUCCAGGAGCCCUGAAAAGCAAGAAGUUGGUGUGUAGCAUAGUAGCAAAAGCGUUGGGAUAGAGAGAGAGAGAGAGAGAGAGCUAGCUCAGAGAGAAAGAUUGACAAUGCGACUGCUAUAGUUUACGAAGUCGUCUUAGUUAGACCACUGUUCCUGGGGAGAAAGAAUAGAAUUUCUCGCGACUUUUAAAAGCCAGCGCCAUUCCACUUCCCUUACUCAGGUCAUUUAGUCACACGCUCACGGUUUUCUCUCAUGCACGUCGCCCUCGCUGCGCUAUCCUCGCGUCUUCCUUGAAUUCCUGGAGGAAGAUCUGCCCCCCCCCCGCGAUCGAAUUCCUGGGAAGAUCUUCUCCUUUUUGUUUUUGUAGCGGAAUCUCAAAGUUUUUCUUCCUUGGCGGCCUUCUUUUUCCUCUUCCGGAUGGCGGUCCAGUCGCGGCCAGCGGGCUUCCCCUCAUUCGCUUCAUCGCCCAGGCGCGAUCGUCACACCAAGGAGAGAAUUCCGCGGAGUUUGCUCCAGCUCCAAAGCUCCACCGCCACGACGAGCGAAUCAGCGGCAGCGCUGGAGAGACAAAACAUUUGCAAGCUCUCGGCGCUGCUCAAGGACACCAAUCUCCUGCCCGAGAGAUACGUGAUACCCGAGAGCCACCGCGCGCGAUUGUCCCACGACGCCUUCCUCCCCGAGGUGGAACUCCCAAUGAUCGACUUUGAGACGUUAAAGUCCGGGGCUGGCACCGAGAGCCUCGCUCGCGAGGUUGGCAAUGCCUGCCGCGAUUGGGGGUUCUUCCAGAUCGUCAAUCACGGCGUCCCGGACGACCUGAUCCAAGAGAUGCUGCUCCAUGCCGACCAAUUCUUCCACCUCCCCUACGAGCAAAAGGAGAAGGCCGCGAUCUUCCCAAGGCCUCUGGGCUACAAUGGCCGCUACAAGGACCUGUCCUCGAGCGCGCCGUGGGUGGAAGCCAUGGCAAUGCAGCAAACUCCAUACUCCACCGUGGAUGAGACGGUGGACAGAGUCUGGCCGGGAGAAGGCAAUCCAAGGCUAAGGUGAGAGCCGCGAGAUGAUCGAAACUCUCGCUCGAUCAUCCAAUUCUAACUUGAUUCCUUUCGCCCAUGAUCCAGGAGAGCGCUGCGGAGGUACCACGCCGAGAUGGAGAAGCUCGGGCAGAGUGUUGUCCAACUGAUUGCCCUGAGCUUGGGCCUGGAGAGGAGAACCUUUAGCCGCCACUUCGAGGAGAGCUCCUCCACGUUCCGGUGGAAUCACUACCCUCCAUGCCCCUUGCCCUCCAAAGCUCUGGGCCUCCUCGCUCACUCCGACCCCUCCGCGAUCACUAUACUCCACCAGGAUAGUGUCGGUGGUCUCCAGAUACGAAAAGAUGGCCGAUGGAUCGCUGUGAAGCCACGGCCAGACACAUUCGUGAUCAACUUGGGCGAUGUCUUUCAGGUAUGAUCGAUCGAUAGAAUGAUCUGUGCUAUAGUUUUCGAAACUUAUAAUGUCCCAAUUGUUCUUCCAGGCCUGGACCAAUGGAAGAUACAAGAGCGUGGAGCACCGAGCGGUGGUGAACCAGAAGCAAGGGAGGCUCUCCAUGGUUUUCUUCUACGGCCCACAAGAGGAUUACGUGAUCACCCCCCCGGAUGAGCUCAUCGAUGAAGAUCAUCCUCUGCGGUACAGGCCCUUCACUUGGGGGGACUACAGCGCCGCCAGGCUCAGCAUCCCGGCGCACGGCAAGAGACACUUGGACGUCUUCGCAGGAGCCCUGUAAUGACAAGGAAGGAUUUCUUCUUCUUCCUUUUCUCCAUUCCUCCUCUUCUGGGUUGCGACUUCCGAGAUUGUUGGAAGAGGAGCUGGUUUUAUGAUUAUCGAUCAUCGUUUCACAGAGAGAAGAGAGAAAGAGGGGUGAGAAACGCGGAAAGCCAUUUUUUGUAGCCUGUGGAAAUAAAACACGUAAGUCCUUUUGCAGCGUCUUGGAAGAAAUAGUCGUGUAUAGUGUGUAUAGUGAACUGCAAGACGCAACUCUUGCAACACUCAAGUUCCUUCUUCUGGAUCUAGAAGAAGGAAGUUGAGUGUUGCAAGAGUUGCGCUACGCGGUGAUGAACAAAGUGACCAAAGCUUAUCCUUUGUCUCAUGAUGUUUGUUUGGAUCAUCAAUUUCAACUCUUGGUCAGAAUCCUCUUCCUCUUCUACUUCUUUGGACAAGGAGUUACCCACACGGAGUAGAGUUCUCAAACUUUUUUAGGUUGCGAGAGUGACACUGUCCCUGUGUCGUGGUUUCUAAUGUUUCAUGCCACCUUUUGCUUUAUAAAACUUCCCGAAAAUCUUUACACUCUCCCUGCGUGUAGAUCCUUGUCUACGAUCAUGGGGUUGACACGGAGAGAGGACCGAGAAAUUGGAGAAGUUCUUACGGCACCCAAGACAUGCCCGGCUCCACACUAAGCCCAUGAUUUAGAAACCGAUCCCUCCUGGCAAUAAGAAAAACAAUUCGCCUCUGUUUGUGAUACUCCCAGGGAUUUGAUACCUCUUGUUGUCACAAGUGAGGUGUUGCAGUGUCAAGUGUAGCAUCAGGAUCAUGUGAGUGGGGUCAAAUUUCUGUUCAAGUUCCCCUCUGUUUCUUGUUCACCUUGUUCCUCGCUGACCAGAAAAGAAUUGAAAGAAAAAUGUGCGGACUUUAUACAGUCCCGAUGACCUGCAUGUGCCAAGUGCCGGAUCUCUGUUCGCAGUGCAGUGUACUCCCAAGAACCACUGCAAAAAAACCAAGGAAAACGAUGGAAAAAUCACUCUUUUCUUGGCCUUUUGGAUUUCUAUUCCGUCGACCCUGUUUGUUUGCUGCUGCUGCUGCUGCUACUGCAUUCGUGCCGGUCCUUGACGACGACUCUCCAUCCAAAGCAAGGAGAAAAGAAACAUAAGACGAGCAGGAAAAGACUUGUAAACUCGUUGGUGUGUGUGGGAGCUUGCAGGGACCGUUUGUAAUAAUCCAAACUAAAAAACCUGUGCGCCACUCUACCAGUCUAUAGACUCUAGAUUCUCCCAUCAACCGCAAGAAGCACGAAUAAUCAAUCGGCCGCCUGCGCCAACUUUCCUCUUCCUGUCCCCCAGUUCUCUGGAUUUGCUCACUCUUUCGUCGCCUUUUUUUUUUUUUUUGCUGCUGUUGAGUCAACACUGGAAGAUGCCCCUUAUAACUGCCUUCGCUGAGAUCACCCAAGCGACCAAAAACUCUUUUUUUUUUGUUUCCUGCUCGAGUGGGAGCUGGAGUUUUGCCGUCAAAACCCCCAUUCAUUGUGCACAUGGCCGGCUGCUGCUUGAACCCAGAAGUUGUAUAAAGUACCUGAGACAUUUUUUUUGCGGCUGCAAUUGAGAAAACAUGCUCUCCCACUCCGACACACGCACACCGCUUUCUUAAUUUUCCUCUUUCUCCGCUUUUGCAUUUCUUUUUCUCUCUCUUUUUCUCUCUUUUUUGCUUGUUUUCCUGUUCUUCGGUUCUAGAAUACCAGAAAAAGGGGUAAUUUUUGUGUGAUUUUUUGGUCAACUUUGGCCUCUCCAUAGCCGUGAUUGACUCCCUAUAUCUAAGUAUGAUGACAGGCAUGCCAUAUUCUCGGUCCGACAGUCCACCCAGAGAGCAUCUAAUGCUUGCCAUGUGAUCCACAAGCACCACAUUGGUUUUAAUUCAUGAUCUUCCAAAGAACGUAGAAAAUGUGUGUGUGGCUCUGAGUGAAUGUAAGAGCUUUUGUCGAAGACAAUCAUUCGUAAACGGCCCCUCCACUCACUUACCUUAAAUCUAUUAGAUUGUAAGAUCGUGGCAGCCCUAGAAAUUUCUUGGCGGGGGGGUUUAGGUUUUUUCUAGCGCUAGGGCGGGGCGAUGGCGCUGGGGUGUGCCGCUCUUGGAUCGUCCCCGUGCGCCUCUCUUCCAGGUAAUCUUGAUCGAUUCGCUGCGCUCUAGCGCCAAAUGCUGGCUGCAGGAGCAUCGCAUUCCUUCGCCGUGGGGUCGAAAUUUUGCUCGAGGCUCUGGUUCUCCGGUAAGAGUCGCUGUUCUUUUUUCUUGAUCGGGUAGAACAGUGACGAAGCUGUCAAUCCAGCUCGUCCUAGAGGAGGACGCUUCCGCCGACUGCAGAGGUGGGAGAAUUCUUCUAGAAGUCUUUUAUUCGCGAGGAUCAGGGCAUUAAGUUCGAAAUCUGCGGGGGGUAGCGACGAUCGUAGCACGACUUCUGAGAAAUCUCUCAAUCCUUACGUCUGGUCCGACAGAAAGGUAUGUGUUCCAUUUCUUUCCACGUUGACAAAGUCUUUUCUUGCUGAUGUGUAGAGCCCCAGAAUAUGUAUACUGGGUGGUGGCUUUGGUGGUUUAUACACUGCCUUGCGGCUGGAUUCUCUUGUGUGGACACCAGAAAAGCGUCCGCAGGUUCUCAGCCUUUAUUUUCUGACCAGUUUUAUGGCUUGCUUCCUCAAGGACGUUUCCUUUUCCAGAUUUUACUUGUGGAUCAAUCCGAGCGUUUCGUUUUCAAGCCGAUGCUUUACGAGCUAUUGUCAAAAGGUUACGACUUCUCAGAAAAAAAAAUUAAAAAUGCCCCACAUUUUUUCUCCUGACUCACGAUGUGCAGAAGUUGAUGUCUGGGAGGUAGCCCCACUAUUUGCAGACCUCUUGGCGAGCACAACCAUACGCUUUCUAAAAGACAAUGUCAAAUCAGUGUCACCUUUUGAUGCAGUUGCUGACGAUAACAAGUCGUCACCAUCUAGCAUCGGUGGUAAGGUGUACCUUGAGAGCGGAAUUCAAGUCGAAUAUGACUGGUAAGCUUCCAGUGUUCUCAUCCUUUUUACUUUUUUUUUUUCAAACAUUUAAACAUCUGACUCACAGAUAUCAGGCUAGUAUUGGCGUUGGGUGCUGAAACUAAGAUGGAUAUGGUUCCUGGAGCACUGGAACACGCCCUUCCUUUCUCGACUCUGGAAGAUGCUCUCGUAAGCUUCGGUUUUCUUUUUGCUUUUUCUUUCGCCUUUUCCAUUUAGAUUGCGUUUUUAGAGCCACUCAUGCUUCUCACGUCUUUAGAGGCUGGAGAAGAGAUUGGAAGAGCUGGAAAGGGAGCGGUUUGGUCCGAAGCAAUUGCCCAUAGAUGUUGCUGUUGUCGGGUCCGGCUAUUGCGGCAUUGAGUUGUCAGCUACGGUUGCGGAGAGGCUUGGUGAGCGUGGUCGAGUGCAAGUGAUUGAUGUCAAUUCAGAGAUCUGCCCUUCAGCACCUACCGGAAACAGAGAAAAAGCUUCGAAGGUAAAAAAAAAAAAAGAAAAGGAGAGGACGCAAGUGUUCAGUCUUACUCAUCAAUUAUUUUGCAGGUAUUGUCAUCUCGCAACGUCAAGCUGGAGCUGGGAUAUUUUGUAACUAAUAUUGCUCUCAAGGAUUCCAACGAGCCAGAGAAAAAGAACAAGCGGGUGGUUCUCGAGUUAAAGCCAGCGAACUCAAGGAACACUCGUAAAGCCCCUCCCAGCACAUUUCUGGAAGCCGACUUGGUACUAUGGACGGUCGGAGGCAGAGCGUUGGUUCCGAAGGCCUUUCCUACAAACGGGCGUGGACAGACGGACACUGACGAGACUCUACGAGUAAAAGGACACCCUCGCAUCUUCGCGAUUGGAGACUCCGCUGGUAACAAAGACAGCUCUGGAAGGCUGCUGCAAACAACAGCACAGGUCCUGACUCUUUUUUUCGCGCUCAAAUAACGUUUUUUCUAUGUAGGUCGCGCUUCAGCAAGCUGACUAUGCCGGAUGGAACUUGUGGGCCGCAAUCAACAACAGGCCACUUCUACCUUUCAGGCUAGAAAGUUAUUGUCCUACUCUUUUGUUCUGAUCGUUUUCUCCAGGUACCAGCACUUGGGCGAGAUGAUGACGCUUGGAAGGUAUAAUGGUGCUGUUACGCCCAGUUUCUUCGAAGAUAUCACGCUGGACGGUGUACUUGGUCAUACAGGUAGAACAUCAUUUUUUUUCUUCCUGUUUACCAUCGUUUUCUUUGAAUUUCUUGCAGCUAGAAAGCUCGCGUAUCUCUAUCGCCUUCCCACAAACGAGCACCGUGUCAAGGUUGGAGUAAGCUGGCUAGCGAAAUCGGCCGUGGACGCGUUCUCGUACGUCCAGGGUACGGUACUUAGCUUAGCCCAAAAAUCGUGAUUAGUGGAAAUUGUAAUGAUAAUAAUGUGAAGUUUAGGGCUUAUUGGAAUUUGAAAUUUAGGGCUUAUGGCCGAGGUGGGAGAAGAGGAGGGCUGGAGAUUUCUCUACGAGGCGCUGCUGCGAAUCUCAUCGCUGCGGCUGCUGCUCACCAAGGAUUUGGUGGCGCCGUCGGUAUCGUGCAAUCGCGGGCUCAAGGCGUCCCUUGGACGAUUCUCGUCCUGUUUGGAGCUGGUUUGCGAGUGGCAAUCGGAGCGAGAAUGCGGGAAGCGCGUGGUGUUGCGCGUUCCUCUCCCAUUGUGUCCUGUCGAUCACGGGGCGCCGGUGGAAGCGGUGGCGCGGGAGGAUCACAUCGAGGUGAAGCUCAGAAUGGUGAGUGGUGGAGCGAGUUUUUUGCUGAGCAGCGAAAUGGGAAUGCUUCCGAGCACAAGUAAGUCUCUUUGAUUUUCCUAGACUCUAGCGGAAGAUCUGUAUUGUUUUCCAUAGAUGAAUCAUUCGAGCUUGCAUCACGCGCACCGGAAAUUAUUCUUCGCUGCAGGGCUUGCAAGGCGGCGAUCACACGAGGAGGAUUCGAGUAAGAAAAUCGAGUUUUUAUAGGAGGAAGUAAACUCUUUUGUUCUUUUAUGCAGGUCAGUGCUAGAACUUCCCUCCGUUGAUUGGAGAGAGGCCACGGACGACUGGUUUGGAGUAUGUUGCUGUGGCUCCAGUAUAAGAACCGAGUCAAUCGUUGCAGGCUUUGAGAAAAACGUCACCACCUCGCACGGGAAACUCCUGGUUGGAAACUCGACAUGCAUCGUUCACGCCUCGGAUCUUUGCCAGGCAUCGCCACCAGUUGACAGCGCCUGCGAUAGAGCGCAAGAAAAGGAGAAGAGCGAGGCUGACGCUCUCCAGGUGGAAGUAAACGGGGAUACAAAUCAUGGUAAUCACAGGCAACACACUUCGGUUUUCCCGGGGCACCAGCACGAUGUCUGCUGCGAGAAAAAUGACUGCGUUACUACUCGUGAAGAACAUACGUCAGGUCCAGGUUUCUACGACUUUCUCAAAGGUCCAGUGGAGCCAAUGAGCAGCGGUACAUGGCAGCCAUUCAAUUGCCUCGAGUGCUCGUCGCUGAUUGGAGUUUUCUUAGAACCAAACGAAGGCCAAACACCGAAACCAGCCGUCCAUCUGUUCAAGCGACACAUACUAGCGGCUGAAAACACACUGACCAAGGAGUCAUUCAGGUACUCGUUCUCUGUCGCUUUAUUUUUCUUCUUGCUCCAUUCUAAAGUGGAGUGUUGGCUUUCUUUUCUUUAAGGCACCACACUCUUGAGAAGGACUUUACCAAGGAGCUCGUAUCUAGGGCCGAGCAAGACUCUUCCUAUAGAUACGUCGUUCGAGGCUUGAGGCUUAAAAGACCAAUGCUCCAGGUGGUGCUUGUAAAUGAGAACUCUCUCGUUUUCUCUGGAGCAGUGGUGGAUUCCAAGAGACAAGUUUCCCUUGUCUCUUUCACUCCAGCGGCGAGUGCGAUGCUUCAAGAUUGUAGCGAGUUUGAAGAACACGAACUAACGUAAGUAUCUUAUUUGAUCCAGUGAUGCGGUAUCACUAACAUUCAAAAUUUCGUUCUCCAGUAUUGUAGAGGAGUGGUGUACACGCCAUAACGUGGACGACAUCUUUCUCCUCGAGGAAGAGAUAGCCAUGCUGCUGACAACAAUCCGUGCAAACCAGGAAUUUUACCCGGCCUCGUACAGCGUGAAUCAAGGUUUUCGGCUGUCCUUCCUGAGAAUAUAAAUACGUAAGUUUGUACAAAACAAUCGAUCCAUCCUGCGCUGUGUUAGUAUCCUUCACACAAAACUAUCAAAUGAAGCUAAGUACCUUUUUUCUUGAAUGUUUUAGAGAUGAUCCUGCGGCUUUGGAGACAAGAACAUCGCAGUGUACAUGCGAAGCUUGUCCGAGUCCGAGGCAGCGAUGCUGAGCCUCCGUUCCAGUCCAGCACCACCACGGUCUCUCGAUGUUCUCGCUGGCUCCGCUACUGAGACCCUGGCCGCCUUGAAACGCCUCCAAGCCAGCUGAAUGGUAACCGCGGCCCAAGUCCUCCAUCCGGACGAGUAGUAUCUCGCGGUCCGCUUGAGCUUCUCGUUCGCAAACUCGGUCCGGAAGUGGUCUGUCACGUACUUGAGGUCGCGAGCUUCGAAUCCGAAGGCUUCCACCGAGUCCAAGCACCUCAGCGUCGCAAUGGACGGGGGAAGCCGGUCGACGAAUGGCCUCCUGAGGCACCACGACAGAAGCUCGUCCCCGCAAAAGCUCCCGGGCUCCAUGGUGAAGAUACUCGUCUUGUUCUCGCUCAGGUUGUGGAUGCUUUGCAGCCUCCCCCGGACAAUGAAUAGCAUCCGCUGCACUGGGUCUCCGGUUCGCGAGAUCUACAUGGAAUGACACCACUGUGCAUGAAAAACACACUUUGGGAUGGUUCCGAGGUUCGAUGCUUACCGUCUCGCCUUUGAUGAACAUGAGGGGCUUGACGCGGUCGCAGAUGGUGUCGAGCACGAUCUCGUCCAUUUGGUAGAAGAGAGGGACCUGACGUACGAGGUCCAGGCAAAGGUGGCGCUUGACAUCCCGCCGGACGCCCUCGGGUAGCUCGCGAACCAUGGCGUGCUCGUCAACUCCACGUAAAGCGGCCCAUUUCUGGCGCUCGUAUUGACGAACACGGUGCCUCAGCCGAGAUGGCAGCUGCCUGCGUUUCAUCCAAACCUCGAGGUCUCUGAUUUUCAGCCGCAUUUCCUCUUUCUUAGCCGUCAUCGAGUGCAAGAAAACCUGUCGAAGUCAAAGGGUCCUACUGAAUAAGUUUCCUCACAGAAUGCAUGAAGUGACUUACUUGUAUGUUUCCUAUCAAUAGUGUGAACAGCAUGAGCCCACACGUAAUGACUAGAAUGCUGAAAAUGACCUCCAGCAUUUGAUUGCUUGGAACCAUAGCAUUGCCAAAAGAGCUGGAUUUGAAAACAAGAAAAAUGUAAGAGUUAGCAAGUUUCCCAUCAAAACUGUGUACCUCAAAGUCAUCAACCCCCAGAAGAUAGGAUAAAGAAUGCGGUUUAAGAAGUUCCUGGAGGUAGUCAGCGGCAAGGCGGUUAUAAAAAUCCCGUACUUGAAAACAUCACCCUUGUUCUCCAAACAAGUGGGAGCAACAUCUGCAUAUAGCUUCGCAGAUGUAAGCGGCGAAGGAUCAGAGAACCGUGGACCGUAUAAGAUGGCAUGCGAGGACCCCAAAUCCCGGGCAUUGCAACCAGCUUUCAUCUUGCACUGGUCAUACAAGCACGAAGAAAUCCUCUGCAAAGCAAGGAGAUACCAACAAGCUCCUGCGGCCUGCAAAGCCAAGAACGUGAGCAAGAACAUCGAAGAGAGUUACUGCCAUCUUACGUGAGCCGCCACGAAGUAUGCUGUCAAGUUAAGAGCGAAGCCCCACCAGGCGGUCCCAAAAACGUAUCCAGUAACUCUUUGCAUCCGCGGCACUAGAGUGAUCAAGUGAAACACUUUGUAGACGAACUGGAUCGCGAAUGCCACUAGAAUGCUUGUCAUCAUCCCACUCAUUUUACCUCCUCUCCUGAUCAUCUCUGGAACGACUCCCCAUAUAACUAUCUGCAAGAAAAACGCAAGUCAAACCAUUUGUGUCGAGGAAAAACUGAAAAGCUUGCCUGUAAGAUAGGGAAAACCACGAAGAGAUCGAAAACGAAGCCGCCGGACGGACGAAGGUAGUGCAAAGCAACCAUCCUCGCGUCCCAGACGAGCUUUCCACUUCCAAGUACGAGGGACUUCCGAGCGACAUAAGCAAGCUUGAGCUGGAGCCAUAUAUGCCAGAGAUGCAUCAAGUCGCUCACGCAGCGGAAGAGCGUCACGAAGAUACCAAACCAGCCGUCAAUGUAGAAGCAGUAGCGGUGUGGACUGAUGGCCACCGUGUAGAGAAACAGCGGCUCGAUAGCCAGAGCCCAGAACCUGGAGAGGAGGAAGACCCGGUUCCAGGCGAUGAUGGUCUUGCUCCUGGGAUCCAAAACUUUGCCGAAGAUCCACGUCUUGUAGAAGCCAUCUGGUUUUGGCGGAGGCUCGUGAUGCAUGAGUGAGACACCAACAGCGCCUUCGAGCAUGUAGGAGCUGCCUCGAUCAUGGUCUGUGACAUGGUGAGGAGGAGGGCCGCCGAAAGAGUUGUAUGGAGGAGGACCGGAGCCUAGCGGACGAACAGCAACAUCCGGCAUGCUAUUGACUUUGGCGGCCAUCACACCAAGCUCGAGUGCCUGGAACGAGCGAAAGAUUAGAUCCUUGAACAGAGUCGAUAGAACACACACAAGGCAAGCGCCAGAAACAAAAAAAAUAUCCUCGCAGGACUCUCACAAAUCAGUAAAAAGAAUCCUUUCAGACUAAGAUCGAUGAAAAGAAAGAACGAGAUUAAAUCCGUCGAUAGAACACACACACACACACACACAAAAGGAAAGCACUUCGAUAUAAAAAAGAAAUUCCUCACAGAUCACAAACUGGUGAAAAGAAUCCUUCGCGUCGGACUGAGAUCGAUCGAUCAAAUCCGCGAGAGAAUCGCACGGGCAAAACAUCCGAAGGGCAAAGAAGCAAGAAUUUCCCUUGCGGUGAUCGGGCCCGCAGCAUCAUGAUAGCAAUGGAAGAAAAGCGCUUACCGGUAUAAUAUCGGGGAUGGAAAUGCGAGCUCCACCAUGGAAAGCGGAGGAACAGCCGCUCCUCCUGUUGGUCCUCCUGCGGCCUCCACAUCUUCGCUUUCUCCUGUAUCACAAGAUCGCAAGUAAACGCCCAUCGAUCAAGGUCAAGAGCAAGAGCGCACAGGAGAAUCGAUUGACCGACUGGCGCCACAUCGCGAGACGACUCUCGGCCAAAAUUUCACGUGAGAACAGCCACCAGCAUUGGAAGAAAUCGAUCGAGCAUGGAAGAACCCUAAGAAAAUCCGCUCUUACACUAGUUUGUCACGUGUCACUAUAGGGACCGUCCGAUCUAACGACUUUAGAAUAUGCGCGUAAUGAGUACUUCUUGCCACCAUGCUGAUGCUUUUUUCCAUGGUUCAGAAAUUUGAGAUCUACUUGCUCGUUUAUAGACUCGGAUUUGGGAGGCAGCCAAAGGAAUCUAGUGAGCUGCAAGUUAGAAGGUUAAGGGAUGCCAUGCCAUGGGUUUCGGGGGAGAAUGUGAACUCCAAGCGUUGAGUGAGGAGGAUUACUAUUAGAUAGUUGAACCCUAUGACACUAGAAAUUGCCCAACAAAUGCUGGGCGGUUGAGAAAGUGAAAUCCCCCACAAUUGGCCCUCUUCUCUCCUCCUCUCACACCCAAAUUCACUGUUAUAAAUCUCACCUUUGAGUGGACUUUCCACAUUACAGCUAAGUAUUAACACUAGCGUCUGCCAAGAAUGGAUUGAACAGUAUUUCUAUGCAUCCGUUCUUGUCUUUUGAGGUGCACCUUUGCACUAAUUUAAUUCUUUGAUCUCUCCAAAGUCAACAUGGACAUAUCAUUGCACUGACCCACCCACACCUCCAUUGAAAUCAAGCAAGGAUCAUAACCAUCUAGAAAUAUUCAAGUUAGGUGGAGAAAUGCAAUUCUUUUACUGAGGCCCACCCAUGCCUCCAUUGAAAUCAAGCAAGGAUCACUAGUAGCCAUCUUGAAAUAUUUAAGUUAGGUGGAGAAAUGCAUUCUCUUACUGAAGCCCUUGCCCUAGUGUUCUAGAGCCAAAAAACUUAUGCUGAGCAUAAAACAAUUUUAGUCACCACAUCAACACAAGCAUUGACAGCAACUUUGACACUUAGAGCUUGCAAUGUAAGGUAAAUUGCCUUAUGCAAUGCUCAUCCAUGAGUAAGGGGAAAAUGUAACAUAUACAGGCCUUUAAAUAACCAUGCCUACCAAUUUUAACUCCCCCUCAAGUUAUUUAUAGCCUAAGGUUGGUUGCUUGUUGAGAAGCUGUGGCUCCAGCUUUUGUAAGAUAUUUGUUGUUAUUUCUUUGGACCUCCUAUGCAUUCCCCUUCUCUUGUCAAUCUCAAAAAAAGUAAAUCCAACAAUAACAUAGUAAUAACUCAUGAUAACUAAUAUUAAUCUUGCCAACUCAAAUGUACCCUAAUGUGCCUCACUCAGAAGUCUAAGAAAAAGCUCAUACAAAUGGUACAUUAAUAAACCCAAGCAAAAGCUGAUAUAACAUGGUAUAAAAUGGUAUGCACCAAAAUCCAUUAUAUUGUGGUAAUAAAGUAUAUAUAGAUGACUUGAUCAUCACAAUCACAAAACAAAUUCUAAAAUCAGGUUUUAGUUUUACUUAAGAUUUAAAAUAUCACUUAGGAAAAUUGACAUAUUGCCUUGAUCUGUGAUAGACACAAUAACAAAAUCACAUUUUACCAAGUUGAUAUUGCAUCACACACCAUAUGUUUAUCACAUCAUAUGGUAGUAAACUCAUAAAGUGGAAUUCUAUGCUCUACCCACCUAGAAAUUUUUCCUUGCUCCUCCCUCCCGCCUCUACCUUUGCUCCUUGUAAUAGUUACAUCCUUUAACAUACCACAUAAACAUUAAUUUUUAUUUUUGUCCAUGUUAAUGGAUUAGGGUGCCAUUUUAAUUUACCCUUGGUAAUUCUUCCUUAACAAUCAUCACUUAUGCUAUAAGGAUUGUAAUAAAAUACUUGACUUUGGUAGAGCUAUUCUUUAUAGAGAGGGAGGAUCAUUCCAAUUUCAAGAAGGCUAAGAUCCUAUAUUUCAAGUACAAAAUUUAGAUCUAGAUUUACAACUAUGUUUAUCUUUGGAACAAAAAAAGAAACAAAAGUUAAUUAUAAAAAGACAUAUAACUUAGUGACUCAUUUGUAAUUAUAGAACCUCAAUUUAAUUGUUAUCUAGAAUAUUAAUUUUCAAUCAUAUCAUCUAGAAUGACAUUUUAUUGUAGAGACAUUCAUCAAAUGCUUAAGAAAAGCUUUGCAUCCUUCUUUGUCUCUACAAUAAACUCAUUGCUAAAGUAGAAUAGUUUCCCUAAUGGGAUAUUACUCUCAUAAUUAUUAAUCUAUUUUCACUUCUUCACAAGUUCAUCUCAUUGCAACUCACAUUGAUUUAAUAUGCAAUGAAAUCCUUAUAAAUAUAAGAUCGUAAAGGUGCAUUGCCAUUUUUUUUGUUCUUUCAUAAUUUUUUUAUGACCAUUACCUUCUAGAUCCUUCUCCCUUUCCAUUCACUUUAUAUAUUAGAAUUAUGUUCUCAUUAGUAAACCAUUUUCCUUGCCAUUUGUUAUUCAAAGUUAAUUUAUUUAAAGAAAAUAAGUUUAGAUAAAUAAAAAUUAUAUUUAUUAUACUUUUGAAAUUUUUAUAACUUUAUCAAGACAGCCAACAAUGAAAGAUUUAUUACUCUAUUAAGAUAGUCAACAUUGAUAAUAAAGCUAUGAAAAAGGAAAUUUCAAUUCCCCCUCUCUAAAUCCUUGUUGCAAAUUGUAUUUAAAAUGAAGUAGGAAAACAAUAAAAAAAAAUUAGCUCAAGGAAUUGAAGUUAGCUUGCAUUGUAAGAAUGUUUGGAAUAAAUCCAAUCAUUAAAUUGAAUGCUACUAAUUAAUUGGGCUAAAAGCUAUUAUAAAAAUUUGAUAAACAAAAGUGAAAAGGGUAUGUUUUUAGAUCAAGGUUGCAUUUAUUAUACAUCCUAUGCUAGCACCAAAAAGAAGAACUCUUCUCUAUAAUUAUUAAAAAAACAAAACUCUAGAACUAUAUAAUUACAUACUUACUUGAGUUUGAGCUAUUGAUGAACUAAAAAAUUAAGAUUGUGAAUGAGGUGUGAGAGUGAAAAAUUCUUAAUUUCUUAUAAACUUCCUCUCUAAAUCACUCUAAAAAUUCCCUUUAAAGCACUUCAAGAACUCUACUCAUACAAAAGCAAUAUUAUAGUAAGGGAUGAUGUGACAAUUUAGUCACAUGACAUUAUUUUAUUUAUUAGUUUUGCUAAGUUUUAGCUCUAGAAGAAAUUCAUAAGGGAAAGACACUAAGUUCCCUCUAUUUUAGGUGUUAUAUCAACCAUAAAAACAUGGAAUAUAAAAUUUAAUUUUCUCCUCCUUAGAAAAUUUCUUCUUAUAGUGGAAUAUAAAACACUACACUUAAAGAAAUAAUUCUUGUGUAGUGAAGGGGAGAGAAAGAUGAUGUAUUUCUAAAAUUCAAUUGGAAAAUUCAUGUAUUUAUGUUGAUGAAGAGGUAAAUGUUUUAUCUUGUGUAUCGUCCCAAGCAAAACAAAAGAAGAAAGCUUAAGCAAAAUGGAGUUAUGUUUAAACUUAAGCAUCUAAAGAAGAAAAGUCUAACUUAAGCUAUAUUUAUUAUAGAUAAGUGUGAAAUAGUUAGGAAGGAUUAUAAAAUCAUGUAGUAUAUGAGUAAUACUUAGAUAUGCUAAAAAAUAACCCCCACUCACUAUUGUAUACAUUUGUAUUGAAUUAACCAUUUUUUUUCUUACUUAUGACUAUUUGUGCAAAGUAGAGUUGAGAGAGUAACAUAUGUUUAUCUUUACUCAUACCUUUGAGAUUUGAUGAUGAGCUCAAUGAUUGCAAAAGCCUUAAGUCCAGACAACACUAAAAAAAUGAGCUUUUUUUGCGGUUGCAAUAGUUUAAUGCCUAUACAACAUAAGAAAAAUAGUUUUUCAACUAUCACAAAAGUUAUAGAGCAUGGGACGAGCUUAAAAUUGGAGUUUGGCAUACAUUACCAAAAACUCAAGUUCAAAUUGUUUCACUAGCAAUUUCUUGAGAAAAAUCCAAAAGAAGAAAAAAUAAAGUUUGUUUAAUGUGGAAAACAUAAUUAACUACUUUAAAAUUCUUUUCUUCUAAGCAAGUUCUCACUUGGGUUUUUAAAGGACACAUUUUUUAGCAGUGUGUUACAAUUUUUUUAGACAUACACAAGCAAAACAAUUGGGCAUUUAUAACUCUUGUCUUCAACUUUAACUUAAAGAGAGCUAGAGCUAGAGCUAGCUUUAGUGAAAAAUAAAUUGGAGAAUUAUUUACUUAAAUCUUAUAAAGCUUUUAUAGAAGUAUAAUCAUAAUUAGAAUAUUGUGAUGUUUUAAGGCUUUGAUCCAAAGUUCUUUAGCUUGAAAAAGUACUCAAAUACAAUUUAAGAGUAGACUUUUCCUAAGUUUAAGUCUCCUACACAUAUUGUAAGAGUUUAUGAAACUUAAAUAAGACUCACAAGUUGAAAAUUUAAAAAUAGUUAUCAUGAACCAUUUUUACUGUUUAAACUGUUUUAAUCAUUUGACCUAUUUUACACCUAAUACACCUGGGUGAAUUAAUUAAAGUUAAAAAAUUUGUCAUACAAGCAUGAGUAGAGACUUCUAUUGACCAUUAGAGCCUAUUGGUGAAGAGGCUAGAGAGAAAUUUGCCUUGAAAAACAAUUUUUUUUCUAUAUCUAAAGGAAAGUCUUCCAUGAAUUAGCUAUCAUAUGUUUGAAAAGCUACCUAAUGUCAUUCCAUGAGCAAAUUGAUUUAGAAUAGAUUAUCAUAUAUUAGAUAAUUUGACUCUUAUGUUGAUUCCAUAGGGCAAUUUUACAGAAUGGUCUCCACACUUUGUUCAAAUUAGUCCGUAGUGUUGAUCAAGUUUGCCUAAAAUUUGUUAUGAGUAAUAAGCCACUCUUUCUAAUUCCACAGUUGUAAAAAUAAAGUUGGCUAUAAGCUAAAAGGUAAGAUCCACUGUGAAGCAGACAAGGUACUAUAGAAUUGGUUAUUACAUGCCAAAGACCUUGUACUAAAUUAAUCUUAACCACACUAAAUAUGGGUACAAAAAGAAAGUCCUUCUAUACAUCUAGGUGGAAAGAUUGAGGAUUGAUAACCCUCCACUUUCUUGAUAAAACUUGAAUGGGGGAAUUAGGGUAAACAAAAUAAGAAUAUUUACUAAUGAUUGACUAUAUUUAUUAGAAUAUACAUUUUUCUUAUAGACUUAGAUGGAAGUUAGUUGAUCCCCACUUUGUGUGACUAGGCAAAAGUAUAAAAAAGCAAAAACUAAAUUAUCUUGUGUGCCUAACUAAGCUAGCAAAUGAUAGAUUUAAUAAAAUUGCUUAAACUUCUUAAUGAAUUAUCGAGUAAAAUACUUCACAAUAUUCUACUCAAGGUAUACCAAAGUCUAACUCCUAGUACCUUUACUUUUGUCAAAAAAGAUGUGAACUAACACCUCCAUUUCUGUAUUGAAUUUAAUAAUCCUUCCAUUGUGUAGACUAGUUAUUCCCACGGUGGAUACCUUCAUCUAUGGAUGCUCCACCAAAAGGAUGGAUGCUCAAUAUGUAUGAUUUCAAAUUUUAGGAGUAGGAAUAUACCUUGCUUAAGGGUAUAUUAUAUUUUUAAAUAACCACUAACCAAUGGGAAUUGAAUCUAUGCCAUUUGCUCCGAUACUACAUAUAGCACACUUUAUCUUUCUCCCCUUAAACCACCUGAAAAAAAGGCAAUUGCUUGAUGAGAGAGCCCUUAGUAGUUACUUUAUUCCCAUUUAUCCCCCAAAGUUCCAAGGAUCCAUGGUGACAGUAUAUCCAAAUUUCAUCCCAUGAUCACAUAUGUUAUAGUGGAGUUACCUAUACAAAAAGAAAACAGUACUAGGAUUCUUCUUAGACAAAGAGAUAGUCUACAUAUCCAAGCUAAAUGCAAAUCCUAAGUAUUAUAACCUAUAAAGGAUUUAUAAAAUUCAGUUUACUAAACAAUUGCUAAAAUUUUAUGCAAUCUUAGGCAAAGAAGCUAUUGUGGGAACUUUGAUGGUUCACAAUAAAGUUUGGAUACUUAUAAGUAGAAAUACACUUGUUAACUUAAUAAACAUUGGAUCAAUCCCAAAUUUGGAUUGAUAGGCUACAAAAGAGGUUUUAGGUGAAUCGGAGAAGUAUGGAUUUAGUCUUCUUAAGUCCACCUACAUAUCCAAUAGUGACACACUCUCAACUGAUCAAUUUAGCAACAUGAGGCAGCCACAAUAGUAGUAGAUGCCGUAAUAACACUAUAAAGUUAAGGCUAGAUGCGCCUUUGCUCACAAAACCAUGAAUCAGCCGAGCGAGCCAGCAGUCCGAAGCAUUGAGUUUAUCAUUAUGAAGACUAAGUUCAACAACUUGGAGCAAGAUUUGGAGAAUCCAACUACCUGAGGAUAGGUAGUAGUUUUGUCGUGGGGGAGUGAUGGAGAGGUAAAUGAUUUAUCUUGUAUAUCAUUUUAGGUAGAGCAAAAGAAGAAAGCUUGUCAAAAUGAAAUUAUGCUUAAGUUUAACCAUCCAAAAAAGAAAAGCUCGAGUUAAGUAGUGUUUGUCAUAGACAAGUAUGAAACAAUUAAGACUGGUUAUAAAAUCAUGUAAUAUAUAAAUAACACUUAUAUGUGCUAAAAAACAACCCCCACUCACCAUUAUAUGCAUUUGCAUUGAAUUAACUAUUUUUUGUUAUGAUCUAGCACAACAAAAAUAAAUAUUUAGUCUCCCUUUUAUACUCCUUACCACCCAACCAACCCUGAGCUACCUCAAAAGUUCUAUUAUACCACCACUCCACUAUGAGCUCUAGGGUAGGUUAAGUCCUUUACACUAACAUGCCUUAAUAUACCUUUGAGCCUCCCUUUGACCAAUGUUGACCACAUGGUCAAAGAUGGCACUUAACAAUUCUUCCCCUUUAAUAAAAUCCUUGUUCUAUGGAUGAGUUGUAUUGGUGAUCACCCUUUUUAAGGAAUUCUACUGAAGCUCUUGGUCCAUCUUCCACAGCCAUAUACAUCAAGGAGACAUUGGGCCUGUCACUCCAAGAUAGUAUACCUUUUAACUAGCUGACAUAAAAUACUAGAUGAAUUUUUACCCCAGUUGGCAGCCGCAUUUGAUAAGCCGCUUUACUAAUGCGCUCCAUCACUUAAUAUGAACCAGCAUAUUAAUAGGAAAGUUUGUCACUCUUCCCUGUCCGUAAAGGCACCAAGGUGUUCUAUUACUUACUUGACGGAAAGAUCACUCAGAUGAAGAUGAGAUCACCCAUCUUAUAUUCCUGGAAUUGGUGAUGGUUAUUAGCAAACUUCUCCAUUCUAUCCUAAGCUGCCUACAAACUCCAUUUGCACACCACUAGAAUUUCAUCAAGUUUUAUAGCUAGAUCAAUUGCCUCUGAAUCAAGCUUAUCUUGAACAUCCUUAUUCAAAUGCAAUCCCAACUCCACCGCUGUUUGCGGAUGCUUUCCAAAUAUGGCAAAGUAAAGAUUUAGCUUGGUUCCACUGUAUUAGCUAUUGUUGUAAGUAAAUUGCAUUAAUGGAAGAUAUAAAUCCCAUUAUCCUUGCCUUUGACCAAUGCUACAAUAUAGCAUAUCCUCCAUUAUUUAAUUCACAUGCUCGGUUUGCUCAUUUAUUUGAGGAUGAUCUCCAUUCAAGAGUUUCAAAAUCACUUAUAUAGCCUUUGCAGGGAAGAAGAUGUAUGAGUUGAUUAAGUGCAAUUUUUAUUGGUGGAAUAUAAAGGCUGAUAUCCUUGAGUAUUGAAAAUCAUGUGAGUUUUGUCAGUGAAUAAAUGUGUCGUAGGAGAAGCCAAGGGGACUUUUGGAACCUUUACCUAUUUGUUAGAGUUAUUGGUGUAGUAUCUCUAUGGACUUCAUCACUUGUUUACCACAAACACAGAGGCAAAAGGAGUAAGUAUGGGUUAUAGUGGAUUAGUUGACUAAGUAUGUAUGGUUGUUGGCUUUUCGAAAGACUAUCACUGCCUUAGACUUUACUGUGGUCUACUUGGAGAAGGUUUUUCUUGAUUUUGGUUUGCCGGAGGACAUCAUUAGUGAUCAAGAUUCAAAGUUCACAAAUGGAUUUUGGAAGAGCUUCCCAAAAUGACCAGCCUCUUGAUGAUUAUGAUAGUGGAAUAAAACUUGAAUAAUUAAUGCAUCCACCCAUAGCAAAUAUACAUGGCCAUUGUAAUAAAGAAUCCCAUCCACUAAUGAGAAAGGUGCUUCCAUCUGGUCUCACAAAGAGACCACCUCAACAUCCUGAGGUUGAGCACGUGCAACCAAUUGCUCAAACUCAUUGACCACCUUACUCAAAUGACGACAAAACUAUGUUUGUAAUGUCGUCAUAUGAUAAACAUGAGAUAAAGUAUCUGCCACCACAUUCAAUUUUCCCAAACAAUACUCAAUAGGAAACCCUCUAAACUCUAUGAGUUUGACCAUCUAACGAGCUUGCCUAGUGUUUAGCUCUUUCUAUGUGAAAAGAUACACAAGUGGUUUGUGAUUUGUUAACACCACGAAUAGUGCACCAUAAAGAUAGUGCCGCUAUGUCUGCAAAACAUGAACAAUAGAGAGUAACUUCUUUUUAUAUGUGGAAUAACAUUGUUCUAUAGGAUUCAAAGUUCGACUCUCAUAUGCAAUAGGCUGUCCCUCUUGCAUGAGAACUCCUCCCAGUGCAUAACCACUCGCAUCACAUAUCACUUCGUAAAGUUUUGAUGGAUUAGCAAUAUCAAGUAUUGGAGCCUCACUCAACAAUUGUUUCAACGCCACAAAACUCUCCUCUUGUGGCUUCUUCCACUCGAAUGGCAUGUUCUCGCGCAACAACCAUGUCAAAGGAAUAGCCAUCUUCGCAAACUUAUGCUGGAAACGUUAGUAGUAACCUACGAUACCAAGAGAGUUGUGUAACUUAGCCACUAAAGUUGGUGUAGGAAAAUUUUCCACCAUUGCUACCUUCCUUAGAUCCAUCUUGACACCAUUAGAUGUCACAAUAUAGCCUAGAUAUUCCUCUUUUAACUUUGUAAAUUCAUAUUUACUCUUCUUCGCAUAAAGUUUUAUGUCACGUAGUAACAAAAGAAUGUUAUGCAAAUGCACACUAUGAUCCUCCAUAUUCUUGCUAAAAACAAAAAUAUCGUCCAAGAAAAUCUCCACAAACUCAUGAAGAUAACACCCAAAUACCUCCAUUAUCAACCGAGUAAAUGUGGCUAAUGCAUCUGUCAAACCAAAUAGCAUAACUGUAAACUCAAAAUGCCCGAAGCUUGUGUUGAAUGCUGUCUUGGAGAUAGAUGCAUCAUUCAUUGCAAUCUGAUGAUAUCCACUCCUCAAAGCAAUCUUGGUAAACAUUCAUGCUUCUCUAAGUUUGUCUAAGAUAUCAUCCACACGCAGCAUCAGCAUCUUAUCCUUCACUGUCUUCUUGUUCAAGACACGGUAAUCAAUACACAUUUGCAUUGAACCAUCCUUUUUUUUUCAAAAGCAAGACUGGAGCAUCAAAUGAAGACUUAUUUGGCUAAAUAAAUCCAAACUCAAGUAACUCCUUGACUUGUUAUUGAACUUCUUGCUCUUCCGCAUAACUUAACCAAAAUGGACAUCAGUAAAUUGGCCGUGUCCCUAGCUCCAACGUAAUUCUAUGCUCCACACCUCAUAAUGGAGGCAAUUCAUGAGGAAGUUUAGAUGGAAAAACAUCAAAAAACUCAUUGAGUACAUCCCAUAUUGCUAUUUUUCCCCCACACAUACUUUGGUCCCCCAAAUCACAAAAAAACAGUAAGUAAUUCAAAUGUGGAUAAGCCCCUUCAAAGAUGUAACGAAGAGUAUAACAAUUAAAGGUUGAACUCCCUCUCCAAACCACACAUCUUUAAUGCUAUUGUACUCUAGUGAAACACACUUAAUAUUCCACUUUAUCUCUGGAUCCACUUUCACUAGCUAUGGCAUCCCAAGAAUGAGAUUUACAUGAUGGAUAUCUGUGAGAUAAAAAAUCUUCAUAAGUGUGGUUUUGCCAACCAACACUUCCAUCCUUUUUACAAAAGCAUCGAAAUGCUGAGCAAAGGUAAUUGCACUUUCCAUUGUAUAUAGAAGAACACCUCGUGUGACCAGGCCAUACUCCACAAUAAACUUUGCUGAAACAAAGUUAUCAUCACUCCCACUAUCUAGUAAAAUCUACACUAGACUGCCACAGAACACACCCUCUAGCAUUAAAGUUGAUUCACAAGUGUCCUUAAACUUCAUUUUGUUCUACAUAUAGUUGAGUUAAUGAGCAAUGAUUCAAAGCCUUUUCUUCCGAUUGAAAUGGUCAUUCCCAUCAUCCUCAUGUUGUAGAGUUUGCAACUUUUCAGUAUUUAACUUACUAUUAGUAGAAGAUUGGCCAUUAUUUUUGCCUUGCUACUUGUUCUUCAACUGUAAACAAUUAGCUUUGUAGUGUUUGAGCUCGCUGCAAUGAUGACAACUUUAUUUAUAAUUCUUCACAAAGAACUUUUACUUUUUUGACACCUUUGCAUCCAAAGUAGUCACCAUAGACUUUAACUUAUGGUGGUUGUUCCCAUCCUUGUGUCCAUAGCAAUCAUUAUGACGAUUCUCGACAAAAGAACUCCUCAAACACUUGUGAGAUUUAUGCUUGUCAUUAUCAAGUCAAUGAGCUAUAUCAAAGAGCUCCUCCAAAUUCUUUGUAGGCUGAGAAUGACAGAAGUGUUGGUGCAUGCUCUCACUAUGAAGGCUAUCAAUGAAGUAGGACUUGUUCUUAUCUGGAUCCUUUGUUAGAACAUGACUAAUUAAGCAAGUAAGCUUCUCAAUAUAGUCCUCGAGCAUCAUUUUGCUUUGCUGAAAAUGUCGAAGUUCUAUACAAGCAUUUUCCAUAUUGUAGUGAGGGGCAAAACAUAAAUGGAAAGCAGCCUCAAACUCAUCCAUGGUAGACAUUAGUGGUGUUUUAUCUGCAACACAAGACUCUUCAAGCCAAUUCCACCACCGAAAAUCCACAUCAUGCAAAACAAUUGGAAUAGCCACUAAACCCUCUACAUUCGGAGUUCCCUUAAUAGCCAAGAACUUCUUCACAUUGGCUAGCUAAGUGAGACACUUGUCUACACCACCAUCACUAAAAAAGGUUGGAAUCUUAAGUUGAUCUACCAAGGAAGGCUUAUUUGGAGCAUUACCAUGUUCAGCUUCAAGUGCCUCAACAUGCUCACACAUGGUAUUUAUCAUGCCAUGCAUCUCAUCUUACAUUUCUUGCUGAUUUCAAUUAAGGGUUCAUAGUUCAUGAACAACAUCUUGAAUAGUUCAAACCUCUGUAGCUUCAUUGGCACCAUCAUCAGCACCACCAUUGACAAUAAAAUUCCAACGUUCAACUUGGUUGGCCAUCGCAACCAACUCCUCUAAUACCAAUGUUAUGAUCCGGUGUAAAAAAAUAUUUAAUCUCCCUCUUGAGAUUCCUCACCCCAAGCUACCUCAAAAGUUUUAUUGUGCCACCACUCCAUUAAGAGCUCUAGGGUAGGUUAAGUCCCUUACCCUAAUAUGCCUUAAUAUACCUUGGAGCCUCCUUUUGACUAAAGUUGACCACAUAGUCAAAGUUGGCAUUUAACAUCUUUUCUCUUGCUUAUGAUUGUUUGUGCAAAGUAUAGUUGAAAGAGUGACAUAUAUUUAUCCUUACUCAUAUUUUUGGGAUUCAAGGCUGAGUUCCUUUAUAUUAUUUUCUCAUUCUUCUUUUUCUCUCCUUCUAUGUUUUUGUCUUUGUUUGUUUGUCACUAUUUUGCAGGCAGGGGCAAGAAAGUGAGUAUAGGCAAAAAAAACAUUACUCAUGGGUAUAUCAAGAAGGUCAAAGAUAGUUAUUGCCAUGUCAACUAUAAGUAAAUUUAUGAGUAACCACUUAUAGAAAGUUUAUAAUUAUAUGGUAAGCACAAAAACAAUUUAUAUAAUAUAUGCUACUUCAAUGGGAGGUAAUAUUAUACCUUUUAUUGAUUCUGACUUUGUUGGUAAUCAUGAUGAUAAAGAUUUAGAAUAAGUUGGUGCUUUGGAGGAGGUAUAAGUUAGAGAAGUAAAAAGUAAAUGAUAAUAUGUUAUAAAUAUGAUUAUGGGUAUCAAAAGUUAUUUGUAAAAGAGUCUUUUUGAAUAUUCUCUUUUUACUACUACAAUGCCAAGAAAUUGAUAUUGGUGAAUCAUGGUAGUAGGAAAUUAAUAUUAGUUUCUCAACUAACUUGGGUGAAGGUUGAUAAAGUGUUGAGUAGUCAUCAUAUAUGUACUUGAUCAAAAGAGCAUAAAAAAAAAUUCUAUUAAUUAAAUAUACUUGAUUUAAUUAGAAAAACUCAUUUGCUAGAUUGCAUUUGCUACUGUUGGGAACCGUAGUGAUAUUGAAUAUAAUAGCUUAGUAUAUUUACUAAUUAUUCUUGCUCUCUAUACAUUAAUCACAUUAACUAUUUAUGAAAAGUGUUUAAAUCUGCUAGUUAAACAUAUCUUUAGAAUGUAGAGAUUGUAUUUGUAAGCGACUAAUUUUUCCAUUCUACUUUAGUCACUUAACCACAUCUCUGACCACUUGGAGAAGACUCAUCUACAACCUCCUUAAGUCCAAUUCAAGAUUUGGGACUUGCUAGCCCGAAGAAUGGCAUCCAUACCACUCAUCCUUUUCACUUGGUCCAAGUGCUUCAUGUGUCCGGUCCCAAGACCGACACUCCAAGGUACCAUCAACAUACCAACUUGUUACACUAAGGCCAUGCCCAUUCACCUUGGUACCAUUGGUGGUCCAACACCACCUACAUUGCAGUCCCGUCUCUCAACGACUAGGCCAUUUGUCCAGGAGUGACCAUCCAAGAUCCACUCCUUAGCAUCCUUGAGAUACCCACAGACAAGGGGAACCACCUUCCCCAAUAUCCCUUUUACAAUCCCCAUUAAGUCCCUUUUCCGUCCAUAGUUGAGUUUGCCUACUCUACCACUGGGACAAGGCCCACAAGCCCGACCACUAAGUCCCACUGUCCUCUAGGACUUUCUCACCACAUGACCGUAACCUUUGUCACCACACUUGAGGACUGUUCCUCUUCCAUUCUAUAGUCUGGGACUUUGGGACAACAUUUCGGAACACCAUGGCCUUACGCGAGCCUUGUGGGUACUCUCCUUGCCUUCCACCUUUUGGUGCUCUAGCCAUGGGCUUAGAGCGAGGUUCCGUUGAGCCACACUAGGUAUCCAAGUAGGUAGUGCCACCCACACUUGGACUGAGAGCAUCGACCAUUCGAUCUCCCGGGGGAACUAAAGCCGGCUCUUGAACACUUUACCAAGCUACCUCGCUUGACAAUCCGUAUUCACUCUAGCAUUGGACCUCUUAGUGGUUAUCCCAUCACCCAACACCUGAGUACAGCCUUCCUGGGCCAAACUGGCCUUUUCUGGUCAAACUGGCUCCACUUAAGUCCUCCCCCUACUAUACUUUUUGGAGCUCAACAAACCCCUUAGGGUCUGGGAGAUGAAUGCUUUGGGCUUUCACCCUCUCAAACUCAAACUUGAACUCGGACUUGGACUCGGACUCGGACUUGGUCUCAGACUCGGACUCGGGCUCAGACUCGGUCUUAGCCUUGGUCUCGGUCUCAGUCUCGGCCUUGGUCCCGGUCUCGGUUUUGGUCUUGGUCUCGGUCUUGGUCUCGGUUUCGACUUCAGACUCCAUCUCGGGUCCUUCUCGGACUCCAUCUUGGAUUCCAUUUUGGGUCCAUCUCGGACUCCAUCUCGGUCCAUCUCGGACUCCAUCUCAGACUCCAUCUCGGGUCCAUCUCGGACUCCAUCUUGGGUCCAUCUCGGACUCAAUCUUGGGUCCAUCUUGGGUCCACCUUGGACUCCACCUCGAACUCCAUCUCGGACUCCAUCUCAGACACUUCCACGUGUCAUGUUUUGGUCCUCUUGUGUCCCCUUUUCUAGAGACUCACUCAUGGCUCGCCUCGUGCUUAUUCUUCGAGCACUUCGUUGGGAGUUCCACUCUCGACUUUCUCAAGUCGGAGCUUUUAGUCCAAACGUGUUAUACUCCUUUGGCUUUCGCUUCGGCCACUACCACGUGGUGCCCUUUCGGCUCCACUUUGGGGCCUAGGGAUUUUGUGUCUCACAACUCCACCACCCAUAGAUGAAGUUCGCUGUCUUCAUCAAACGGUAAACCAUUUUAUAAAGUAACACCCGCAUGUAUUACCACUUCCAUCCUUGGCACCCAACCAAUAUUUGUCUAUGGUUUGACACCAAAGGCUCACCAUGCUUUAUCCAUCCUCUAAGGAGCAUAGUCUCUUCAACAUAGAGACUCUUUCGACCACCUAUGGUGGUUUGCUCACUUUUAUUGGUUUAGUUCUCACUAAACCCAUUAGAGACACCCUCUCUAAUUCAAUUUCACUACUCAUUUCUGAGUAGCCUCAGUUCCCAUUGAUAUAAAUUUGCACUCUGGAACUUUUAAAUUUGACUUGUCAAAGUCAAUUUUCUAAGUGUCUCCGACACUUUGCAUUACACAUAUUAUGCAACUCCACUUCCCCAUCUUUGGAAGUUCUCUAUUUGAAGGCACCAUCAUCCUCUUUCUUAUUUUGUGUGACCUUUGGCACUAAGUUCCAGUUAUCCUAAUUUGUGCUAGGGUUGUCCACGUCCCUAUUAUUUGGCUAUUUGCCCGCUCCCUCCCUUGGAGCUUCCACUUUCGCUAAAUCGAAGCAAUUGGGAAUCCAUCCUUGGAAACACAUUGCCUUUCCCACAAUUCGUUAGGACUCAACACAUUAGUGUUCUUAGCCUAGCUUUACGUUUUUGAUUCUUUCCCAUGAUUCCCAUGGCUCUUUUCUUAGCCACUAGUCUUUUGCUCCUAUCCUUGAUUGUUUCAUCUAGUAGCAUCGAAUCACUACCUCCAUUCUUGAGGUAUCCUUUCAGUUCCAUAGCAAAAACUUUGCUUUGCCAAGUCUAGAGGGUGUUCACCCCUGGUAUGUCUCUUUAGGAUUUUCUACUGUGGGCUCUACCCCUGGCCCAACUUUGUGACCCUCCUCUGGGUCUUUUAUAGUGAUUACCUUCUUCGGACUCACUAUGCCAUCGCAUAGUUAUAAAUGAUUUCCUUUAGGUGUUCUUCCCACUUGGUCACCUUGACCAAGCCACACCAUCAUCAAUAGUUCAAACCAACACUUUGAACUAGGAACUUUAUCUCUUAACCUCACAAAGACCUUGUCCUUGUUUU